UUUUUUUUUUUUGCUCAGAUGUCCGAUAAUUUCAAAACCGAACAAAACCACAAAAAUCUCCCAUUAACUUGCAACCUGAUGAACCAGUUGAACUGGCCGGAUUUAGAAUCCCUCCAAAAAAAUUCAGAUUUUUAAUUGUUAAACUAAAUAAAUGCUCUUUAGAUUUUUAUUUGGAAACAAUUUUAUUUAUAAAUGUAUUGGUAAUAUCUUAUUAGGAAUAUUGAAAAGGGAUAUUCCUUUACUCAUUUAAGUUUAAGAAAUCUAAAAAUUUAGCAAACAUGUCGAGAUUUGGUAGUUUCAAGUCGAUAUUUUGUAGUUUCGAAAUCUUAAAUUUCUAUACAUGUGUACCAAAAUCAUGACCAAAAUUUAGUUUCGAAAUCUUAGAUUUCAGAAAUAAUUUUGGUUAUAAUUUUUCAUUUUUGAAAAUUUAGAAUCCGUCCAAUAUUAGUUUCGUAAUCAUUUGUUUAAGUUUGUGGUAUAUUUAUUUUGAAAAACUUUGUUGCAUAAUUAUUUACAAUUUUAAUUAGAAAUUCGUUUUGAUUAAUGGAAUAUAUGUAUGUAUAAUACUAAUGGCAAAUACGGUAAAUAGUCUAAUAAAAUUUGGGCAAUUAUUUAAAACAGGUGACAAAUCAUUCUAAGAACGACACGUCAGCAUGGCAAUCUUGUUAAUAACACGUUAAUAUAAGGUUUAUUUUUUAGAAUGUUUCUCUAUUAAUAUACUAGAUAUGGAUCCGUGCGUUGCACGGGUUGCUGGUCGAAAUUGUCACUUAUUUUUAUAAAGUUUAACUAAAAUUAUAUAAACAGCUAUGUUUUAAUUUUAGAAAAUGCAACAUUUUCAUUAUUUUUUAAAUAGAUUUAUUAUGCAUAACGCAAUUUGUAGUUAUUUUAUACUAAUUAUUAAAUCAUCUAAUAUAAAUCUUGGUCUAUUUAUCACCAACACCACCAUUCCGCCUCUUCUCAUCUUUUCCAAUUGAUCUUAUUUCUCCUCCUUUAUUUUCUCUAGCAUCGAGCCGAGCCUCUUUCCGACAACAAUUCUAGUCUAUGUCCAUUGCCGUUCAUAAUUUCUUAAUUUGCCUCCAUCGCCAUAUAUUCUUUGGAUCUAAAUAUAACAUCCUAUUUUUAGAAAACUAUUGUAAUUCAAAGUAUUUAUAUAUAUAUAUAUAUAUAUAUAUAAAUGACAUGAUAUAUUUCUAAUAAAUGAUAAAUAAUUUUUACAUGAUUCAUGUUGUUCUUAAAGUCAAUCUAUCACCAUAUCCGUAACCAUACACCACCACCAUCGUCACUUCCAUUAACAAUCACAUGCUACUCCUAUUUCUUUUAGUAUGAUAUGCUAUUAUAUUUAAUGACAUUGUUUUUUCCUCUGAUUCUAGGUGGAUGUCUCUCUUUCUUCGUCAAAAUUCUAGUAUUGAUUUUCUUUAUUUUUAGAUUUCCUGUUAUUAGUGUUUAUUUUUUGUUUUUUUAAAUCCUAAUUACAUAUAUGUUUUGUCUUUUGUUUGAAGGCUAUUUCAUCGCUGAAAAAUAUUAGUUUCUAAAAGUUUUUUUUGACUCAAUGCUAUUUCCUUAAUUAAUUUUUAGUCAAAGGUUAGUUACUAAUAUUAUCUUAAAAAUAAUUUAUGACCAAAAAAAGAGAGGAAAAACUUUACUAAUAGAAUGAAAUUAAAGAAAUGAUAGUGUCUCUCAAGAAAUUAGUUUGCUUGGUGAGAAUGAGACAAUCUAUUUUUUUUUAGAGGUGAAUAUUUACAAUCCUUUUUCUUAUAUGAUUAAUAAAUUAUAUAAUUUACUUAAGAAAAUUAUCCUAUUCUUAAAUCUUUUUUUUUUGUACAGUUAGUAACUUAUAAAUAAAACGUUUAGCAUUAUUUUAUAAUUUCUAUUUUUAUGAACAAUACACACAUAAUUUCUUUAUAUAUACAUAUACUUUCCUUAUAAUAAUCUUUUUAUAUUAUGAAACUCUUUAAAUUUAUAAAUUUGUUAUAAUUAUCUUUUUACAAUAUUUAAUUUGUUAAAACCAAAUUACUUUAUGGUGGUGAAAGAUUGAGGCAAACGAAGAGAAACUUGGUGUUGAUGAUGACACCAAUAUAUUGCCAUCUCUUAUCUUAUUUUACACCAAUUUACACCAAUAUAUUGUUUUAUAUAUCCACAAUAUAAAACAAUUUUUACAUUAUAAAGAUUGAGGCAAAUUAAGGAAUCUGACUAAUACAUAAGUUUCCUUCUUAUUAUAUAAAAUCCGACGAGAGAGAGAAGGAGAAAGAAAGAGGAGUUCGAACAAAAAUAAGAAAAAUCUAAUGAGAGAAACAUAGAGAUUUUUGAAACUUAGAAAGAAGAGAAAACGAAGAAACUAAUAAUAUGAGCCAAAAAAUGACAAAAGCCAUGUAGCAAAUAGAUAAUGUUUAGUCUGAUGUUAUUUUUUUAAUUUUUUCUAGUCUUAAGUUAUUUAGUGUAUAUUCUCUAAUUCCUUAUAAGGUUUUCUUUUUUUGUUGAGGAUAUUUCAUAUUAUCAAGUAAAGUUACAUGACAUGGAUAUAGACGGUCUCAUAUUUUCUCCUCUUUUAUUGUCACAAUUUUAUUAUGACGUCAAACUUUUCUAAACAAAAUAAUAUAUUUGCGUAUCUCAUACUAUAUGUUUACAUAUUAAUGUAUUAUACAUAUAUCGUUCAUAUAUUUACGUAACUAUAUAGUUUUAUCUUUUCUUAUUGUCAUAGUUUUGUUUCCAUAUUGCUCACAUUGAAAUUAUAAAGAUGUAACACACUCUUCUGAUGGAUGUAAAUAACUUAUUAAAAUUCAAUAAUACAACAUAUGAAUAUUUAUGACUUCAUAAUUUAUAAUAAACAAAGAAUUAUAUAAUUUUAUAAAUAGGCCAACAUUUAUAUUAGAUGAUUUAAUAAUUAGUAUAACAUAACUACAAAUAAUAUUUUAUAUUAUGCAUUAUGCUAAUAAAUCUAUAUUUAUAAAUAAUUAUGCUGCAUUUUCUAAAAUAUAUAUGUUUAUAAAAUUUUAGUUAAGCUUACAAAAAUAAAAUAAAAAUGUUAAGAAUGAUAAUCUCGACCGGCAACCCGUGCAACGCACGGGUCCAUAUCUAGUAUAUAUAUAAGAUAUCAAAAAAUUCUUAUCACUACAAGAAUAUUAGUUUUUAAUAGCAGUGAAGUAUAGCGUUUUAUGUAGUUAUGCUAUUAAUAAUUAACCUCUGAAUUUUAAAUAGCGUUUCCAAAAGUUGAAACGCUACGAUAAGUUGUCUAUAUGACAACUAAUACUCUCUUCCGAAUUGUUUUUAUUCUGAGUGUUUUUUACAAAGACAGGAUAUCAAAUACUAUAUCUAAAACGUUAUGGUAAGGUUAGCGGGAAAAAAGUGUGCCAAAAAUUUGGGAUAAAAAAUACCAAAAUCAAUUGAGUAAAAAUUAGGCUCCAAAUUGAAAAUUUUACGCAAAGUGGUCUUCCCCUUUUGCUCUGUGUUCUUCCCUUUUUUUGCUUAGGUGAUUAAAUUUCUUUUUUUCUUCAAUAAUUCUCUGAAAUUAGCUAUAGAGGAGUUUUUAACAAAAAAAAUUAGCUAUAGAGGAGGCCGCGGUGGAAACGUGGGUCCGAGCAUCUCUUUGCUUGCUCACUUGGUUCUCUAUCUAUCUCUCCCACACUUCGUUUUUCUCCAAAUCCAAAUCUACCCAAACCCUAAUUUUCAACUCUUCAACUUGAACCCCACCACCGCCUCUUUCUCUUUCAAAGACAUUCACCAUAUCCGCUUUGACGAUUCACCUUUCAGCACUUCCCUCGAGAGCUCAGAUCUCCGAUCUAGAGCAUUUCACUUCUUCUCCGCUCAAAAUCUGGAUAUUUUCGGCGAUAGGCAAUCCGGCCAAGUUGUUCGUUCUUAGAACGAUACUCAAAAAAUGAGUAAGCAAUCGAUCCAUUUGUUGACCUAGAAAAUUUCGGAUCUAUAAGUUGAAGUCAUUUUCUAGGUUAUCUAUUUUUCCGCCGAGUAGCCGCGCUUUCGGCUGAGAAGAUAAAAGGAGAGACGCCAUGGAAAGAAGUAAGUUUCUCGAUCUCUCUCGUGUGAGCUCAGUUAUGGUUUUGUGUUCUUCCACUUCCUCCAUUGAGUAAUUAACCUAAUGUUCCCCCUUUGGUGUGGUUAAUAAUUUGACAGAUCUAAUAUAGGAAAAAAUUUGGUGUAAAUAUUAAAUAACAAAUUUUAUCCUUCACUUCUUUAUUUAUUCUAAAACAUAAAUGAAAAGAGAGGAUUAAUGAGUUCAGUAGCGUACGCGCAGAGAUGUUGGUGGAUUUGGUUAAUCGGAGCGAAGCUUUGUACGGCUGAAGCUGCCGUGUCAACCAUGGAGGUUUCGGUCUUCGUUGGCUCUCCUGGAACUGUCUUCUCCAUUACACCAAUCAAUUAAUUCUCUUUUCUCUGCAAGUAACUAGCAGCAAGUGAAUAAGAGACCGUGCUUGUAUAGGUCUGGUCUUAAUACAUAGAAGUGAGCAUUUGCAUGGACUAUGACACAUGGCAAACAUUGAAGGUGUCACCGACUGUGCGUGGCUUAUUUGAGCUAGUCGAAAUGUUAUUAUGUGUCAAGAGAUUCGAAGCUGAUUUGGUGUAGAUUAAUAUGGUGAUACGUGUACACGAGAUUUUAUGGUGCAAGGUAGAAAAUUAUUGAAGGAUUGUGAUGCACGCAAAGACCAAACCCCUUAUGACAUCUGAGUUGGACAUGUUUGCUUAUGAAGCAAGUACACAAGUAUUGUCUAGGGUAUUCAGAAAAAGAGGAAAACUCAUAUUCGAGUCCAUAGCAAAUUCACCGAGCUUUAUGACCGGUGUGGUCUUGAAGCUCCGGAACGGUUGCACAACUUCUGGCCGGUCUGGACAUGUCUUCACUCUUCUGGUCAUAACUUCCGAAUGGCUUAUUGGAUUUCUAUGAUUCCACUUCGAAGCAAAUCUUGACUCUUUUAGCUUUCCAAAACCACCGAGAUCUCUUGAUUUUCUUAUAGGUAAGACCUCUAACGGACGCCAUACUUCUGACGUACAGAAACUGUCUUGAAACGGGUUUUGAUCGCCUUUUGAUCUUUAAUGCUCAAAAACUCUUAAAACCUUCUUGACUCCAUAAAUACUUGAAUAUCACCUUCUUGGCUCUGAAAUCACUCCAAAUUCUCUCUAAAACAUAAGAAAACAAUAGCAAAUAUGGGCGAAAAUCCCAUGUUAUCACCUCAUUCCGAGAUGCUAUAUCCCGUAGAGAUCAAUAACUUUAUUAUUUGCAUGUUUGCACCACCACCUAAUAUAUGAUGCUUCUGUUUGUUAGAUUGUUUGUCAGUUGAGACUGAGAGUAGUUUUUAUUGUUUUGGUGAGAGUAGAAUCGAAAGAGUCCGGCUAAGUUUGUGAAUGGUAGAUGUGCUAAUAGAAUAGAGAAUGAAACAAAGGAAACGAGUGCUUGCAAAAAGAUAAAAAGAGUGAUAGCUCUCCGGAAAAAAUUGUGAUGACGGAAAUUCGUAUACAUAUUGAAAAGAAUGCUAAAAAUAUGAAUUGUUAAAAAAAAAGUAUAGAUAUGCUUAUGAGUACACUUCUGUAUAGAAUCUUAUAUUUAGAAGUGCUACACUAACCAAUACAGUGAAUAUAGACGAAGAACAAUAGUGAAUUUGCGUAUACCACAUGAGAAAGUCGUCGAGGUUAGUCCCCAUACAACAAUAAAUAUAGGAAAGUGGUGGUUGUGGUGAGAGUUGAGGAACAUACAUGUAAGACCUUGUAAGGAAGCUCUCUUAGGAAGGAUGUCUAAGCAAUAUUGAUGUCUAUGGCUAAUGAGGUAACUUAUUGCGUGGUUCUUUUUUGAAACUUAGGUUGUAUAUUUCUUCAGUUGGAUGAUAUCUAACCAAGAAAAAGGUAUGAAGACUUGUGUUAAAAUUAUGGAAAUUUUUUUUUUUCUUAGAGUACCAAUUUCAAUCAAAAACAUGAAUUAGCAAGACGUAGAAAGGUAAUAAAUUGAAUUGAUGAGAUCAGUUUCCUUGCAUUAUGAAUAAUUGACGUCAUAAUUUAGGUAACAAAGAGGGUUGAUCUCCAUGUAAAAAAAUGAAAGAGAAAGAGCGAAAUACGGUUGGCACCAUAAGACAAACUUGGAUUAUCAAAUAUGGAAAGAAAAGUGAGAAAACAGUUAUGACAUGACCUCUUUAUGGCAACGUUUUGUUUAUAUGUAGCUGAAACUUGAUGGUGAGGUUUCUUACUUUGUUGGGAUGAGCCAUUAUUGUAUAAAAGAUGCUCUCAUGGUCUUUUUAAGAUAAGUGGGGUCAUUGUCAAAAUAUUAUAAUUGCUUUACUAAUAGCAAAACCUUUAAUAGUAUAAAACAAGUAACAGAUAAUGAUAUAUCAUAAUUGUAAUAUAUUUUAUACCAAAUUUUAUCUAAUAAAAUUUUUUUUCUUAUCAAAUCAAAAUUUUAAAUAACGUAAAUGAUACUAAAAAUAUAAAUAAGAACAUUUAUGUUAAAAAAUAAUAAAUAGUAAACAUUAUAGUAUUUUUGUAUUAGUAAGGUCAAUGUAUAACUACUUAAAUAAAUACUAAAACAAAAAAUAUAUUAAAUCAAUCGAUAACAACAAAUCCCCGCGUAGUGGGGGUUAAUAACCUAGUUAUAUCAAUUUAAAGGUUAUACCAAUAUUGCUGACAAUAUUGAUAUAAAAUUAACAUAAUCUUUGAUAAACGAAGCAACGGCUUUAUAGUGAAUUUUUUAAGUAAUUUUUUAAGCAAAAUUAAAAAUACCAUCACGAAUGAUCGUCUUAAUGAAAUUGAUAAAUGAUUUUUUUGUUCAAAAAAUUAAUAAUGUAACAAGUUCAAAAGGAUGUUAUCUUUUACCUACUAUAAUUUUAUUUUCAGCUUGAUUUCAAUGACAUAAAAAAAAACAACAGAUGAAAAAUGGUAAAGUAAACUAUAAAACUAAGGUAAUUAGAUUUUGUGUUAAGAAAAUAAUAACAAAGUUUAAUGGGCCUCUUUUUGUUUAUAUAUAUAUAUAUAGGGUGCAAAUGGUAGACUUAAAAUAAAAGGUUGAAAGAGUUGAAUGACCAUUCAUCUCAUUUUUUACCAUUUGAGAUGAAUAAGUUGGAAAAUUAAUUCAACCGAUUCAACCCAAAAAGUUGGAAAAAUGAAUCGAUUAUGGGUGCAAAUGGUAGACUUAAAAUAAAAGGUUGAAAGAGUUGAAUGACCAUUCAUCUCAUUUUUUACCAUUUGAGAAGAAUAAGUUGGAAAAUUAAUUCAACCCAUUCAACCCAAAAAUUUGGAAAAAUGAAUAGAUUAUAAAGCAAAAUUGUUCAACCCUUUCAACUACUAUUUCGCAGAGGAAUGAGUUGAAUGAUGUUCAACUUUUUUUGUUCAACUCAAAAAUUUUCAACCAUUCAUCUAUAUGUCAUCUAUUUGCUGAAGCAAAAUUGUUCAACCCUUUCAACUACUAUUUCGCAGAGGAAUGAGUUGAAUGAUGUUCAACUUUUUUUUGUUCAACUCAAAAUUUUCCAACCAUUCAUCUAUAUGUCAUCCAUUUGCAGCCAUAUAUAUAUAUAUAUAUAUAUAUAUAUAAUAAAAUUAAUUGGCCUAGUGUGGUAAUUUAAAAUUUUUAAUGGAUUAUAUUUGGAUAAAUAUUUGUAGGAGUUGAAGUCUUGGAUGAUUGUCAAAUGUGUUUAAUAUAUAAUCCAAGAUAGGCUUAUCCAAGCUUUUGGACUAUAUUUUUUCAAUUCAAAUGGACUUCAAAUUUGUGUUUGUGAGAGAAAUUUAUCUUAAAGAAGAGUGAAAAAGAAGAAGGUGAAAUCUCUAAGAAGACGGAAGAAGGUGAUGAUGAUAUCUGGAAGAAGAUGUUAGAAGAUGUAGAUGCUAUAUUGAAGAAGAUGGAAGAAGAUGAAGCAGCUGAAGCAUUGAAGAAGAUGAGAGAAGGAGAAGAAGCCAAAGCAAAGGUAAAACCAGAAGCCAUCAAAAUUUUUUACAAAGUUUUGAAAAUUGCCAAGGAGGUUAUCUUAUCAUCGCUUGAGCGGAGUAGCUCUGGCUAUCUGAAACAUUCCGAGUGGAAUGGAAGUCUUCAUUAUGCUAUGAAUAGAUAUUUUGAUGGCUUAUAUGAUCACUUGGCAAAGAAAUCAAUAGACGAUGAUCGUAAUAACACUAUUUUCUCGUUUGAGAUUGAGAGGGUGAAGUGUAUUAUAGUCCCCGCUUAUAGCAAAAUCAAUCUUCUCCUCUUCUCUGAAAAUGAGAAAGUGUACAAGUACUUGGAGCCGCCUGUGGAAUCUAAAAAACACUGGAAUUUGUUAGCAGAGGUGAAAAAGAAUGAUUUGGAGACGCCUGCUUACGGAAGAUUACUAUCUGUAAACACAUAAUCUUUGAUAAAAGAAGCAACAACUUUAUAGUGGAUUUUAACUAUUUAUGUUAAUUCAAUCAAUUUAAUUCAUGAUUCAUUUGACACUCAACCAAAUAAGAUUUAUAGUGGACAAGCUUGUAUAUAUAGAAAAAAGAGAAAUAAAAAUGGCGACAUAUUUAGAUAUGGUUUAUUUGUCAAAAAUAAAAGCGUUUGUAUUUAUAAAGAAGGUGAUGUUUAGGAUGGCAGUAGCUAAUUAGUCAUUGUGUUUAUAAGUAAUUGUCAUUUCGAAGUAGUUAGGUUCAUAUACCAACAUAAAAGUUUCUAAUUUAGGAUGAGAUUAGGAUCAUAGACAAAAGCGUGUAUGUGUAGCAGUAGUGUAUAAUUAGGUCCAAUUUGUUGUCCUAUGUACUAAUUGAGCACAUCCUAUAGAGAAAUGAUUGAACAAAUGAAUAUCUAUUGGUUUGCUCAACUUUAUAGCUUUUUUUAAAACGCUAUUUUAUUGUUAGAUAGCGCUUCCCGAGUGCUAUACUACAGUGGUAGAGGCAGAAUUUUUAGUCACGGGAGUCAUAAAUUUUCUAUAAAAAAAAUGCAGAAAGUAAUUGAAAAUAAAAAUAAAAAUACCAUCACGAAUGAUUGUCUUAACGAAAUUGAUAAGUGAUCUAGUUAUACCAAUUUAAAGGUUAUACCAACAUUGCUGAAAAAAUUGAUAUAAAAUUAACAUAAUCUUUGAUAAACGAAGCAACGGCUUUAUAAUGGAUUUUUAAAUAAUUUUUUAAGCAAAAUUAAAAUACCAUCACGAAUGAUCGUCUUAAUGAAAUUGAUAAAUGAUUUUUUUGUUCAAAAAAUUAAUAAUGUAACAAGUUCAAAAGGAUGUUAUCUUUUACAUACUGUAAUUUUAUUUUCAGCUUGAUUUCAAUGACAUAAAAAAAAAAAGAUGAAAAAUGGUAAAGUAAACUAUAAAACUAAGGUAAUUAGAUUUUAUGUUAAAAAAUAAUAACAAAGUUUAAUGGGCCUCUUUUUGUUUAUAUAUAUAUAUAAUAAAAUUAUUUGGCAUAGUUUGGUAAUUUAAAAUUUUUAAUGGGUUAUAUUUGGAUAAAUAUUUAAUGGGGGUCAAUAUUUUGGAAAGGAGGUCAAUUUUAAAAAAUAACAAAACCUAAACAAUUUUUUAAAAAGUCAUGAGUGUCAAUUGAUCACCAGAGUUUCAUGUGUCUCCCCCACUGCUAGAAUACCUUCUUUUUUUUUUGUAUGUAUGUAGUGUCUAGUUGUAGGAGUUGAAAUCUUGGAUGAUUGUCAAAUGUGUUUAAUUAAUAAUCGGCUUAUCCAAGCUUUUGGACUAUCUUUUUCCAAUCAAAGGGACUUCAAAUUUGAGAAAAUGGGUAGAAAAACUCUCACCUUUCCUAAAAACAUGUAAAAAACUCUCAACUUUUUUGUGGGUCUUUAAACCUUCACCGUUUUAUAAGUGGUCAAAUAAACCUAAUAUUAAUAAAUUCAACUUAAUUUUUUUAAAAUCGCUAUAUUAAACAAUAAACAAAACUAAUUUAAUUUAUGAUUAUUUUUUUUCAAAUUCGAGAUUGCAAUUUUUUCACAAUUUAGUUGAGAUUAGAUUAUUUUUGUUACCAUUAGAAGUUAUUUUAUAUAAACUACAAAAAUUUAUAGGAUAGCACAUUUGAUUUUUUUUUUGUUCGAGUUUUCAGGUUUUAGAUAAAAAUAUAGUUAAAUAAUGGUUAGUUAAAUAUAAUUUAUAUCAUAUUUUUAAUAUAUCGUUAUAUAUAUAUAUAUAUAUAUAUAUAUAUAUAUAUAUAUAUAUAUAUAGAAAUAUUAAUUGUUAGUAAAUCUUAUUUAGUUCGGCCAAUAAAAAUAUUUUGAUUUGGAAAUUCCUGUACUUUUCGUAGCAUUGGGGGUGAUUGGCACAAGGCUUUAAAGACUUUAAGGCUAUUCUAAAGUCUUCACAGUUUUUUUUUUACCAAUUAGGCUUUUUUUACUUUAAUUUUUUUAAAAGUUCUCAAAGCCUUGUUUUUUAUUUGAGAAAUUGUUAAAAAUGCCCCUUUUUCAAUACCCUUUUUCAAAAAUGCCCCCUUUGAGAGUCCAUUUUUAAGUUUGCCCUCUUUUAAUUUUUAAUGACUAUCUUACCCUUAUUUGAAACAAAAUUAGGUCCACAAAAUACAAAAUAUUUUUUGGCGGGAAAAGUGAUCCCGCAAUUUUCCCGCCAAAACACUUGUAAAAACCUUUAAAAUACUUUGUAAAAUUUUCCCGUAAAAAUUUUUUCCGCCAAAAAAUUUUCCCGCCAAAAAAUUUUUUUUGCGGGAAAAGUGAUUCCGCAAUUUUUUUGGCCCGAAAAAUUUUGGCGGGAAAAAUUUACAAGGUAUUUUAAAGGGUUUAUGGAAUAUUUACAAGUGUUUUGUAAAGCUUUACAAUGUAUUUUAAAAGGCAUUACAAGGUACUUAUACGGCAUUUAUAACUUGUAAAACCUUAUAAAAAACUUGCAAAACCUUAUAAAGUANNNNNNNNNNNNNNNNNNNNNNNNNNNNNNNNNNNNNNNNNNNNNNNNNNNNNNNNNNNNNNNNNNNNNNNNNNNNNNNNNNNNNNNNNNNNNNNNNNNNUCUGGGUAGGAGAACCGUGAAGCAUGUAACAAGAGGACAGAAUAGUGGUACGUGACGGAGGUAGAAGAUAGGGGCCAGAGACUGGGAAGACGGCGUCUAGCUCUGAUGGUGGCAGCGGCGAGAAGCGCGAGGAGUUGGGGUGAAAUUGUGCUGGGAGGCUAGGACUAAGAGAAUUUUAUAGGUCUGAGAAGAAAGGAAGAAAAAAUAAGGAAGAAUUUGUGGUUUAGUAACUCCAAGGCGUGCAACGCGCGGAGUCCAGGUCUUUAUAACUAAGGUUGAACCAAAUUUAAGGUCGCUUUUUUUUUGUAGAAAAAGAAGACAAAGAAGGAAAUAAAGAGGGUGACUCGCAAAUAAUGCCAUUUUUUCAAUGCUCCGUUUCAAAAAUGCCGCUUUUGGCGUCCAUUUUUAAAAAUACCCCCUUUUAUGUACAAAAUGACUUAAUGACCCUUCUUUUAUUUAAAGAUAUCAUAAAUAUAUAAGGAAAUAUAACACAAUUUUGUCCCGCCAAAAAAUAUUUUGUAUUUUGUGGACCUAAUUUUGUUAUAUUUCCUUAUAUAUUUAUGAUAUCUUUUAUUAAAAGAAGGGUAAUUUAGUCAUUUUGUACAUAAAAAGGGGUAUUUUUAAAAACGGACAGCCAAAGGGGGCAUUUUUGAAAAAGGGUAUUGAAAAAAUGGCAUUUUUGUGAGUCUCCCUUUUUAUUUCCUUCUUUGUUUUCCUUUUUCUUUUUAAAAAAAGGACCUUAAAUUUGGUUUGACAUUAGUUAUCUUGAUAUGGACCCGUGCGUUGCACGGGUUGCCGGUCGAAAUUAUCAUUCUUAAUAUUUUUAUUUUAUUUUUGUAAGCUUAAAUAAAAUUCUAUAAACAUAUAUAUUUUAGAAAAGGGAAAAAACACAUUUUUAACCUUCAAAGUGUUAUUGGGUAGCACUUUAAACCUCGAAAGAAUUUCACUAACAUUCUAAACCACCAAGAUAAUUUUUCUAACACUUUAAACCUCCAAACUAGCUUUGCUGUUUGUCUCGCCAUAAAAAAUGAUAGAAAAUUUAAUUUCUAUUUGUUUAAUAUACAUUUAUUUAAUUUAAUUUAAAUUUAAAUUAAUUUUAUUAUUACAACUAAUAAAAAUCUAAAAAAGAGACAAAAAAUUUUUUCACUUUCUUUGUUUACUCAUCGUUCGACCAUGAAAUUUCAAAAUUAAACCUCUGAAACUAUAGACUUAAGCAAAAGAGAAGUUUAUAGUAUAAUAAUAGAAACUAAAUAAUGUAGAAUAUGAGGUACAAGAAAAGGUUAAACAGAAUAAUAAAAACCAAAGAAUGUCGAAGUUCAAUCAGAAAGCGAAGCAUUCUUCGUAUCGGAGGAAUCUAUUUUUUUUCUUAGUAAUAGUAAAAUCAUAAUAAAUAAUAAAAUUUAUUAAAAUUUAAAUUAAAUUAAAAAAUUUACAUUAAACCAACAAAAAUUAAUUAUUCCAUCAUCUUUUAUGACGGUGCAAACAUGAAAGCUAGUUUGGAGCCUUGGAGGUUGAAAGUGUUAGUAAGAUUAUUUUGGUGGUUUAUAGUGUUAGUAGAAUUCUUUGGAGGUUUAAAGUGCUACUCAGUGAAACUUUGAGGAUUAAAAAUGUGAUUGCCCCUUUUAGAAAAUGCAGCAUAAUUAUUUCAAAAUAUAGAUUUAUUAGCAUAAUGCGCAAUAUAAAACAUUAUUUAUAGUUAUGUUAUACUAAUUAUUAAUUCAUCUAAUAUAAUGUUGGCCUAUUUAUAAAAUUAUAUAAUUUUUUGUUUAUUAUAAGUUAUGAAGUUAUAAAUGUUCAUAUGUUGUAUUAUUGAAUUUUAAUAAGUUAUUUACAUCCAUCGAAAGAGUGUGUUACAUCUUAUAAUUUCAAUGUGGGCAAGAUGGAAACAAAACUAUGAAAAUAAGAAAAGAUAAAAUUAUAUAGUUACGUAAACAUAUGAACGAUAUAUGUAUAAUAUGUAAACUUAAUUGUCUGAGUUACGUAAAUAUAGAUAUUUUUUUAGAAAAGUUUGACGUCAUAAUAAAAUUGUGACAAUAAAAGAAGAGAAAAUAUGAGACCGUAUACACCUAUGUCACGUAACUUUACUUGAUAAUAUGAAAUAUCCUCAAUAGAAAGAAACAACCUUAUAAGGAAUUAGAGAAUAUAUACUAAAUAACUUAAGACUAAAAAAAAUUUUAAAAAAAAUCAGACUAAACAUUAUCUAUUUGCUAUAUGGCUUUUGUCAUUUUAGGCCAUAUUACCAAUUUUUUAGUUUUUUCUUUUUUCUAAUUCUCAAAUCUCUAUGUAUCUCUCAUUAGAUUUCUCUUAUUUUUGCUCGAACUCCUCUUUCUUUCUUCUUCUCUCCCUCUGUCGGAUUUCUUCACCACCAUAUAUAUAUAUAUAUAUAUAUUUUUUUUUUCCGUAUCUCCAUAGCUCUCAUUCGUCGGCCAUCACUAUCGAGUCUCACUACUUUGACCUACCAACACAACUGAAUCUCACUAUUAUCACAAUCACCACCACCAUCAAUACCGAAUCUCGCUAAUUCUGAGUCACCACCUUUAUCACUAUUUACCGCCACCACCACCACCAAGCUUGAACCACCAUCAUCAACACCAACACCACUGUUACCGUCUCUUAUCCUCUUUUCCCAACUUCUCUUAUUACUCCACCUUAUAUAUUGGUGGUAAUUAUAUAUUGUUUAUGGCAAACUAAAACAAUAUAUUGGUGGUAAUUAUAUAAAUUGUAGUAAUUUUUUUUUACUUUUUGUAAUAUUGUUUUUUACUUAACUGUGUUUUUGUCCUCAAUUAUGAUUGUAGUAUUGUUAGAUUGUUUGUUUCAAUUUCUCUUUUCAUAUUUAAAUUAUCAAAGAUUCAUAUAUCAUCGUGUUUAUAAUUUUUUUAUUUUUAGUUUAACUGUUGUAUCUUUAAAUUAUUUAUUUUGGUUUCUAAAUUCAGUUUAAAUUAUAUCAGAUUUAUAAUAUAUCAUAGUUCUAAUGAUUUUAGGUAGCGACAUAUGUCAUGAUUUAAAUUAGAAAUUUACAUAAUUUAUAUCAAUUUUAUUUUCUAAUUAGAAAUAUGUGAUGAUUUUAAGCAAAGUUUUAUAUUGUUUAUUUGAAAUUCUUGAAUAUGUAAGAACCAUAUAUGCUUCUUCUUUGUUUUUGAUAUUUUGAAUUUAAUUAUACUAUUUUAAAAUUGUUUAUUUAAAUUUCUAUGCUCAUCUUUGAAAUAUAUAAGAUUCAUAUAUCAUCGUGCUUAUAUUUUUUUGAAAUUAUAAAUUUUAAUUGAUUGAUCAUAAAGUCAUUGCAAUCGAGUAUAUAGGAAUCGAACCCGCAACGUUAGUUUGGAAGGUUAAGGGAUUUAUUCGAUUUAUCAUCUUUAUGUUUUUAACGUGUCUAAUUAAAAACCACUUUGAUUUCAUUCGCCAACUUGAUGAUGAAUAUUUUUACUUUUAGUUCUUCAUAUAAGUAUACCAUGAGUUAUUGCUAUGUGAUAUAUUUUUCAUUCGAAUUAAUUUUAAAUUAAUAAUUUAAGUGGUUAAAGAAACAAUGCAACAGUUAAAAAGUAAAUAUUUUUUUUACUUUUGAAAGAAAAUUUCUACUUACAACGUUGUUAAUAAUUUUUUUGUUAAAUUUAAUUUUAAUUUUAAAAUAAUUAAACCCGUCCAUCGGACGGGUCCUUAUCUAGUACUUAUAUACAAUUAUUACAAAAUUUUAUAGCAUCAAAUGAAAAAUGUGAGGGACUCCGUGUUCCAUGUAUUUAACUUGGUAAAUUGAUGGUCUGAAAAUUCUACUUGUACGGACUUCCAUCUGAUCGACACCAAAAUCUGCAGUGGCAUUCUGGUUGUCCUUUACUGGGUUGUGUCGUCUUUGUUCUGCAAGUACCAACACCGUCGGCAGAUUUCUUCUUACAUAGAGAGGCACACAAUUCCGAGUCACAUGUUGAUGCACCUUUAGAAGCAUCUUUUAGAGCUUCAAAACAAGUCUUCGGCGCCUGUCCCAGUGUUUCCUUCACCAUCACCCCUACAAUAAUAAAUAUUUUAGACAUAAAAUGUCAAUUUCUAUUUUAAAAAUAUUUUUUUGUCAAGAUUAUAUUGAUGUUUGAAUAGUUUUUAGCUAAAAACUAAGGGUGCUAUGGUUUUGAAUUUAAUUAUACACUAUGUUCUCCUAGCUAACCAAUUAUAGUGUCUAAUUCAUUUACCAGACUCUCUAGAUGUAUCUUAUCAAAUAAAAAUAGAAAUUUAAGAAAACAAUUAUAAGGUAACUAUACAUAUAUCUUAUAUAAAACAAUUUUUUAAAAAUAUAGAAGAUAAUUAUAAGAAAACUAUAUGUAUCUAUUAAGUAAAAAAUAGAAAUUAAAAAUAUCAUUUACUAAUUCAAAUUUAAAGCUACUAAGUCUAAAAGAAAAAGAUUACUUUUUCCUUAAAAAUUAAAAAUGAUUUAGGAAAUUAUACAAUCUUAUUAUAUAAUAUAAUAAUUAAGGAAAUUUUAUGAUCAAUUAUUAAACCUAGAAGAAAAAGGAUUCUAAAUACUCACAUCUAUAUAAACAAAUAGAUAGCCUCCUAUGUUCUCACCAAACCAAAAAAAAUCUUAGGAAAUUAUACGUAUAUAUCUUGUAUAAAAAAUUAUAAAAAUCUAAAGAAGAUAAUUAUAAAGAAACUAGAUGUAUCUUAUUAAAUAAAAAUAGAAAUUUAAAAAAAAAAAUUAUAAGGCAGCUCUACAUAUAUAAAACAAUUUUAAAAGUAAAGAAGAUAAUUAUAAGGAAACUAUAUGUAUCCUAUUAAAUAAAAUAGAAAUUAGAAAAUUAUUUACUAAUUCUAAUUUAAAGCUACUAAAAAUUAAUUUUCAAGGAUUUAAAAUUUAUAUUUUUAGGUUUGGGUUGAUUAUUUUAGAUUUAAGGUAUAGUUUUAGGGGGUAGGGUUUAGUAUCUAGGGUUUAGGGUUUAGCUUUGAAUGUUAAAAGUUUAAUUUUUAGUUUUGUGGUAUUUUUGGGAAAACAAGAAAUUAAGAAAUUAAGUGGAACUUUUUGAAUAUUAAACUAAUAAUGAUUGUUUUGGAAAAUCAAAACUUAAGUGAGUUUUUUUUAUAUAGAAUUUUUCUAUAUUUUUGAGUGGUAAACUAUUAAAUUAUAUAUAUAUGUAAAUAAAAUGAUGUUUUGACCAGUGGGGUAUAUAUAAAAUAUUUUCUGAAAAAAUUGUGGAAUCAUAUUUUAGGCGAAACUGCAAAAUCAUGUUUUUUGAUAUUUCAAAAUAAUAAUUUUUGGUUUUUUUUUGUUUUUUGUCAACAAUUUGACAUUAAUAAAAAUGAUGAAUAUCUUGGCAAAAUUUUGGUGAUUGGUAAUUUAAAUUUCUUUUAUUAUAAUAAAUGUACCAACAAAUUUAAAAUAUAGAUAUGGAUAGAAGUGUAAUAAGGCAAAUGAUGAAUAUAUAAACAAAUCUUCUGUCUAAUUAAAAAUUUAGCUUCUUAUUUCUUAAAUAUAUUUUUCUAUUCUUAAUUAAAAAACUAAUAUUUAAUUUUAUUUAAAAUUUUAAAAACCCGCCCACCGGGCGGGUCCUAAUCUAGUGAAAAUAUGAUUGAGUGUUGAAAAUACAUUUUGAGUGGUAAACUAUUAAAUUUGUAAAAAAAUGUAAAUAAAAUGAUGGUUUGAUAUGUGGUUCGUAUUUUGAAUAUUUCAUGAAAAAGUUAUGGAAUCUUAUUUAGGCAAAAUUGCAAACCAUGUUUUUUGAGAUUUGACAAUAAUAAUAAUGAAUAUUUUAGCAACUAUUUUGGUGAUUGGUAAUUUAAAUUAACUUGAUUCUUAUAAUAAAUGCACUAAAAAUUUUAAAACAUAGAAAUGCAAAUAAGUGUAUUAAAGCAAAAAGAUGAAUCUAUAUAUAAACAACUUUUCUCUCUAAUUAAUAAGUUAUCUUCUUAUUUCUAAAAUAUAUAGGGAAAAUUGGACAAAAGGAUAUCCACUAAAUUUUGUCCAUAUAUACCUUUGUUAUUGGUUUAUUUGUUGGAUAAUUCCAACUUACUUGAGGAGCAAGUAAUCUCUUUCUAGAAGAUGCUAGAAGAGAUAGAAAAAAUCCUACCAAAAAAAAAAAGAGAUAGAAAAAAGGAAAAACAAGAAAAGUUAAUUAGGAUAAAGUUUUGGGAGAUUUCUUUUUCUUAAGGUUGUUAUUUUCUAUAUAAAUAGGAGUUCAUGGAGAUUUGUUCCAAAGGACAUUAGAGAGAGAGAUAAGGCUUUGGAGAGUUGUUCCAAAAGACCUAGAGAGAUUUAGUUUUGAGUAGUUUCUAAAUCAAUAAAGAAAGUUCGUUCUUUACUCUCUUGUUCUCGUACUGCUGAAUUACUUUCUGAAUCAUUCAGCGACUACGUCAGGGUAAGGUGAUCCUGAUUUGAUUUGGUAUCAGAGCUUAGUUUGAAGACUCUGGACGGUGGUACGUGACUCGUAAGCAAGUAUGGCAGGCGAGAAUCAACAACCACGUGCGAAGGACCUUGGAGUUCCAUCAAUUCAUUGUCCAAUGUUGACAUCGACAAACUACACGGUUUGGGCGAUGAAGAUGAAGGUACUUCUCCGAGUUAGUGAAUUAUGGGAUACAAUUGAUCCAGGAUCUGCUGAUCCAAAGAGGAACGAUGUGGCGAUGGCGCUUCUAUUCCAAUCAAUCCCCGAAUCUCUCAUACUUCAAAUCGGAGAACAGAAAACGGCGAAGAAGGUUUGGGAAGCUAUCAAGUCUUGACACCAAGGAGCAAAGCGGGUGAAGGAGGCGAGGCUUCAAACCCUAGUGGCCGAGUUAGAUCGGUUGAAGAUGAGUGAGACCGAUACAGUAGACGAUUUUGCGGGAAAGAUCUCAGGCAUCGCAGCUCAAUCAGCAUCUCUAGGAGAGACGAUCGAUGAAACAAAACUUGUGAAGAAGUUUUUGACGGGACUUCCAAGAACCAAGUUCAUUCAUAUUGUAGCAUCCCUUGAGCAAGUUCUUGACCUAAAGCAGACGGGGUUCGAAGACAUUGUUGGGAGGUUAAAGGCAUAUGAAGAACGUGUUGGGGAAGAAACUCAAAGUGAAUAUCAAGGAAAACUGAUGUUUUCAAACUCUAACCCUAAGCGUGGAGGCUACGGGAAUAAUAGAGGUGGUUAUAACAGAGGAGGUUUUAACCGUGGUGGAAGAUUCGGUGGUGACGGUUCCGGUGGAGGCAGGGGUCGAGGAAGGACCGGCUUGCAAGCUCAAGGAGGAGAAACCGGAGAUCAAAACCAGAAGAAGAAGGAUCUGUCCAAUAUUACUUGUUGGGUAUGCAACAAGAAGGGUCAUUAUUCAUCAAAAUCUCCCGACAAAGCAACCGGACGACAAGAGACUAACUUGCAUGAGACGCAAGAAGCUGGAGCACUUUAUGUUCACGAAGUGGUGUUCUUGAACGAGGAUAAAGUGUUCCCUAAGAACUACGAUACCAACAGUUGUUGGUGUCGGAUCCCACACGGGUGGUUCAGGACCAACCAAAAAUUGCCACAUAAACAGAAGAGAAGCCCACGAGGGAUAAGGCCCAUUAGACUCAAAAACUAAGGGUGGGAUCGAAGUGUCCGCACCGCAGAGGGAGAUCGAAAUGGUUGUAUCUCGGGAUGAGAACGGAAUCAAAGUCAUGGAUAGUUCGGCUCGAGAUUGUUUGGGCUGAGAGGCGAGGCCCAUGAAGAUCGGAGUCAAUUCAAAUUUGAACGUUUGAGCAUUAAACUCGAAGACUGAAACGGGCACAUUUAAGAGAGAAUAAUUAUAUUUAAUUAGGAGUUAAAUGUCAUUAGUGAGUAUAAAUAUAAGGGCCAAAUUCAUAGCUUUUGUGAAACAAUUUCUAUACUCAAGAAUAAUCAUUCUCACUAAAUAAAUAAAUACUUGAGUGUGUGAAUCCGACAUCCACAACAGUGGAAGUGUUUGGUACCUCGACAACGGAGCAAGCAACCAUAUGACGGGAAAGAAAGAGUUUUUCUCGAGUUUAGAUGAAAAGGUCAAAGGAAAAGUGAAGUUUGGUGAUGGCUCGUUUGUUGACAUUGUAGGGAAAGGAUCCAUUGUCUUUGUGGGCAAGACUGGUGAGAGAAGAUCCCUCAAAGAGAUCUACUACAUACCGGAUCUAAAACACAACAUUAUAAGUCUUGGACAAGCAACCGAAGGAGGAUGUGAAGUAUACAUGAAAGGAGACUCAUUGAUACUCAAUGAUCCUAGUGGAAGGCUGCUUGUAAGAGUCAUAAGAUCACCAAAUCGUCUGUACAAGACGCCAAUGGAGAUAAGAAAACCAACAUGUUUGCAAGCUGAAGGACUUGCUGAGGGACAUGCUGAGGGACUUGCUGAAGGACGAGCUGAAGGACUGACUGAAGGACAUGCUGAUGAAGCUACAAGAACAUGGCAUGCUCGGUUAGGUCAUGUAAGUUUUGGUGUUAUGAAUAAUAUGGUGAAGAAGAAUAUGGUCAUUGGAAUGCCGCAGGCUUUACACGAGAUGAGUGUAUGUGAUGCAUGCUUGGCCGGGAAACAAACGAGACACUCGUUCCCAACCAAAGCUACUUACCGUGCAGCUCAAGAAUUGGAGUUGAUUCACGGAGACUUGUGUGGACCAAUCUCACCUCCAAUACUGGCGAACAACAAGUAUGUGUUUGUGUUGAUAGAUGAUUUCUCAAGAUACAUGUGGACCAUGUUAUCGAAGGAGAAGAGUGAAGCUUUCGAUCGGUAAAAAGGUUUAAAGAGUUUGUAGAAAAGCAAGCCGGUUUGUCUAUCAAAACCUUUCGCACCGAUAGAGGAGGAGAGUUUACUUCAAGUGAGUUCAAUCAUUUUUGUCAAGAGAAUGGAGUCUCUAGGCAUCUAACUGCACCUUAUACGCCUCAACAAAACGGUGUGGUCGAAUGAAGAAAUCGAACUCUAAUGGAGAUGAAAAGAAGCUUGUUAAAAGCUAUGAUGAUUCCGAAUGACAUGUGGGGAGAAGCUGUACGUCAUUCAACCUACCUCAUCAAUAGAGUACCAACAAAAGCUUUGCAAGGGAAGACACCGUAUGAGAGUUUUUGGUCCAAGAAACCCAAUAUCGAGCACUUAAGGGUUUUUGGAUGUGUUGCUCACGUAAAGAUCACGGGACCGCAUCUGAAGAAGUUGGAUGAUAGGUCAAGAAGUGUGAUCAAUCUUGGAACAGAACCGGGUUCCAAGGCAUAUCGACUCUAUGAUCCAAGUACAAGGAAGGUAAUGGUAAGUAGAGAUGUGGUGUUUGAUGAGAAAAGAGCUUGGGAUUGGUCGCCUACAACUAAAGAAACCGGAGAACCUGGUAUGUUCAAGUUAUCUCAUGAAGGAGGUAUUGAAGAUGGAAACGGAUAUGAAGACAUUAACAAUGAUGAUCAUGAUCCGGAUCAAGAACCUGAAGAAGUUCAGGAAGUAGUAUAGGAAGUUGUACAGGUUGCUCAAGGCGGAAAUCAAGAAGCUCAAAAUCAACAAAUCAUGACAAGAUCUGGUCGUGUGGUUAACAAACCAAGGUAUCUUGAUGAUUAUGUGUUACUAGCUGAUCUAGAGUAUGAGAGGCUGUUGUUAACAAUUGAUGGAGAACCCAAAAAUCUCCUUGAAGCCAUCAAAUUGCAAGAAUGGGUAGAAGCAAUGGAAGCGGAGUUGGAUUCUAUCACAAGAAACAAGACUUGGGAACUUGUUGAGAAACCAGAUGGCGUGAAACCUAUAGGGUUAAAGUGGAUCUACAAGAUCAAGAGGAAGGCCGAUGGUUCGGUGAAUAAGUAUAAAGCAAGGCUUGUAACAAAAGGUUAUGUACAACAACAAGGUAUAGAUUUCGAAGAGGCGUUUGCACCAGUGGCAAGGAUCGAAACUAUAUGGCUACUAAUAGCACUUGCAGCGACAAAGGGAUGGGAGAUACAUCACCUAGAUGUCAAGACAUCUUUCUUGAAUGGAGAUCUAAAUGAGGAAGUUUAUGUAAGCCAACCCGAAGGCUUCAUAAAGAAAGGAGAAGAGAACCGAGUGUAUCGACUUUACAAGGCAUUAUAUGGUCUACGUCAAGCACCUAGAGCCUGGAAUGUGAAGCUUGAUCACGUCUUAAAGAAGAUGAGCUUUAAGAGAUGCGUGAAGGAGUCCUCGGUGUACCUCAGAAAAACCGAGAAAUACCUAUUGAUUGUGGCAAUCUAUGUCGAUGACUUGUUUGUGACAGGAACUACAUGGAAAGUCAUUAAUCAGUUCAAGGAGGAUAUGUCAAGGGAGUUUGAGAUGUCGGAUCUUGGAAAGCUGACAUAUUAUCUUGGUAUUGAAGUAAUUCAAGGAGCGGAUGGGAUCCAAAUAAAACAAGAGGGAUAUGCUCAAGGAAUUCUUGUGGAUACUAAGAUGGAUGCUUGUAACUUGACUCAUGUGCCGAUGGAUUCAAGCUUGAAGAUCUCAAAAGCAGAGGAUGAGCAAGAGAUCAAUGCUACAAAGUAUAGAAGAGCCAUUGGAUGCUUGAGGUAUCUUCUACACACAAGACCCGAUAUGGCAUUUGCUGUGGGAGUUUUAAGCCGAUACAUGCAGAGUCCGAGGGUGAUGCAUGGAAAUGCUCUCAAACAUGUUCUAAGGUAUGUGAAAGGAACGACGAGCCUAGGCUUACACUUCAAGAGAGACGGGUCAACGAGAAUGAUCGGAUAUAGUGAUAGUAGUCACAAUAUCGACAUUGAUGAUGGUAGAAGUACUGCAGGGCAUGUCUUCUAUCUUGGUUCAUCUCCAAUCACAUGGACUUCACAAAAGCUACCGACCGUUGCAUUAUCGUCAUGUGAAGCAGACUUUAUGGCAGCUACGGAGGCAGCGAAGCAAGCCAUAUGGCUGAAGGAGUUGUUGAAGGAGAUUCUUUGUAUUGACGAGAAGGUCAUACUAAAGAUUGACAACAAGUCGGCUAUUGCUCUUACCAAGAAUCCGGUGUUUUAUGGAAGGAGUAAGCACAUACUCAAGAAGUAUCACUUCAUUCGAGAAUGCGUGGAGAAUGAGCAGAUUGAAGUUGAGCACGUUCCCGGAGAGGAACAGAAGGCAGACAUACUUACCAAGCCAUUGGCAAGAAUCAAAUUCAAAGACAUGAGGAGUCUAAUCGGAGUUGAAGAGAUCAAGCUUCCCGGAAUUCAAGUUGGAAUUAAGGGGGAGAAUGUUGGAUAAUUCCAACUUACUUGAGGAGCAAGUAAUCUCUUUCUAGAAGAUGCUAGAAGAGAUAGAAAAAAGGAAAAACAAGAAAAGUUAAUUAGGAUAAAGUUUUGGGAGAUUUUCUUUUCUUAAGGUUGUUAUUUUCUAUAUAAAUAGGAGUUCAUGGAGAGUUGUUACAAAGGACAUUAGAGAGAGAGAUAAGACUUUGGAGAGUUGUUCCAAAAGACCUAGAGAGAUUUAGUUUUGAGUAGUUUCUAAAUCAAUAAAGAAAGUUCGUUCUUUAAUCUCUUGUUCUCGUACUGCUGAAUUACUUUCUGAAUCAUUCAGCGACUACGUCAGGGUAAGGUGAUCCUGAUUUGAUUAUUGUCGUAGAUCAUGGACCGAAGAGUCAAGAUGAGAUUACUCAAUUAGAGAAUGUUUUGUUAGUUAACUAAUGGAUAUGGCUGAAAAUUGGUGUGAGAAUAUGGGAGGAAGUCAAAAGAUGAGAAUAAAGAAGUGAAACGAUUGUGUUUGAUGAUCAAUCAGUCUCAUAAUUUGGUCCAUUUUGCUUCGGUUUUGAAACACAAAGCUGCGACCUUUGCUCCCUUGGGCCUGGGCGUGCUUUCCCUUACAUCACCUUCUCUCUGUCUCUGUUCCACUUUAAUGACACAACUUGGCAAUUAUUUAUUCCAAUACCCUCUGUCCAAGCCUAACUCUAUGUUUUUUUUCCCGAGAGAUGGUCUACGAAUUAAAAAAAAAAAAAAAUCCAAGUCCUUUAUUAAGUCUUCGUGAAAAACCUUUAUUCAUUUGGAGGUUUGGUGAUUUUUUUUAAUUUCUAUUUUAGUUUUGUAAAGUCAAAUAGGAAGUUUUAUUUUUUUUUAAUAAAUUUUGAGAGAAAUGAGGGUAAACUUGGGUUUUGAAAUUUAUAAAACCUAUUUGACCAAUCUACAAAAAUAUGGUAUAUUCGGACAAAUUUUUAAGUAGAUAUUCUUUAUAUCCAAUUUUCCCAAAAAUAUUUUCUAUUCACAAUAAAUUUUUUUUGUUAAAUUUAAUUUUAUUUCAUAAAUUUAAACACGUACAUCGAACGGGUCCUAAUCUAGUAAUAAAUACAUCUCGAAUAAGAAAAUAAUAACUUAGAAAUAUUUAAAUUAUAUAUAGCAUAUCUAAUGUUUAAGAUGGAGUAUUACACUAAUUAAUAAUUAUGUAUUUUUAUCUAUUACAUAUAAUAGAUCCUUUUCUGUUUUUCACCGAACUUAAACCCUCCUAAACCCUACUAUUUUUUACUACAUACAUAAAUCUUUUAACUAAAACUUUGUUUACUAUACUAUGAUUUGUUCAAUGCUAUCUCACAAAUGUAAUCACAUUUGCAUAGUCAUGUCAAAAUUUGUUUUGCAAACAAACACAGGAAACAAAAUGACAUGAAAUGUUUAACUCACAGUCUGUACAUCCGGGUCCGGUUCUAGUUGAAAAUUAAUCAAUGGUCUGAGAGGGAGUGUUAGAAUCAGACUUUGAUUAAUACUCAAACUUGAUUAAAUGAUCAUUGAUUUGGUUUGGAAGGAAACAGAGAAGAGAAGAAGUGUUGAGAUGGAGAAGAAGAAGAAACGUCUAAGUGAGGAAGAAGUAGAAAAAGUUUGGGUUAUGGAGUAAAAGGAAACAAGGCCCACUAAGUAAACUAGGCCCAAACAUUAGUGGAUUAAGAGUAGGGUUAAUUACGGGCAGGCCCAACUUUUAAAUUUUUCUUUCAGGUUUUGACAAAGUGGGGAUUAGCUUUCAGCAUUUGACAAUUAUCUCAAUUUCUGACGAAAAUGCCCUUGUAGCCGAACCGGUGUACAGUGACAGCGAACGAAAUCGUCAGGCGAGUUGGUUACGUACACAGUAUCUCGUUAGCUACAGUUGAUUAGUUUUUUAAUAUUUCCAUCGGAUGUACAGUGUACACCGAACGAAUAAAACAAAUAAAAUAUGUUGUCACAAAUGUUUUAAAUGCUGAAAAAGUUGAGACAUGACUCAUUCCAACUGUAAUCAAUGCAAACUCAUCAUUACAUCUUAUUUUAAUCCUCUUAAAUCAAAUAAUCGUACUGUGUUUAGAUUUUGUAAAGAGAAAUAAGAAAAAACACAAACUUCCCCUAAAUAUCUAUGAAGGAAUGAGAUUGUGGCCAUUUUGAUCUUGUUGUUUAACAAAGUUUGCAGGCGAGAAAGCAAUGAAGUUGUAAAUAUAAAUUUUAGGUAUUACAUACACUUCAAUGAAAACAAAAUUGAUUUGGAUACAAAACUUCAGGAAAUUGAUCAUUUAUUCCCGUCUUCAUUCUAUAUUUGUUCUGUAAUAAAUGUUAAAUGAGGAGAUGCAAAGUCUUUUUUUAGUUGGAGUUAUAAAAGUUGUUCUCAGUUGCAUUUAAUGGGAUUCUCCUGAAUUUAUGAUGCAGGAUAUUAAUGGAGAUUCCAGUAUUUAUUAUGGUUGGUGAGUGGAUAAUAACAGAAGAACAAUGGAAAUUUGAACCUGAGAAAGGAAGCUAUGGUCGGUGUGUACGUGUUAGAGAAUACAUGAGAUACACGGAUUUGACACGUACAUUAUGUGAGGUUUUCAAUUUGAAGUACAAUGAAUGGCAGCCAAUAAUUAGUUACUGGAUGCCGGGAAAUAUGUCAAUUAUGAUAGAACGUACACGCCCUCCUGUCUACAUUGACAAUCAAAUGAGCUUGGAUACAUUCUUCCUGAUUCGUGUUGGGGAUCCAAGUGUCAACUUGUUUGUGUCGUUCAGUACAACUGUAGAUGCCACUACUAAUGCGGAUGUAGAUGAGCAAACUGACGUACAUGAUGAAAAAACAAAUGAAGAUGCAGAGGAUGACAGCGACGAAAACAUUGAAAUAGAUGACGAUGCCAGUGGUGGAUAUAGUGCGGGAAGUACCCUCGACCCUACUAUAGACGGCAGUGAAGGUAGUAGUGAAGAUUACAAUUACAACAAGUGGAAUGAUUUGAUUGUAGAAGAAUAUGGAGUUGGCCAUGUUGAGGAGGACGUUUGUGACACUCCACCGACCGUAGAACCGGCAGGGGAAUUCAGUCGUCUAUUGGAAGAUUACAAUUACAACAAGUGGAAUGAUUUGAUUGUAGAAGAAUAUGGAGUUGGCCAUGUUGAGGAGGACGUUUGUGACACUCCACCGACCGUAGAACCGGCAGGGGAAUUCAGUCGUCUAUUGGAAGAGUGUACGAACACAAGUAAACGUGUACGUACAAGAGAAGGAAGUGCGAAUUUGGGUGACACCCAGCCCACUGUGAAUUCAACCCGGACGUGUCAACAUGGAUUGCUCCAAUGUACGUACACUAGAGAAUGUGUACAAGACACAGGAUGCGAAGAUGAAUUUGUUACGUAUACGGAUACCGAUGUUAAUGGUAGAGACGAUGUCAAUGGAGAGAUUGGUGUGGAUUUGGAUAUCGGAGGUUCAGAAACUGGUGUCUUAAAUGAAACUGAUCUCCGUAUACAACCCUCGGUUGAGGCUUAUGAAGUGUAUAAUGGAUUUUCUUUAUUACAUAGUGGAGAGCCGGAGAUUCUUGAUAAUGAUGCUGCUCCAGUAUUUGAUGAUUUAGCCAAAGUUAGAUGUGAUUCUACAGAAGUUGAAAUUAAUACGACUGGUGAGACAUUGUAUGUGGGUAGUGUGUUUAUGAACAGGAAAGUCAUACAACAAACUAUGGCUUAUCUUGCACUCAAAGUUUGCUUUUGCUACAAGCAAACUCGGUCUGAUCCUAGAAGAUUGGAGAUGGUUUGUGUGGAUGAAAAUUGUCGGUGGCAUUUGUCUGCAAAGGUUGUCAAGAAUUCAGAAUGUUUCAAAAUCACAAGGUAUAAUUCCAUCCAUACAUGUGACAUCGACACUCGCAAGGGUUACGCUAAACAUGCUAACCAUAAACUUCUCGGAGAGGUAUUGAAGAGUAGAUACAGUUCUACGCAAGGAGGUCCGAGAGCUGUUGAUUUACCACAUUUGCUAUUAAAUGAUCUCAAUGUUCGGAUUUCAUAUGCUACAGCUUGGAGAGCUAAAGAGGUGGCAGUUGAAAAUGUAACGAGGCGAUGAUAUCAAAAGUUACAGGUUUUUACCAACUUAUUUGUAUCUUCUUAAAGCAGCUAAUCCUGGGACAAUAACACACCUCCACUCUACCCCUGAAGCUGAUGGUAAGCAGCGAUUUAAGUAUGUAUUUGUAGCUCUCGGGGCAUCCAUAAAAGGAGUUAAGUAUAUGCGGAAAGUAGUUGUCGUAGAUGGUACACAGCUAGUAGGUCGUUACAAAGGUGUCCUCCUAAUAACAUGUGCCCAAGACGGGAACUUCCAAAUAUUUCCAAUAGCUUUUGGUAUUGUUGAUGGGGAGACCGAUGCUUCAUGGAUUUGGUUCUUUGAUAAAUUAGCUGAGAUUGUUCCAGACAGUGAAGAUUUAAUGAUUGUCUCGGACAGGAAUUCUUCUAUUUACAAAGGACUCAGUGUUGUGUACCCGAAAGCUCAUCAUGGAGCAUGUGUAGUACACCUUGAGCGAAAUAUAUCCACGUAUUAUAGUAAGUAUGGUGUUUCGGGAUUAUUCUUCAGCGCCGCAAAAGCAUAUAGGGUGAGGGAUUUUGAUAAAUACUUUGCAGAGUUAAGGGGCAGAAGUGCUGGAUGCACAAAAUACUUGGAAGAAAUUGGAUUUGAGCAUUGGACAAGAGCUCACUGCAAAGGGGAACGGUACAAUAUCAUGUCUAGCAACAACUCAGAGUCUAUGAAUAACGUCUUAACCAAAGCAAAAGCAUAUCCGAUUGUCUACAUGAUAGAGUUCAUUCGAGAGGUCCUUAUGCGGUGGUUCGCAGCUAGGCGGAAAAAAGUGGCUAAAUGUAAAUCUUUAGUGACGCCUGAGGUUGAUGAGCGUUUUCUCCAAGAUUUACCUGAGUCCGGGAAAUUCGCAGUGAAGAUGUCUGGACCCUGGAGUUAUCAAGUUACAAGCAAGUCUGGUGAGCAUUUCCAUGUCGUACUCGACGAGUGUACGUGUACGUGUCUUAGGUACACGAAGUUAAGAAUUCCAUGUGAACACGGUCUAGCAACUGCAAUAGAGUUUGGGAUUAAUCCGAAUAUUAUUGUUGGCUGGUGGUAUAGCAUUCAAACGUUUUCCGAUUCUUUUCAAGAACCGAUUCUACCUAUCGCGGAUCCAAAGGAUGUUGUCAUCCCUCAAAAUAUUUCAGAAAUUAUACUUAUUCCUCCUCACAGUAGACGACCACCCGGGAGACCAACCAGCAAAAGGAUACCUUCUAGGGGUGAAAACUGGGUAAGUUAUAUAAUUUUUCCUUGUACGUUAUUGACCAUAUCUAUGCUAUGUCUAUAUACAUGAUUUUCUUGUUUACUUUUGUUGUUUCUCACGUUCAGAAAAAAAGACAGAAAAGACUAAAUCCGAAUCUCUGCACAAGAUGUAGACAAGAAGGUCAUAACAAGAAGACUUGCAAAAAUCCAAUUUAGCUCUGUAGGUUUGUUUUUUUUUGGCAAAGUGUGGGCAGUGUACGUUUAUGUAUUUUUUGUGUAUCCAAGUUUAUUUCGUUGUACGUAUGCCUGUGUAUGUUUUCAGCUUCCCCGUGUACGUAUACUUUAUAAAUGAAACGGUUAUAGACGGUUACACAAGGGAAAAGGGAUUUUCAUAUCCGCAAUUUCUGGUCCGUGGAUUUUUAUACCUGCACAUUUUUUUAGUGUAUUUUUCAAAUCGAUUUCGCAUUUCCUCUUUUUCUUAUCGAUCAUUACAGAAACCCAAACACAAACAUCAUUCAUACAUAUAUAUUCUCAUACUUCAAAACACAUCAUUCUUUUAGUACAAAUCCACAUCAUGCAUUCACUACAAUACAUAUAGAUUCAAAAUAUAAACCUGAACAAGAAAAUCAACACCAAAGCAAACACCACGAUAUUCUGCAAGCUACGGAACUGAAUUUUCAACUCUGCAACUUCUUUUUCAAUCACAGCCUCACAGACACGCGUCUCCAUCGUCAGAUUCUCAAUCUCUGAUUCACACGCAUUGAAGCUUUUUUACAUUGUAAUCGAAGUUCCUUAUAAGUUAUCAACUUUCUCUAUCAAGUCUUGUAUCUCUUCCACCAUACAAGAAUCCGUCCAUUUGAACACAUGAUACCUAUUAUCCUGACAUACCAAGCUAAAUGCAUAUCUUAUAUGACACAAAAACACAUAUAGACAAUAAUUUCCAGAAUUUAGCCACUUACAUUGUCUCCAAAAGGACAAGCAUGAAACAAUCUGCCAGGAUUUCUAGCAGUUUUUGACGUCUUCAUCACUAUAGGUUCUCCGCACCGAUAAUUCUUAGGGAACCCUCUUAAUCGAUCACCCAUUUCACAACUACCCAGCAAAUUUCACCAAUUCAGUCUCAUUUCUUCAUUAAAAUCGAAGGUCGUGGAAGACAUGGUUACCUGCUAGCGAAAUGACGAUUUCUUCUGAUUCAAUUUCUCUUAACCUCUCUGUUCUGCGAUUUUCUCCCCUAUCUUCACUCUAAUUUCGGAGAAGCCGAAGAAGAAAUGAGAAAUCAGAUUCUCAAUUCGAAACCCUAGAAUUCUUAUUUUUCCCCCAAUUCAAAAAGGCGUCGUUUGAUUACUUUGAAAACCCAAAACUGUAAAGGUUUAUAAGUUAAAAUGAUUGUGACAUGUUCGAUGAAAGUUGUGGGAUCAAUUGGUAUAAGGUUCUGGAAGAGUCAAGAACGCACACGGGUUCGAAACCCCAAUUUUGCAUACAUUUUAAAACUUUUAGACCAAGUUGUGAAACGACGUCGUUUUACAAUACAAGUCAGCCCCAAUUUAUUUCCAAAUGUUGCACCUUUCCAACUAACCAUUGCUUGUUACCAAAUUUUAUUAUUUAAGCGCCAAUUUAUUUGCUUUGUUUCCACGUUCCUGCUAUCUCUCGAAAACACCAGUCAAAUCUCGAUUUAUAUCUGUCAAACACAAACUAUCACACCCCUUGUGCUUACAUUCCGUGUUAUCAUCAUGGACGGAUAUCAUACCAUUUCUGAAUUGUGUCCAAUGAUCACUGGGUGGACAAUUUGUGUCUUUGUCGUCCGAGUGUUUAAGAAGUUCGUUGCUCCUAACGUUUUCGAAAUCGGACUCAUCUUGGCAGAUGAAUCGGUAAUAUCCCCAUCUCCCCUAAUUUUUUACCAUCAUACAACCCAUUUGCUUAAAUCUUAUUUGCUUUUUCAUCAUAAUCUGCAGGGUUCCCGCUCACGCAUAGAGGCAACCAUUGACCGUCGUCUUGCUCCUUUUUACUUGGAUCGACCCAAAGAAAAUGAGUGGAAAAUUAUCACAUCAUUUUCUGUACGUAAAAAUGCAGACCCAGUGAAAGCAACAGCGCACGAGUACGGGAUCUGGUUUUUGGAUCGGACCGUUGUUACUAACGCAUUGCGAAGGGACCCAUUCAAUUUUUAUGAUUUCACCAAUUCGACUACAUUAUUCAAAAGACGGUUGAUAAAAAUGUGUUGGUCGGUGAGUAGUUUUACCUUAGACUUGAGUAUUUUUAAAUUUGUACUUAAUGUUUUGGCAAUAGUUACAUAAUAUCUUGGUUUAUACCCCAGAUGUGGUUGGUGCGCAUUUGGAGGUUGGUGGAAUCACCGAAGACUUUUACGGUGUGAAGCUUCCUUUCAAGAUCAAAGAUAGAUAGUACGUAUCUCUAUCCUUUGCAAAUAAAACUACUUCCUACUUUGCUGAUCAUGUUUAUCUUUCCCUCUACUUUAGCAACGAAGUUUUGGAAUGUGAAGCCCACAAUCAACAAGCUUUGGACUUCCAAAGUUACUUCCGCAAUUAUACUCGUCGCAAUAUUGUGGUAGCACUCGUUUGCUGGAGGGUAACCGGGAGAAAUAACCCGAAGCUUGUCAGUCAUGGCCCUGUAUAAAAGUUGUUUGCUGAUCCGGACAUCCCGGAAGUCCAAGAGAUAAAAACGGUGGUUUAUUAGUCCGAAGGCGUGCAUUUUGCUUUGAUUUUUUUUCGUAUUCUAAAAACAACUACAGUUUCUAUUUCUAUAAUCUAUUGUUGCUAUAACAACAAACAAAUAUUGUUGUUUUCUAGUUUGUUUUUCUCCCCAAACUUAAAAAUAUAUGGCCUAAUUUUUUUUUAAUUUUUGUUCCAUUAACAUAAAAUUCUUGACAAGUGUCCGUUCAUAAUGACUAAUUCCAGCAUUGUACGUACAUAUUAUAACAUUUUCGGAUUUUCCAUUUCCUGGAUGAGUACGAUAAUAUUAGUGUUCUCUACUAUGUACGUAUACAUAUUACGUACAACUACAAAACGUUUAAUUAUUCAUAUAUGUUUAAUUCAUAAAAGUAGAUUGCAUUCAUUCAUAACAACAGUCCUUAGAAAGGAAAAUAAAAAGCAUAGAAAUAAAACCUAAGGUUAACUUCAUUCAUUCAUAGCAAGACUCCUGGAAAGGGAAUUACAAAGCAUAGAAAUAAACAGACUAUUACGGUAGAGAUUCAUAAGAAAUAAAGUCAAGGUCACAGCGGAAGCAUAGUCAUAAGUGGGAAAAUUGCAUGCUUCUUCCUUCAUAACCAUCGCACCUCUAGUAGAAAAUGCAUAGUUCUCGAGCGUACCAAUAGAAAAAAAAAUUGCGGCAGGAAUGUCCGUAUGUGCAGCUUCCGAUACAUGGCGGACUGAUGACAAACCUCCAAGAUCUUUGCCACAGCGGAGGGCCUUGAAGAUGAAGUUGACUAAUGUGAUACAUCACCAACUCUCCCACGGCGGUUGCAGCCUGGAAAUUUUGUAUCAUUUCCCAGAACAUUGCAUUUCCCGGGAUGAACUCAGUGUAGCUGACCGUCGUUGUUAAGAACAAGGCAUGUGCGAAGCACACAUAUGGGUCGGCUGGAGAGACCGAACUGAGCAUCGUUAUACCAUGAGUGACGGUGAGGAAGUUGGUACAAAGCCUUACUCCUUCAAGGUAUUGCGCACACAAGGAUCCCGUCUCCAACAAGAUGUCGAAAUACGGUCGGAAAGGAGAAUCGGGCUGAAUGAAAUGCGGCCAAGUCAUAAACUCGUCCAUACAGAUGGAGUUGAUGUCAACGGCAUUCACCAGGUUCCUAAGGGUGUCGACUGGAGUCUGAGAUACAGGAAGGUAGUUUACUAGUAUACUGAUAGGGUUUGGGAGCAGGACCGCAAUAUACAUCUCGGUCGGAGGAGGAGUUGGGAGAGGCAUUUGUUUUUGAGAAUAUUAUAUCGGUUUUGAGUUUGAAAGAUUUGUGUGUAAAGAGACUUGAGGGCUUCAUUAUAUAUAGGGUUAUAACCAAGUAUGUGAAGGCAACAAGUUGAACUACUUCAAUGUGAUGUCACAUCACCUCUGGUUAACGAUACAUCUUUCGAAAUUAGGACAAAAGUAUAGGUACGUAUUUAAUGCUUUAUUGAAUGAGUCUAUCUCCUUCUAACAGUGUACAUUUAUAGCUCCACCGUGUACGUCUAUAUUUGGAACUAGUUGUUAGAAGCAUUUAGAAAUAUUAAAUAUGUUCAUUAUAUAAGUAAGACAAAAUGUAUUUAAUAACUACCCCGAAAGGGGUCAAAUCAAUAUAGGUAGAUCAUUAAUUGAUAAAUUUGCUACAAAUAAUCUACCUUAUAAGUGUGUACAUUUAAAACUAAACCAUGUACGUAUUGAAUAUGACAUUUUUUUCUUUUAUCUGGCAAAAUCUUUAAUCAAAGAUACAUUCCAUAUGUAGUAUACAAUGAAAUUAAUACCCUUUUUCAACUAUUUUAGAUAUUUGUGAAAGAGUGUAAACUCAUUCACAUUUAUAACAACAAGUACUAUAUUUAUGAAACUUUAAGCACACUACAAUAUAGAUAAUAACAUGUAAACAUCAAAGAUAAACUUAGAGGAGUUGGCUAAUUCUUCUAGCACACCACCAUAAAUAGCAAACGUUGCACACAUUUUUAAAGGGACCAGACCUGAUGUAACACAUCAUCGCGCAAGGCGGAGUGUUAAAUCCACGAAACUCAGGGUAAGAAAAUGUUGCACCAUAAGUGUUGUUGUAUGUAAGGCCAUAUUUUUUAAUCUCAUCUAGCAACUCCUCACACAUGUCUCGAGUUUCUUCUGACUGCAACGAGUAAUGGUUUCUCUCAAACAUUAGAAGAUACUCAGCGCCCAUGUACGCGUUACCGUCACAUAUGGAGAGGAUCGCACACGCAAGUAUUGCAUCAGCGUGAUUAGGCACAUUGCGUUGUAAUAGAACUAUAGCUCCCUUUAUGUCAGAUUCAUGUGUUAGAAGACGCAGUCCUUCAUGAUAGAUAGCUAUUGGAUUUCCAGCAUCUACACAUCUUUUGAAGAAAGGUCUAAAGCGACCUUCGGUGUGGAUGUCAUUUGGAUCAUGACCAGCUGCAUGGAAGUCAUCGGGAUCACUGCACAAACUGUAAAUAUUUGCAUCUUCGAGUACAUCGGGCCGGUAUACAAUGUCCCUUCCACGAGGGCCUGAUCUUAAGAGAGGCUGUAGGUACCUCCAACAUUUGUGAACCAUUAUCUUCACAAUCUUGGCUAGGACAUCGUCAGGUAUAUUUGGAUUUGACAUGUUUUGGAUUGAGGUGUGGAACUCCCCAUCAAUCUUAUCCACUUAAAUAGGCGAGGUGAAAGUUUUAGUUGGGAAGAUAAUAGUUGUAUUCAAUGAGAUUAGCAAUAAGUGUAGUUCCAAUACGUCAGCAAUGUCAAAUCAAUUAACUAUAUGUAACCUUAUCUAUUUUGAAUAAUUUUUUUUCUCCAAUACUAUAUACAUUUGUGGUAGCCAUAUAUGUUUAGUUUGUACGUACACAGAAAUUAAUUUUCAUACAUAUGUACGUACAUCAGAAUUUUUAGAUAUUAUGUUUGGAUCUUUAGAUUAAAACAUGAGAUACGUUCAAAAUACAUAAAAUAAGUUUAGAGUGCUAUAAACAUAAAAUAGCCUACACCGCAAGGCAGAAGUUUAGAGUGCUUGAAACAAAACAUAGCCCACACGCAAAGGCAAAAGUUGUUAAAAAACACAAAACCCUUAGAUAAAACAGAAGUUGUAAACGAUAUUAAUAACACCAGAUACACGGCCAUUAGGUCAGAGACCUUACACCAUGCUCGAAGAUGUCAACAGCGUACCCCUUACGAUAGUUGUCCAUAUCAACCUCUUCAAUGGUCUGCAACUCUUCCAUUGAGCGUCCAAGCAUCAGUAGCUCCAUAAACUUCAUCGAGAACGGACCGUAGUCUCCGGUACAAGGGUUCUGAGAAAUGCAGUCCACCCGAAAGUAUGUGAAAGAGUCGAGAGAGUACUUCUCACCUACAUAGUCCUUGCACACCGCUUUCAAUAGAUAAGGCAUCAUAGCCAGGAUGGGCUGCAUCCGAGUCUUCACAACAAUUUCCCGGGUUUUACUUACGAGGGGGUCAUAGAUAGUGACAUGCCGCAUCUUGAGGUGGAUGCUGAGACCAACCCAAUGCUCUUGUGACCAGUUCAAAGGGACGUAAAGGACGUCGACGUCCUUUAGCCACUUGAGCUUAGGUUGACGGUUAAUGCGUUCACCAUUUGCAAUUUCGUAGAGCAGUUCACCCCAAUUGAAACUCUCUUUUUUUUUACACCGACUGAAUUCAUUUGCACGCCGUGAGAGGUCGUACGUGAGUAAUGAAUCCAAAACAAUUGCCCGACUUUUCCUCAUAUGUUCUCCAUUCUUGUGCCACAUCAUGAGGGCGAUCAUUUCCAAGUGCUGAAAAUGUAAACACGACUAUGAUGUUGUGUACGUAUAACGUGUACGUAUAUCAAUACAUGUGUACGUAUAUCAACAAAUGUGGACAUAUACCAACAAUACGUACAUUAGAUUGAACCCAUUCACCAGGUUCUGCAAGGGUGGCGAAAAAACGGUUCUCUAGUUUUCGUAAUCCAAAACCUGUGUGGACCCUGAACGUCGGAGCAAACAAAACAUAGUUAAAUACAUGAUUUGCAUUUAAAGUGAAAAGAAAGAGUAUAUGAUAUUUUAUAAAGUUAGAGAUUCUUACACAUCUGGUCCAUUGAUGAUAUCAGUUAAAAGCUGGAAUUUUGCAUCGUUCACCUUCUCUAAUGGGUUGUAUGGUUCAUUUCCGGCCUUGACCAAAAACGCAGAGUUUGAUGAUGAUUCUUUCGUCUCAAUUAAUAUCUCGACAUCCUUGGAAUCAUCAGGAAUUUGACCAUCACUUCCUUCAACACAUGCAUCCUUCUUCGGUUCCUCCUACACCAAAAAAAAUGUCAAAUUAUUUUACGGUCAUAUUUAAAACCUUAAGGAUAUAUGUAUAUAAUUUAUUAACAACAGCCUCUAUAACUUACUUGAUUUUCCGUGGUAGAGGCGGUUAUAUCCUCUGUAUCCUCAAAAAUAACUCUUCGUUUAACAGAUUUCUUCUCUUUUACGGGGACAACAUCCUCAGGUUUUUGAGACUCACUUACUCCCACAUCAAAAUCAUUUUUUGUUUCCUCCUGAAAAAUAGAUAUAAUUACUAAAUCAAACAAAUAGAAAGCUUAUAUUGAAAUCAUUGCAUGAUAUGUAAAUAAUAUAUAUAGACUUACAAGAUUUUGAGGAACAGAUGCGGUUGUUCUAGCCUCAUCAACGAUAGUGUUUUUAUCCUCCUCCCAAAAUGAUAUAUGCUUUCACCAUUGGUUCAACCUUAUCGAAAUAACGUACACCACCAUCAGUUAUAUGUACGCAAUAACGCAUAUGUACGUACAUCAUGUGUAUAGAAAUUAUAAGUUAAUUUAAUAAACACAGUUACCUCGAUGACAUUGGUACCAGCAGUUACAUCAACAAAGGUUCCCAACUCUGUUAGUACCUGAUGAAAACAUAAUUUUUACUUUGUUGCGAUGUUACAUUAAUGAGGAACAAACUUAUUGUAUUAACAUAUAAGUAACUUACAGUUUAUACGAUUACAGAAGACGGUGAAGGCAUAGAACUAAGGUUGCCAUCAACGCCAAUAGCCCCUCCAGCAUUCCUCUGACCAGCAAUUGUAGGUUCAUCAGCCGGAGAAGCCUACAAUUGGUGCAUUACUCAUUAGUUAAGGGAUAGGUCAUUAUUAUAUGCCACUCAAAGUUUAACAUUGACUUGAUCAUACCUCCAAUUCGUCAGCUCCACGUUUUGGGGAACUAGGAGCAUUAAACAAUUCUUGAUCAUCUCCAACGUUGCUUUCCUCCUGAUUAAACAAUUCUUGAUCAUCUCCAACGUUGCUUUCCUCCUGAUGCAACAUGUCCUGAUCAUCUCCAGUUUUGGUUUCAUCCUCAGGCAAGACGUCCUCAUCAUCUCCAGUUUUGUGUUCCUCAGCAGGAAACACGUCUUUAUCAUCUUCAGAAAUGUCUGCCAUUUCAGUGUCAGACUUAUCUUGUUGUUUGGUAGCUGAAUCUAGCGGUCCUUUGUCAUAUUCACCACCAUCACAUAUGACUUCGUCCUGAAAUAAAGUAAAUAAACAUAUUUAUAGUUUAUGUACGUACAGUACUACACUCUGUGACUAUUUCUAGUACACGACAUACCUCGUCAGAAGGUCCACCAUAAUAAAGUCCAGCACUUUCAUUGUCAGACAUAUCUGCUUCUUUUCUAGCAGAUUCUGGGGCAGUUUUCUCUACAUCCUGUAACAUAAAAAACAUUAUCAUCGCAAACAUAAUGUAUGUACGUACAUUAUCUUCGCAAACAUAAUGUACGUACACGACAUACCUUCUCAGAAGGUGGAGGUACAUCAUCAACAUUGUUUUCUGAAGUAUUCAUUUUCUUCAGCCGAGGAGAUCUCCUUGUUCCAAUCUGAACAUUUCUGGAUUUUUUUACCAUUGGCUUGUCCACCUNNNNNNNNNNNNNNNNNNNNNNNNNNNNNNNNNNNNNNNNNNNNNNNNNNNNNNNNNNNNNNNNNNNNNNNNNNNNNNNNNNNNNNNNNNNNNNNNNNNNNNNNNNNNNNNNNNNNNNNNNNNNNNNNNNNNNNNNNNNNNNNNNNNNNNNNNNNNNNNNNNNNNNNNNNNNNNNNNNNNNNNNNNNNNNNNNNNNNNNNNNNNNNNNNNNNNNNNNNNNNNNNNNNNNNNNNNNNNNNNNNNNNNNNNNNNNNNNNNNNNNNNNNNNNNNNNNNNNNNNNNNNNNNNNNNNNNNNNNNNNNNNNNNNNNNNNNNNNNNNNNNNNNNNNNNNNNNNNNNNNNNNNNNNNNNNNNNNNNNNNNNNNNNNNNNNNNNNNAUUAGAGGAGUAUUUCAUAAAUGAGAAAAUCGUUUGUACUUAUGCUUACCUUUCUCUUCUGGCCGCAGCUGCUUUGGACAUUCAUCAUGACCUCCAACCCAUGUGUUUUCGGACCACUUGUGCCCAUCUAUCAGCUUGCUCAAAAUGUAAUCAACUCUAUGAUCCUCAACUUCCUUUUUCCAUACUAAGGAUUCAGGACAAUCAGUAUCCUCUGGAUCCACAAUAUAGGUGACAUCCACCUAUAAGAUUUUGUUUUUAACGUCUUAGUGAAUGUACGUAUUAAAUUAUCAUCCGAUGUACGUAUAUUAGAAAGCGUACACACCUGAUCUGCAGCUUCGCACUCCAAGAUACUGGAAGUCCGGAUUGGAUGCAUUUUGGCCAGAUUCUUGAUUGACCUCUGAGUGAAUAAGUUUACAUCUGCAGAAGAAGGAACUAGCUUACGAAGAGAUGGGAUAGUUUGGAAGGCAAAAAGCUGCAGCGCUAGUGGAAAGCCAUAGACCAUAUAAGACUGCUGCUUGCAACCAAUUAUCACAUCUUCUAUCUUUUUAGCGGAUUUGAAUCUGGAUAUCCUGUCCAGUGUACGGUUGAAAGCAAGCCUUCCCCAUGGGUAUUUGCAGAAGAAAUCAAGGUCUUUCGUCAUCUCAACUGUCUUUGAAACAGGUCGCACUCGCUGCUUCUGACAGAUUAGAACACCAUCAACAAUGAUUAUCAGCGCUAAUGCUAGUCUCUUCCAUCCUGGCAUUUUUUUCUCUGUCUUCAAGCUCACGACCAAAUCAUCAAUAGUUGGAGACUUAUCACCAAAUAGAGUCUUCCACACAGUAGUACAUCCCUUUUUCACCGUUACCACUUUCUCCACAGCUUUUUUUUUUGGAUAUUUCCCACACUCCAAACCGGUUAUCCGAUAAAAUUCUCUUAAUCCAAACCACAGUGGAUGACCACCAAAAACCAUCCACAUCUCAUAACAUUUUUUGGUCACUAACUGACGGCAAAUCAAGCCAAGAACUAGCUUGCCAGAAAAUGAUACCAUGUUAGGAGGGAUAUUAAAGAGCUCCCCAAAAGGAGAAGAUAGGAGAAAAGCCAUUUCUUCAGUUCCUUUAAGGGCUGUUGCAAUAUCAGCAAGGUACUCCGGUUUGGAAUACGCAUUGAUCUUCGUUUCAGUAGGGUGCUUAUCCAGAGCAAAAAGCCUCGGCGGUAACUCUUCACAUCCUUCACCAAUAUUACCUUCUUCAAUCGGAUCCAUGCUUCCUGCAAGUUAUGUGUAAUAGAAAUAUGUCAGUUUCUAAUAUCCAUAACUAAUUUAACAUACAAACACUAUAACGAAUAAACCCUAGUAGGCCAUAUACGCAUUUUUUUCAAAAUCACUUAAAGUAGAAAAAUUAAUAACUCCAAUUUCGCGUACGUACACAGAUUUGAACAUAAAUCUUCUCAAUUUUCUAUUUUGGCGCAAAAAUCGAUUUAGUUUGAAAACCCAGAAAUUAAAUCCUCGAUUCGAAAUCAGUAUCCCCAUAUUUGGGAUUCCUGAAUCCCCAUUCCCAAUUAAAUUUGAUUUCGGUUUUUACAGAUACUUACCCUGACUUGUGCUCUCGGGCUCCGGCGGGGACUCGGAAUCUCGAUUUCCUUCUCCGGUGAACUAUUCGCUUCACCCUUUUUUGAACUUUUCGCUACCUUCGCGCGGCGCCGAGUCUUCUUCUUCAAUAGAUUCUUUUUCUUCGCCGUCAUCUGUACUCCGUUAUCUUACUCGUCGGAAAUUUCUUUGCUUUUGGUCGUUUCGGCAAAACGGAAAGAUAAUGAGAGAUUUAAAGAGGAAUGGAAACGGAAUUCGCCGGAAUUUUUCCCCCUUUUGGUCGUUUCCAAGUAGAAGAAUCAAAAUGAGAUAUUAGAUUGAAGAAUGGAAACGGUUUGUACUCAGAUUUUUUCCUCCUCUUUCUCUUCGCUUUCUUCGCCGUUCUUCUUCUUUUUUUUUUUAAUUUAAAUUCAAAAAUAUUAACAAACCAAAUAAAACAAAAUCAGAGAAACCGAACCAGCACAGUAACGUCUCUAGUUGAGGGGCAUUUUCGUCAGAAAUCUGGCUAAAUGUCAAACCGUGAAACCCUUUCUCCACUUUGUCAAUUGGUGAGACAAAUGUCAAAAACUGUCCCUUUUUUGAAAAUUUCUUUUAAGAGUAUCGGGUAAACCUUAAAUUAUACCCUAAUGAUGACGUAUAUAUAUUAUGUGUUAUAUAUGUUGUGUUGUGUAAUAAUGUUGUUAGCAAGAAAAAAAAGAUCAAAAGGAUAAGAUUUUCCAGCGGCUGACUCAAAUCGAACAUUUAAGUCUACCUAAUUACUCUAUCGCAUCGCCUAGGGCUUGAUUGGUUCUCCCGCUAGCACCCUCCUAGCGGUUGCUAGCGGUUGGUUGCGGUUGUUAGCGGUUGUUACCAAUCAUGGAAACCGUUCCAUACCGUUUCGAACCGCUCGAAAUUGCUGAAUUUCAAAAGCUCCUUCCCGCAAGCGUUUGCGGUUGCGGGCGGUAGCGGUUGGAUUUAAAAAAAAAAAAUAAUUAAAAAAUAAAUCAAAUGUUUACUUAUAAUUAUUAUAAUAUAUAUUAAUCCUAUAUAUAUCUUUCAUCUUUCUAUCACGUUCUCAUAAGAAAACCCUAAUCAAUAUUCUCAAACCCUAUUCUCUCAAUUAUGUCUUCCACCCAAACUGAUGAAAAUCAAGAAUCAAACGUAAGUAUCAUAUAUCAUUUUAUUCAUUCAUCACUUCAUGUGCAACUCUUCGAAUAUUUUUCAUGACAUCGUUUUUUCUUUUCAUUAUGUAUUGGUUUGCUUGAUGAUUAAAUAUAUGUUUUGAUUUCUUUUCUCGAAUAGAAACUCACUUGGUCAGAUGAGAAACAAGCUGGAAAUUCUAGAGGCAAAAGUUAGAAUUAAUAACACUAGAGAAACAAGCUGGAAAUUCUAGAGGCAAAAGUUUGAGUGAGAAAGGAAAAGAAAACGUUCUCACAGAAUUUAAAAAACAAUUUCCACUAACCUUAAAUUGGAACAAAAUUAAGAACAGACUUGAUACUUUAAAGAAGCAAUACAAAGUCUAUCGUAAAAUCACGUUUGGGUCGACUGGGCUUGGAACUAAUCAAAGGACAGGAAGUCUUGAUGCCCCUGACCAUUGGUGGAAAGAUAAAAUUAAGGUACGUAACCACAUAGUUGUAUUUAUAUAUUAAUUUCUUGUUUUCUAUUCUUAUUUUGAUUGAAAUUUGUUUUUGGUUUAUAAGGCUUAUCCUGAAGCUGCUAAACUUUUUUUUUUUUUUUUUUUUUUUUUUUUUUUUUUUUUUUAAACUGCUAAACUUCGGUCGCACCCACUGCGGUUUAUACCACUUCUUGAUGUGGUCUUCCGAGAUGAAACUGUUGUGGUUGAGGAGUCAUGGCAACCAAGACGUGGUGUAUAUCGUCGUGCUCCAAUAAUGGACUUAAGUGACAAUGAAUGGGUAAACAAUAAUGGAGAAGACAAAAGAGAGGUACCUUCUUUUUCUUUUUGCUAAUUAAACGUGUUUCUAUUUCAAUUAUGAUAGUAGAUUUGGUUAAAUUUUGCUAAUGAUCAUGUUGAUUUUAGUUGUAAUUAUGUUUUAUUAUAUCUGUUUUAAGGUGAUAUUCAUGGCUUCCCAACCUAAUCUUUUGGCUUCCACUUCUAAAGUAAGUUAUUUUUAUGUUUAUGCAUAAUUUAUAAUUUACUGGAUUACAAUAUAUAGUUUAUUGAAAUAUAUUGAAAUAUUUCAGAAAUUUAUGUGGUCUGACGAGAUCACAUAUGCUUUACUUCAACAGGGUAUUGUGGAGAAACAAACGGAAGAAGCCAAAGAAGAACCCAAAAUCAGAUUUCUAAGUGGUGUUCAAAGAGAAAAUAUUCUUAAGAAUAUUAACGACCAGUUUGGAAUUGAUUUGAGUUGGAGCUGUGUUAAAAAUCGUUUGGAUACCUUGAAGAAAUUUUACAAUAUUUAUAAAGGAAAUCCAGAAAAUCCGCGAAUUCAACGUUAUUUGCAGUUUGUCCCAUUACUUGAUGCAAUUUUUGGUGUUAAACCAGAUGUAUAAGUACUAUCUUGUUACAAAAUUUCUUUAUUUUUUUAUAAUUAUUUAGUGCUUUAUUUAUGGUUUUAAUUAUUAAGAAUGUUCAAUUUUUCUAAUAUUAUCAUAAUAAUAUAUUGGUUUUUUAUUUCUUUUUUUUUGUAAUAUUUUUGAAUUUAUUUUGGUCAUUUUUUUAUUUAACUGAUACUGCACCCGCUGGUUUACCAGUCAUAAAACUCCCGCAAACGCAUCCAUUUUUAAAUGUUAAACCAGUCUUUUAAAACGCUUUGUAACGCUUAAAGCCGCAACCGCCCGCUUCCGCAAACUCCCGCAACCGCUACGUUUAAACCAGUCAAGCCCUUAGUAAGCAUAUAAAAAAUUGAACAUGAAGAGACUUUUGUGUUUACAAGCUAAGAUAAAAGAUGUGUCAAAUCUUAAAAGAGAGUUUUUCUCAACUAAUAUAAAAGAAUAGGUGUCAAACGAAAUUCUUUAUCAACAAACACUCAAAAAGCUAACUGGCUAACAUGUCUCGGCUAACAGGUGUCUCGCUAACUCUCACUGUUUGAUAUCAACAAGUUGAGAUCUCACCUGCAAUGGAAGAAACCAAAUACGUGUCACACAAGAAGAUAAAGUUUCCUCUACUAAGAAGACUAGGUGUCAAACAAAAUUCUUUACAACAAGCCCUCAAGAAGCUAACUGGCUAACAUGUGUCUAGCUAACUCUCACUGUUGUUUACAUCAUCAUGUUGAGAUCUCACCUGUAAUGGAAGAAUUCAGGUGGCUUCUUAUACCUUUCACUUGUAUCUGUAGAUUGCCGUCCUCUAAACACAGAAACUAUAACAGGUGUUUCGCUAACUCUCACUGUUUGAUAUCAACAAGUUGAGAUCUCACCUGCAAUGGAAGAAACCAAAUACGUGUCACACAUGAAGAUAAAGUUUCCUCUACUAAGCAGAAUAGGUGUCAAAAGAAAUUCUUUACAAUAAGCCCUCAAGAAGCUAACUGGCUAACAUGUGUCUAGCUAACUCUCACUGAUUUUUACAUCAACAAGUUGAGAUCUCACCUGUAAUGGAAGAAACCAGGUGGCUUCUUAUACCUUUCACUUGUAUCUGUAGAUUGCCGUCCUCUAAACACAGAAUCUUUCCUCAACAACUUGGUUAUUUCAGCAAACGAUGGGGGCUCCUCAGUCCAACACAUCUCCAUAAUCCCAACAAGUAUUGCACUGGCUUCUUUUGGAACUCGUUCCCUAAAAACUUCUAGAAAGGUUUCCAUGAUGUUUCGUGGCUGCUUCACAAAAUCAUUAGGUUUUCGAUCUUCCUCUUUAGCCUUAAGCUUUUUCUUCGCCUGUUCAAGGGCAAAGCUCAUUGGAGUCUAGAAACAACAGAACAAAAAAAGAACUUACGUUAGAAUAAAAUAAGUAUCAAACUAACAUAAUUAAAGAAUUUGACUUUUACCUCUGUUGUGAUGAGUUCCCACAAGAAUAUUCCAUAGCUAAACACGUCAGCUUUCAUAGACAAAGUAUAAAGUUUUUGAUUUCCCGUAACACCAUAUCCGGACACUUUAAUAACCUAGUCAAUGAAAAGGAAAACACAAAUCUCAAUGGUAAGUAAUAAAAGAUAAAAAUGUGUUUCUAACAAAAGACAAAAACAAAACAAAAGUCACCCUUACACCAUCUUUGCUCAUUAGAAGAUCCGAAGAUGUAAUAUCUCCAUGCAUAAUUUGAUGUGCAUGGAGAAAUUCCAUUCCACAUGCUAUAUCCAAAGCAAUAUGGAUCAAAGUAGAGUGAUCAAGUACCCUUUGGUCGUUGUGAAGAAUUUCGUGGAGUGACCUUGAUACGGGGCUCUAUAACCAUUAGAGAAAAACAUAUAUUAUAAGAAUAGACAGACGAAACAACAAUGAUAAAAGAACCACAAAACAUUAUUCUAAAGAAACAGAAUCAGUGAGAAUAUAUUACUAACCAAAUAUGAUCAAGUGAUUUAAGGGAUCAGAAUAUAUCCCGGAGAUUUUAAUCACAUUCUUAUGUGACAACCUUGCAAUCUCUCUGACUUUGCACACGUCUAAGCUUUUUAGAAAUUUGAUAGAAACUUCAUUGUUCCUAUACUUGCCUGUGAACCUACACAAAUACAGAGAAUAAAUAAAUAUGCCAAUUUAAGAAUAGAAAGAGAGUAAAAAGGUGACUUACAAAUCAUUCCCGAGUACCUUUUCAACUAGGAGGAAUGAUCUAUCAAUUACACAGACUGGUGUGCUUCAAUUGUUUUGUCAAUAGGUUGUUGGAAAGCUCGUGAUUCUUCUUCAAUCUAAAAAAGCAUCAAACAACAGACCUCAACCUUCAGAGAACAGUUAAACCCUAAUUAAGCCAGUCCUUGGAUGUAAAAAAAUCAUCAAACUUAAAUCAUUAAACCCGAUUCUCAGGGGACCCCUGAACCUAAUUAAGCCGAAGCUAAACUAGUUGAUGCUAAGUUCUGAGAAAAAAGGCUAACCAUUUCGUGAUGGAAAUCAGAUUUAAUUCCAUCUUCAUGUAAUCUUAGCGCAGCAAGCCGUUGCCUUUCUCGUUCGCAGGAAAAUUUGUCCAUUGUCGUCGUCGUGACUAUGUUGAAUCAAUGAGAGAGAUUGGAAACUGAAAACCCUAAAUCGGGUUUAAUCUUCGUACAAUUGUAGCGAGGCUAAUCCUUCCCGUUCUCGUUCGCAGGCAGAUUCCUCAAUUUUCGUCGUCAAAUUGAAUGAGAAAGUUGGGGAAACAAAAACCCUAAAUUUUGACGAGUGUGUAGCAGAACAAAUAACGGGAAAGAAGAUAAAUGUGGCUUACAAAAAUCUUAAAGACGUGAGCAAAUAUAUUAGGGCAAUAGGGCCUGUAAGUUCGAUAAAGUCGUUGAUUUCAUUUUAAUUUUACAUUUUACUAUUAAGAAUUUUUUCAAAAAAAAGGCAAAAUUAUGAAUUUUGUUUAAAAAUAAACAGAUCUUAGUAAUCUAGGCCAUACCGCUAUUUAGAAAAAGCUGCAAAACAGAGCCACCUGCUCCUGGAAAUAAGGAUAUUCAGCGUUAUCUGGAUGAUUUCAAGUUUAUCAAUCGUGCAGCCACACACUGGCUGAUUCUCUUGCAAAAGAAGCUAGACUUAAAAACUCACCUUAUGUUGUAUCUUGGCUAGGGCUGUAAACGGAGCGGAUAUCCGGUUUUUUUAGGAUAUCCGUAUCCGUAUCCGUAUUCGUAUUAUCCGCCAAUUUGGUAUCCGGAUCCGGAAUUCCGGAUAUCCGGUAUCCGGAUAUCCGUUAAAAAUCCGGAUAUCCGCGGAUAUCCGCGAAUAUCCGUAGACAUGCAAAAAAAAAAUAAAUCAUUUUUUCAUAUAAAAAUACUGUAUUUUCGUAUAAAAAUACCGUAUUUUCGUAUAAAAAUACUGUAUUUCGUAUAAAAAUACCGUAUUUUCGUAUAAAAAUACAAAAUAACCGGAUAUCCGUUAUCCGUUUUUAAAAUUAACAUUAUCCGUAUCCGUAUCCGUAUCCGGAAUAUCCGUUAUUUUAUUAUCCGUAUCCGUAUCCGUUUUCCCGGAUAUCCGUUUUUUCGGAUAAAAAAACGGAUAUGGAUACGGAUAUCCGCGGAUACCGGAUAAUAAUCUCAGGCCUAAUCUUGGCUUUGUUAAUCGUGUGCUUAAUCCUAUGUACUAAACUCUUUUUAUCUAAUAGAUAAAGUUGGCCGUCAAAAAAAUAAAAAAAAAAAAGUUACUACUGAAUACGCUGGGAAAAACGGUCUAUUUCCCCCCUAGAACUAUCGUAUCUGGCCAGAUAAAGCCCGAUCUUUGACCUCUGUCUAUAUACCCAUGAAACGGAAGUUAAAUGUUUAUUUCCCCACCAAUUGAAAGUUCGAGAGCUUAAUGUCCACGAAUCCUAAGUUCGAGAUUUAAAACCCCAUAGCGCUGGGUUUAAUUGGUUUACUGUAUACCAAACCGAUCCUUUAACCAAUUAAACCUAAUUAGAACCAGCAAUUUCAACUAAUUAACCACAAAUCCAACCCGACAAAACCAACCGACCCAACUUCUUCUUCUUCACCAAAUUUUUCCAGAGCUAAUAUCAUCGCUGGAACAUUCGACUCUAAUGGCGCAGCAAAUCGAAACCAAUGUGGACAGAACCAGCUCCUCCAAAUCUCCUCCUCUCUCUGUAUUGCCCACCAACGCCUCUCCGUCUUCCUAAACUCCAUCCCAUCGGUGGGAUCGAGUCGAGAAAUCUCUCUCCUCCGGCGAGCCGAUGCAAUUAGGAGAGGAAGAGAAUGGAGAGGCUGAGUUUCCAGAAGGAGCGGCGGUACGAUGAUUUGGGUGUAACGAUGGAUUAGGUGACGGCGUGAUUUGGGAUUCGGAAUUUUGAGUGGGGAUGAAAGCGGCGGUGCGUGAUUGUGACUGGAGAGGCCGAGAGGGAAUUGGUUCUUUCAUCGGCGCUGGUGAAGUUAGUGCCGUCGGAGAUGGUGGUGGUAAACGUGAUUGAGAUUCUAGAUUCGAUCAUCAAUAGCAUCGAAUCAAAUAAAUGUCUGACAUCGAAUCACAUACUUCAAAUUCGAUCUUCUCUUCUUCUAACAGUUCUUACUUAUUAGAUGACUAUAGCAGAGAAAGAGAGAACAGAAAAUUCCUAACUAUGGCUUUGCAAAGUAGUAAACUUCAUUUGUUUUUCUUCUUGAGAAAGAUAGUCAAUUUUAUCCACAUUUAUUCAACUAUUAAAGCUUCACCCAAUACAUUUAUAUUACCUCCGGUGGAGGCAUCGUUGCCGUAAAUUUCUUCUCUUUUUCUUCUUCUCCGGCAACAUGAUGCAAAAUUGGAUUUUGGGUUUGCUUGAAUUAAUUUAUUCGGUUAAGUGUUGGUUUUAGAUGGUUUAGUAUCGGUUUAGAUUUUUAACCGGGUUUCGUCUCGGGUUUACGCACUAAACCGACAAAACCAUGAUUCAUGGACAUUAAGCUCUCGAACUUUCAAUUGGUGGGGAAAUAAAAAUUUAACUUCCGUUUCAUGGGUAUAUAGACAGAGGCAGUGUUCUAAAAAGCGGUCUAGGCGGUCGCCUAGGCCCCGACUAGGCGCUAGGCUCUUAUGCGACGCCUAGAUAACCGCCUUGACCGCCUAAAAUUACACAGAUCUUGUUUAAUGUAUUUUUUAAAUUUUAAUUAGAGUUUUAUUUAUAUAUAUAGUUAUAAAUAUUCAUAUAUUGUUUAAUAUAAAUAUAAAUAAAUGUUUUAUCUAAUUUUUGUUUAUGAUUUCAUAAUUUUUAGUUUUAUAUAGAUAUUUUAUAUAACUUUUAUAUAUAAUAUCAUAUGUAUAAUAUUUUAUGUUAUAAACGUCUAAACCGCCUAAAAAAUCGCCUAGACCCCGAUUAGGCGUUCUAGGCGCUAGGCAUUGGGUCACCGCCCGCUUAACUUCCGUUUCAUGGGUAUAUAGACAGAGGUCAAAGAUCGGGCUUUAUCUGGCCAGAUACGAUAGUUUUCGGGGGACUUAUAUGGGUUUCUCGAGCCCAACAAAAUUGGUUACUAAAGCUCGGCCCAACACCAAAAGUAUUAGGAAGAGAUAUGAGAUCUUUUUCCCACCUUAUAAUCUUGUUACUCACUCCCACAGAGAAGCUGAUAAUUCUUUUGUAGUCUCUGCUCGUUUUAACGGCAAUGGCUUCCUCUCUCUCUGCGUUGCCUUUUUCUGAUCGAACUUUCCGUAAAAAGCCUUCUUCUUCGAAUUUCUUCCUUCGAGCAAGAGCUGCUGCAAAAGAAGUUCACUUUAACCGUGAUGGCUCUGUCACCAAGAAGCUUCAGGUUCUCUCGUUCUUCUUUCAGGCCUUUUUUUAUAGAAUUUUGUUUUCUUAUGAUGGAAAAUGGUGGUGAAGGCAGGUGCAGAUAUGGUCGCUAAGCUAUUAGGCGUGACAUUAGGUCCAAAGGGACGAAACGUAGUGUUGCAGAACAAGUACGGACCUCCCAAGAUUGUCAAUGACGGUGAAACUGUUCUUAAAGAGUUUUUUUUACUUACCUUUUAUAGCCACACGCUUCUGAUGAUGCUCAAUGAAAUGCCAAAACAUUCAUCAGUUUUUAUUGUGUGGUGUAGAUUGAAUUGGAGGACCCGUUAGAGAAUGUUGGCGUGAAACUUGUGAGGCAAGCGGGUGCUAAGACUAAUGACCUUGCGGGUGAUGGUUCCACUACAUCUAUAAUUCUUGCUCAUGGCCUUAUUACUGAAGGUAUUAAGGUAUACAUAAUUCCCACUAUGACCUAUUGGAUAAUGCAUCACCAUAUCAGCUUCUACUUUUGAACCCAUUUUUCUCAUCUUCAGGUGGUUUCUGCUGGAACAAAUCCCAUCCAAGUGGCCCGUGGUAUUGAGAGAACCGCAAAAGCUCUUGUUUUAGAGCUCAGGUCAAUGUCCAGAAAAAUUGUAUCAUACCUUGUUUAUAUGUUUACAGACAUGAUGACACAUGUUAUAAACUGGAAGAGAAUAUGAAACUAUCAUCAGGUACCUACAUAAAUACCGGGACACUACACUACAACCUCAACAGAUUAGACAUUUUGACAUAAAGGUAAUAUCUUCCAAUGAAAUUGAAACCAUCUAGGCUUCAGUCUACGAGAUUCUUAAGAGACAUUACGUGUCAGAUCAUCUACAGAUAACAAAAGGGAUCGUCCCUAGCUUAAACAUUCUGUAAAAUAGAGAAAAGCAAAACAGAGUCACAUGUUUAUGGGUGAGAGCUAGACUGAACAAAACACAAGUGAGAAACAGAGUACUGCAGCAAUAUCACCCGUUGUUAGUCCCAAGCUGAUACAAUUGUACUAUACAAAACUCUAGCGAGAAUCAUCACACAACCAGAUAAAUAUGAUACAUAAUCACAAGGUCCAUACUCAAUAGUCAAUACAAACCUGAACAUGACCGUGAUCAAUAACAAUUAAACAAGGGUUUAAGAGAAUCAUAGCAAUAUUCCAUGCCACGUCAGUAUUUUUAUAAUAUAAAUUUUCUUUUCUCGCCCAAGUGAAGGAAAAUAAAAAAGGAAAUCUCGUAAACAAAUACAAUAUAAUAAAAAGAAUUUCCUUUUACUUCACACCAAAAAUAAAAGUAAUUUCCUUUUACCGUGGCUGAGGUUUUGAUAUAAAACCUAAGGACCAUCAUGAUCAAAAUUUUCAAUAUCUUCAAAGCACUCAAGAGACUAAAAUCUUUUACAAGGUGUUUUUUUUCUGUUUUUUUGACUAAAGCUUCUGCGAUCAGUGUAGAAGAUAUAUAUACGAUGGCAACUCUUGAAGCUUCUUUCUACGCAGACAUUGACGAGUUAUCUGACAACGAAGUAGAUGCUGGAAAAGAGGAGGAGGAGGAUAUUGACGUGGACAUGGCAGUGUCAGAAACCCUUAACUAUGAUGAUCUCGAGAGCGUUUCUAAGCUACAGAAAACACAGAGAUACGCUGAUAUAAUGAAGAAAGUGGAACAGGCUCUCGAAGAGGUGAUAGGAACUGAUCCUGAAUACAAACUAAUCGUAGAUUGCAAUCAGCUGUCAGUUGAUAUUGAGAACGAGAUAGUCAUCGUCCACAACUUUAUCCGCGACAAGUACAGACGUAAGUUCCAAGAGCUUGAGUCGCUAAUACAUGACCCAAUCGAUUAUGCCCGUGUUGUGAAAAAAAUUGGCAAUGAGACAGAUUUAACCCUUGUUAAUCUGGAAGACCUUCUUCUUCUUAAACCAGCGACUAUUAUUUCUGUUUCACUUACUGCUUUAACCACGAAAGGGAAUCCAUUGCCAGAUGAUAUCCUACAAAAGACGUUAGACGCUUGUGAUCGGGCUCUUAAUCUUGAUUCCGCAAGGAAGAAGGUUCUUGACUUUCUUGAAAGUAAGAUGGGAUAUAUCGCACCAAAUCUUUCUGCCAUUGUCGGGAGCGCUGUUGCAGCCAAGCUCAUGGGAACUGCUGGAGGUUUAACGGCACUUGCAAAAAUGCCUGCCUGUAAUGUUCUAGUACUUGGCCACAAGAGGAAGAACCUUGACGGAUUCUCUACUGCAACGUCACAGUCUCGUGUGGGUUAUCUGGAGCAGACAGAGAUUGUCCAAAGCACGCCUCCUGGACUUCGAAUGCGCGCUAGCAGGCUCUUGGCUUCAAAAUCGACUUUGGCGGCAAGAGUUGACGCUACUAGAGGAGAUGCAUCUGGAACAAACGGGAAAGCUUUGAGGGAGCAAAUCCGCAAGAAUAUUGACAAGUGGCAAGAACGUCCUCCUGGAAAGCAACCUACGCCACUUCCUGUUCCUUAUUCUGAGCCUAAAAAGAAAAGGGGUGGUCGCCGUCUAAGAAAAACGAAAGAAAGGUAUCAAGUGACAGACAUAAGGAAGUUAGCCAAUAGGAUGGCGUUUGGUACACCCGAAGAGAGCUCUCUGGGUGAUGGAUAUGGUGAUGGAUAUGGACUGGGAGCAAGAGGCUGCGUGUUUCGAGCAAGCUGAAACUUAAUGCUAAGGUCACCAAAAAGCGUCAGAACACAGGUGGUGCCAGGUGGUGCCACUACCUCUGGUUUGAGGACAUCAAGUCUGGCUUUCACUCUUGUGCAGGGAAUAGAGUUGUGCAAUCCUCAAGCGAUAGGAUUAGGCAGUGGGAGUCAAAGCAGUUACUUCUCAGAGUCAGGAACUUUCUCCAAGUUCAAGAAGAUUUAAACUUGAAUAGGACAUCUCCAAUGAAUCUCUAUUUCUUACAAAGGUUGUGUAAAUGAAAACAGUGUUAAUUGUUUCUGUGAUCUCUUUAGCUAUCAUUCUUAUUACUAGAACAAGUUUUGAAAAUGGAACUGAGAGUGAUGCUCGACCCAAUAAGGAUCAUUGCUUUCUUUUAUUUGCAUUAUUAGUUUCAGUUCUCUAUCUGCUUAAAUGAUAGUCACUUGACACAACGUAGUGAAAUUUUAUUAAAGGAAUACUAAUCCAAAAUUCACUCAUGAGCUUACUUAGAUUAAGAAACCUAAAACGUUCUGAGGUUAAUGUGCACAAAAAGAAAAGUUUUAUUAUGUGUUGGAAAACUGAAAUACAAGGAGCAGAAGUUACCAAUCGCUCUCCCAGUCAAAAGUGUUGGUUAACACUUCAUGGCUAAUACGCGUGUUCCACCAAAUGCCACUGAAGAAAUUCAAUAAAGAUUCGAAGCAUGGUUAGUGACAACUUGUAUAUGAAUUUGAAAUACUCAAACUUUAACAGAUUCUAUCAGCACAGAGCAGAGCAUCAACAUUACACUCAUAAAUCACACAACAGAAGAAGACACACUAGUUCAUGUGAGCAUAACAUAAAAGACAGCCAUGAGAGCAAGAACUUACAGACAAGUCCUGUAUUAUCAAUGUUGUAUCGAUUAGAUAUUCAUUGAGAUAAUCCACUCUUUUGUCUGCAUAAUAAAUUUACAUAAACAGAGAUAUUAGAAGUGGCAAAUCUAUAGAACAUAAGAACCACUCCGUAAGCUUCUUAAACUGGAAACACUACAAAAAAAGUCCACAUUGAUAGCACUAGACGAUAGCGCAUUUUCCUGACCUGCUAUAAUAGAUGAGUUCGUGAUUUUGGUUACUUUUUAAUAGCACCUGAUAAAUGCUAAAACCAAAAAUCCUUAAGCGGGAAACAAAAAUGACCUAUUCCGCCAACACUUAGCAAAACUUUUCAUAAACAUUUCUUCCUUUUACCCAAAACGUAUUGAGAACUUCUCACAGACUUAGACCUAAAAAAAAUUGAUUCUCACAGACUUAGUGGUCUCCCUCUCUCAUCCUUUCGAUCUCACUGUUCUCACUCUAUCGCUACCAUUUCCAUCACUCUAUCGGUAACGAUGGGUCUAUCAACAAAUCUCCAUAGCCUCAACCUUCGAUUCCACUUUCUUCACCGGUCUCUGUUCUUUUCCAUCCUAAUCCCAUCUAAUUCAUCAAAAAAUUUCUCCUAUACGCGAAAUUCCCCUCCAUCAAAGCCCAAGUCUCCACUAAUUUUGAAAGGGGAUCUAGGGUUUUUCUGAUUUUGAUUGAAUUUUGAGUUUAUCAUUUCGUCUCUAACGAAAUUGGUAAUGCAGGUGGUAACGGAGGAGUCAAGAAGCCACAUCGUUACCGUCCUGGAACCAUCGCUGUUCGUGAGAUUCAUAAAUUUAGUGAAGAUGAGAUUAGAGCCGAGAAGAAUCCUCGCCCAUUUGAUGAAGAUGAUAUCGCUCUCGUAAAGAAUUAUGUAAGCGUUUCUUUGGAACCUUAUUUGAGUGGUGUUUCAGAUUUUGUCGAUUUUUACUCAAAUUUUCUAGGUUUGGUUUCUUGAAUGUGAUAGUUUCGUCUCUUUCCUCUAGAGUAAUUUCGAGCUAGAUUUGUUCUUAAUUGCCAUUUUAUGAGCAUGAAUUGUCUGUUUUGUUCAAUUUCAUGCUAUUUACUUACUUUGUUUUCUCAUGAGUUUCGAGCUAGAUUUUGUGCCUCACUGUUUGAAUAAUUCAAAGUUGAAACUUUCAUAAUAUGAGUCAUAUACUUUGUUGUAUCUUUUAGCUUGCUUGUCGGAUUUUGAAUUUCAGGUUUGAUUCAUUGAGUCAAUAGAUUAUUUUCUGUCAAAGCACUAUGUUAACAGGUUUAGUUCGCUCCUUUUGGAUCAAUACAUGUUUGGUUCCAGCUCUUUAAUGAUCGUGAGAGGUUUAGAUAUGAUGCAUAUUUUCAAUUACAAAACAUGAUGCAGGUUUUCACAAGAUGCAGGUUUUCACAAGAUGCAGGUCUUCACAUGUGUAGGUUUUAACAUUAUACAUAACGGUACCCACCAUCAAUACUUUGUUUAAUGGCUUAUGGUUGUGAUGCUAACGUUUUCUAUUAAAAAAAUAUGGAUGUCUUGAUUUAGCAGGGAUGAUCCGUUGAUGAUGUUUAUGUUUAGUCAGUAACUUCUACUAAUUUCAGAAAGUUUUUGUCACUAUGUGCAUGUCUCCUUUGGUCAUUGAUUCAUACGUGUGUUUUGGCCACAGUUUUGUCUAUUUGUUUGCGGUUUUCUUUUUGUCUAGUUCUUUCAAUAUCCAGAAGCCAAAAGAGAAGAGCUUCUUUUUAGAGCUAGAGCUUCCUAUAUCUAGUAUUCAUCUCUUUUUUUUAACCUCCUUAGUGUAUUUUGUGUUUUCAGUGUUCUCAUAAUUUCUGUGGAUCUGGUUGUUGUUGUUGUUGUUGUCUAGAAGUUCAAGUUGUGGAGACAUGUGACUGAGGCUAAGAAGAAACAUUCAGAGAAGUAAAACUCGUUUUGCCUUACCUUUGACUUGAAUGUAUUGUUUCUAUAUGUGAUAUUGUUUUUGUUUUUCAGGAAGGUGACGAAGUCUGAUGAACCUAAGCCAAAAAGACUUAGAAUAGCCAAGGAUACGAAGAAGAGCUCUUCUACCUUAAACAUGCCCAAACGACCUCUUACGGGCUUCUUUAUCUUCGUGUAAUGUUCAUCAUUUCACACUUACUUUUGUUGAUAGUUAGUUGUUUAGUCUUUGGGGAUUUUGCUGAUGUUGCCUUUCACUUUGCAGGAAUAUAUUCUGUCAUUUUUUUUGACGAGAGCAUCUAAGUUCUCUCAUUAAGGAUGUAAGACUUUAACUUAGCUGAUUGCUAUGCUUGACUCCUAUGUAAAGUGUUUAUGAGAUUUACCAAACUGUGUAUUUAUAUAUGAUUGUAGGUUGCAAAGAUCGGUGGUGGAAAGUGGACGUCUAUGACUGAGGAAUUGAGUUGCUUUAUUAUCUUGUUUCUUUGUUAGUUUCAUGGCGAUUUGUUUCUCUUUGUAGUUUAUCUCAUAAAUUAGUACUUUGUUGUGUAAGAGUAAUAGUUAGAUUUUUUUGUAUAAGACUUGUUAUAUAUGUUUUGUGUAAUGAUAAUUUUUGAUAAUAUUUUUGAUAAUUUAUGUAAUAAAAAGAAAUUAUAUAUAAAUCCAAUAAAAUAAAUAUUGCAAAACAGGGUUCAAAAAUGCAAAUUAAAUAAAAAUCAAAUUAAAUUUAUAUAGCGGAAAAAUAAUGUUACAACAUUUUAUAAAAUAACACUAAACGUGUGUUACAGUAAAAUAUAUUAUAGCAUUCGAUUAGCGCUUAAAUAUAUAGACAUUUAAUAACAUGCCAAAAAACGUUAUCGUAUGUGGGGGUCUACCAUAACAGGGGCCUAAAAUAGCAUUUAUGAAAACGCUAUCAAUGACAUAUUAUAGUUUUUCUCUCAUGUUAAUAAUGUAGAUAUUUCUUGUAGUGAAAGUAUGUAAAAAACGAUGCGAGAGAUUUUUACUACUCUAGACCGGCGAGUGGCUGAAGUACACAUAUCAACUCAUUCAAGGGUGAAGGGUCUUUGCUUGCUUGAGUCCGCUACUAAGCUCUCGGCAGCUUCCAUGCCAUCUAGGUGUAAAAGAAAUCAACACAUGAGUUAGUUAAAACAUCAAGAGAGUGUGUUACUACCAUCCGAAUCUAAAAUUUCCUCGCCGGAAUUGCUUCCAUCUUCAUUAUGAUUCUAGGACUCGGGAGUACUUUCCCUCAUUCAUCUUGUUGUUCAGUUAAGACUUUGAGAUGCGGAUUGAGAUGCAAUUUAAAGACAUUAAUUUGCAGGAAACUAUUUGCAACACCUUCUCAAAGUCGCUUUGAGGACAGCCAAUCAUUUAACACAGUACUCCUCAGUUUGAUAGGUUGUGAACAUAAAGAUAAACAGAUGUCACCGCUUGUAACAGGAACAUUUUUUACCAGCAGAUAACUGCACAAAUACAUCCACAUGACUUGAGCAAGUUGCAUCAUCUAAAAGAUCUUCUAAAAGAACAGAGUUUGCAAACACACUUCUCUGUUGCUAUUUUCAUGUUGCUUCUGCUCCCAUUUUAAAAACUUAAACACCAAAGAAUACUACUACUUAUGAACUCUAGCAGGAGAAUGUUGCAACGUAAGAAACAUAAAAUAGAUCACAUUUAGAACUGAUCCUGUUCAAGUAAGGUCGUAUUUUGCUUUCUUUAUUACAGAUUUACUGGUGUGUAUAACACCAAAAUAUUGAUCUUUUUAUAUUUUGCGUUAAAAUUCCAAAGAAUGAUCCUUUUGUGCUCCUUUUUCAGGCUUUCCUAUAACAUCAUGUUUUUAGUUCUCAUAAACCAAUCAUAUUUGUGCAUCAAAGCAAAUCCAAGAGAAACUGAUGCAGGAGGAAACUAUUUGCAACACGAAGAUCAGCUAAAAAAUUAAUGGGCACGUUUAAGGGAUGCAAUUCAUGAAUCAGUAAAAACUAAAAACAAUAAAAGUCAUAUCUCUUCACCAAAGCUCUCAAGAAUCUGUUUUCUUCAGCAUCCUGAACUUUCACAGUAUGUCAAAAUCUAAGUGCAUGCAGCAAAAAUUAAAAUAAGUUUAAUUUCAACUAGAAAAAAACUACGUCGAAUUUGAAAGAAGCAAGAAAGCAUUCACCUUCUCAAAAUCGGCUAUAGGCUUCUUUGAGGAAGGGUAUUUCUUUCUCUCCCAAGGGGAUUGAAUUCCGUUUGUAUAAAUUCCUAGCAAAGGAGUUAGUAAAGUGAGCUAGAGAUGUUAAUGAAGAAUGAGAGACUGACGCCAAAAACUAUCAUAACGAGAUUGAACCUUACCAUUUUUCUUUCUAUCAUCUAUGCCAUAGACCAUAGUAUAAUAAUACACUUCUCGAAGGCAUUUGAUCCCGACCUGUUCUUCUUGAUUCUUGAUAGAAAUUUUUAAUUUUGGAAUGUUAAAAUGGCAAACCAUAUUAACGUGUAUAUAGUCACAGUUUUGAUCCGGGCUCUGGAAUGUCCAGUUUAUAAUUCUAAUUAUGAUGUAAUCUCGGUUCAUUGUUGUUUAAUUUGUUGUUAUUGUAUAUAAACAUUGUAACAACCUUUUGAUCAUUCUAAUGAGAAAAUUUGGGUUUCAUCAAAACACUAAUAUGGUAUCAGAGCAAAUCUCUCUCAAAUUCUCUGAAAUUUUCUCGGAAUCUUCUCAUUUUCUUAUUUAUUUAUUCCGACAUAUUCCUUCUUAUUUAUACCCUAGAAAGUUAGUUAGUAGUCUCAUUAUAUACAGUAUACAAAAUAUAAUUUAAAAAAAAAAAACAAAUCAAAAAGAUUCAACAUGAGAAAGAGUCUUAGUUUCCAAUCUCCCAACGAAUGUUGAACUUUUUAGAGAUAGAAGAUGUCUUUAUUUCCAAAAUGUAUGUUUUGCGUUUUGCAUUCUUUUUGUCUAGAAAACCUAUUAAGAGUUUUGAGACCACAAAUGGUGGAAAAACACUAAGAUCAUAAUAAACACUUAUUAAAACAAUAGUAAAAGCGGAUAAAAAUCUUCCAGAAACAACAUCGGCCAGAUUUUUUAUUUCUUUCAGAAACAAAACAAUCUUUUUUUUUAUGGAAAAAUUUCUCGGUCAUUUUGGUUAUAAAAAUUUAAAAACGGUUGAUCCUAUCGGUUGUAGUGGCGGUUUAGCUCUUUAUUAUAACAAUGAUUUUAAUGUUUCUAUUGUUUAUGAAAGUAAUCGGUUAAUUGAUGUGAAAGUUGUGGUAAAAGGGAAAACAAUUCAUCUUACUUUUGUUUAUGGUGACCCGGUUCCAAAAAAUAGAGAUCAAGUUUGGGAACGGUUAACGCGGAUUGGUUUGACUAGGGAUACACCCUGGUUUUUAAUUGGUGAUUUUAAUGAGUUAACCGGAAAUCAUGAGAAAAGAGGUGGUACUCUAAGACAUGCAUCUUCGUUUAUCCCUUUUAAUUUUAUGAUUCAAAAUUGCGGCCUUUUGGAAUUUCCAUACAUCGGAGACUGGUUGUCCUGGCGGGGUUGGCGGGAUAAAAAACCUAUACGGUGUCGUUUGCAUAGAGCUUUAGCGAAUGAAGAUUGGCAUGAAUUAUUCUACAACUCUUUCGUUUAAUAUUUACCAAUGGUUGCUUCCGACCAUUCACCGGUGGUAGCUACGCUAUUGGAUAAGAUACCACGUGGAAAACGAAUCUUUAGGUUUGAUAAGAGAUGGAUUGGAAAGGAUGGUUUAAUGGAGGCAAUUUCAAAUGGUUGGAAUUCGGAAUCUGAAUCAGGAGCAGGACAAUUCGUGGAAAAGUUGAAUAACUGUAGGCGGGCAAUUUCGCAAUGGAGGAGAGAACUAACUCCUUACGGGCGGCAAACAAUUGAGGAACUUAAAUCGGAAUUAUUUGUGGCACAGAGGGAUGACAGAAGAUCAAGGGAGGAGAUUACGGAAUUAACAUUACGGUUGAAAGAAGCUUAUCGAGAUGAGGAACUGUACUGGUAUCAAAAAAGUAGGUGCUCUUGGAUGAAACUAGGAGAUAAUAACUCAAAGUACUUUCAUGCUCUAACAAAACAGAGACGGGCAAGGAAUCGGAUUACUGGGUUGCAUAAUGCAAACGGGAUUUGGUCUGCGGAAGAUAAAGAUAUUCAAAAUAUAGCGGUCUCUUAUUUUAAGGAUUUGUUUACUACAACCAAGCCCGAGGCUUUUGAGGAGUCUCUGGCUGAAAUUCAAAGUCUGAUUACGGAUCAUGUUAAUAAUUUUCUAACGGCACCUGCUACGGAGAGUGAGGUGAGAACAGCUUUGUUUAUGAUACAUCCAGAGAAAUCGCCAGGGCCCGAUGCCAUGACAGCCUUAUUUUUCCAAAAGGCUUGGAUUACAAUUAAAUCAGAUCUUCUUGUUCUGGUUAAUUCUUUUUUAGAGGAUGGAAUUUUUGAUAAACGGUUAAAUACGACAAACAUUUGUCUGAUCCCAAAAACGGAAAGACCGACACGGAUGACGGAAUUAUGGCCUAUUAGUCUAUGUGAUGUGGGCUAUAAAAUUAUAUCGAAGAUUCUUUGUCAAAGACUUAAAACGGUUUUACCAAAACUGAUUUCGGAAACACAAUCAGCUUUUGUCGAAGGACGAUUGAUUUCGGAUAAUAUACUUAUUGCACAAGAGAUGUUUCAUGGGUUGAGGACUAACCCGACAUGUAAAGGAAAAUUCAUGGCCAUUAAAACUGAUAUGAGUAAAGCUUAUGACAGAGUAGAAUGGAUUUUCGUUGAGAAGGUUCUAAGAACAUUAGGUUUCUGUGAGAAAUGGAUUACCUGGAUAAUGUGGUGUAUUACAACAGUUCAAUAUAGAGUGCUCCUUAAUGGGCAACCUAGAGGACUAAUUGUACCAGAAAGGGGAUUACGACAAGGGGAUCCGCUUUCUCCUUAUUUAUUCAUCUUUUGUACAAAGGUACUAAUUGCGAAUAUUCGGAAAGCAGAAAGGGAAAAACUAAUUACGGGUAUUAAGAUAGCAAAUGCAAGCCCUUCGGUUUCACAUCUGUUAUUUGCGGAUGAUAGCUUAUUCUUUUGUAAGGCAAAUAAGGACCAAUGUGAGGUAAUAUUGGGGAUUUUAAAGAAAUAUGAAGCGGUCUCCGGACAGCAGAUUAAUUUUUUAAAAUCCUCGAUUCAGUUUGGACAUAAGGUAGAUGAGGAUAUCAAGGAGGAAAUCAAAUCGGGAAUCACUAAUAUCAGUGGGAUGGGUUCUUAUCUUGGUCUACCAGAGAGUUUGGGUGGAUCUAAAACAAAAAAUUUCUCUUUUGUCAAAGAUAGAUUGCAAACAAGAAUUAACGGAUGGUCGGCAAAAUUUCUAUCGAAAGGUGGGAAAGAAGUGAUGAUUAAAUCGGUAGCUGCAGCACUACCAACUUAUGUUAUGUCGUGCUUCAGACUUCCGAAAAAAAUUACUUCUAAACUUACUAGUGCGGUUGCUAAAUUUUGGUGGAGUUCAAAUGGAGAUGCACUUAAUGGCUUGGAACAAGUUGUGCAAUAGUAAAUCGGAAGGAGGGCUAGGCUUUCGGAAUGUAGACGAUUUUAAUUCAGCCCUAUUAGCUAAACAAUUAUGGCGGUUGAUUACGGUUCCAGAUUCCCUUUUUGCGAAGGUGUUUAAAGGGCGGUAUUUUCGGAAAUCCAAUCCCUUGGAAAAUAUUAAAUCAUACUCUCCAUCAUAUGGAUGGCGUAGUAUCUGUUUAGCUAGAUCUCUGGUUAAUAAAGGACUUAUUAAAAGGGUCGGAUCGGGGACAUCCAUCUCAGUUUGGGAGGAUCCCUGGAUUCCAGCUCAAUUCCCGAGACCAGCAAAGAGUAAUGGUUCACUUGUUGACCCAUUGUUAAAAGUAAACAAUCUUAUAGAUAGUCGGUCGAAUUUUUGGAAUAUUGCUCUCCUAGAGGAGAUCUUUGAUCCAGAAGAUAUCGCCAUCAUAAGUGCCUUACCGGUGGGUGCGCCAACUAAGGAGGAUACACUGGGUUGGCAUUUCACAAAAUCCGGAAAAUAUACAGUCAAAUCGGGAUAUCAUACCGCACGGUUAGGAAAUUUGGAGACAAAUUUCUCAUUGAUUGGUCCAGACAUCAAACCGUUAAAAGCACAUUCUUGGAAAGUGCAUUGUCCACCUAAGAUACGUCAUUUCUUAUGGCAAAUUUUAACGGGUUGUGUACCAGUUACGGAAAGUUUACGGAGAAGAGGAAUCGAUUGUGAUACAGGUUGUGCCAGAUGUGGCGAACCAGUGGAAACAAUCAAUCAUACACUCUUUCAGUGCCACCCGACACGACAAGUUUGGGCACUCUCAGAUUCCUACAUCAAUGAGAAUUUUUCCAACGGAGUCUAUCUUUGCGAAUUUGGACCAUUUAUUUUGGAGAAUACCUUCGGACUUUGACUCUUCAGCCUUUACAUGGAUUAUCUGGUAUAUAUGGAAAGCAAGGAAUGAAAAAAAAUUUGAAAAUAUUGAUAAAGAUCCAUUGGAGGUAUUACGGUUAGCGGAAAAAGAAGCACAAUUGUGGCAGUCUGCCCAAAUUGAGCUUCAUCAUGAAACGCAUGGUACUGUAGAAUUGGUAAAUCGGCCUCGAGUGGGGAAUACUUCACUUGACUCGAAUUAUUCAGGGUACCGUUGCUUUGUGGAUGGAUCGUGGAAAGAAAGUGAUAAGUUCUCCGGUACAGGAUGGUUCUGUACAUCAUCAAACGGAGAGCCGCCAACCAUGGGAGCUGCAAAUCUCCGUCGAAGUUUAUCUCCGUUACAUACCGAGUUCGAGGCCCUUCUCUGGGCGAUGAAGUGUAUGAUAGGUGCAGAUAAUCAAGAAGUAGAGUUCCUUACAGACUGUUCUGAUCUGGUUAAGAUGGUGUCUUCUCCAACCGAAUGGCCGGCGUUUUCAGUGUACUUGGAGGAAUUUCAGAGCGACAAGAAAGAAUUCUCAUCAUUCUAUUUAUCUUUAAUUUCUCGCAAUGCUAAUGUAAAAGCGGAUCAUCUGGCACAAAAAAUUCGUACAGAACCGCUUCAUAUCACAUUUGUAAACAACAUUCCACAGGAAUGGCUCUUUUGAGUUCUAAUUAAUUUCGGAUGACAAAAAAAAAAAAAAGCGGAUAAAAAUCAAUGUUAUUAGGGCUUUAUUUAAAUGGUAAAUAACUAAGCAAGAAUGACAGAUGAAAUAAAAAUAAAUAACAUGAUUUUUAAAAAAAAUGAUGUAUUUCUUUAAGCUUUAUUUAAAUGGUUUGAUUUCCAAAAGAUUCAACAUUAUAACUAAGCAAGAAUGACAGAUGAAAAAAAAAAAAGAAACAUGAUUUUUUCAAAAAUGAUGUAUUUCUUUAAUUUAUUCAUAUGAGAGCAUGUAUUUAUAUAUAAAAAAAUCGACCUACAAAAUGAAAAAAGAAAAGAAACUAUAGAGUCUGUAAACUUAUCUUAAGGUUUUUAACAAAAGAAAUCGUGUUAUUUUUUCAAAUAAUGUUUAUCUACUGUCUAAAAAAAAUAAACGCUAAUGAGAGCCACAGUUCUUUCAGCAUAAGAAUUUAAUUUUUGUUUAUUUUUAAAAUUAAACAUCAUUUAUUAUCUACUUAAACACGAUUUAACUAAUGAUAAAACAAUCACCAUAAUAUAUAUUGUUAAAUCAAUAAAAUAAAUUUAUUAGUAUUGCAUUGAAAGUUGAAACCAUCAUCUAAUAUGAAACAAAAAAAAAGUGUUCUAAAACAUUACUUAUGUUAUAAAACGGAUGAAAUAUAGAAAUAUAAAUGCAUGUCAUUAUUAUAUGAUGUGGUUUCGGGUAUAGAGGAUUACGGGCUUUGGCUCCGAACCUCUUCGUAUUCAAAAAACAAAAACAUCAUAAAAAUAAAAUAAAAUGCAUGUCAUUCUAAUAGACGUAGCAGAACAUUUUGCGUUUCAGAUUAUUGGCCUCAUUAAUGACAAGUAGGUUUUGGAAAUUACAGACACAAUAGAUUCUGGUUCGCUUUGGCAAUUACUAUGAAAACAAUCGACGAAACUUACAACGCAACACAUGAGCAUGAAGAAGUCAUAGAGGUAUUAAAUGGAUGGGUUUGACCCAUCAUGAAUAGUAUUUGUAGACCCAACAUGUUCUUGUCACACCAUGAUUGAAUUAGCUGGGUUGGCAAAAAACCAUUAAAUUUUCCGGGUCUAGUAGCGAUAUCAAAAAUCUAUGAACUUGAAAUACUAUUUGUUAUGAGCGCAAAUUUCGGAAUUUAUUGUAAUAAUGAGUGGUUGUGUUCCUACUAAUCACUCUAGCGAGUGUCGAAUAGUGGGCCGUGAUUCUUUCAGAUUACGACUUCGAUCGUUUCAUUUCAUUUGUAGAUGUAUAAGCCAAACUCAGACAACGUGCAUUUGUAUUAUACUACAACACUAUUUUCGGGAAAAAAAAAUGAAGAAAAAAAACAAAUUUAGAAAAAUUGAAAAUUUAUUUUAUAAAAUAAAAAAAUUGUUUUAUGUAUUUUACAAAUGCAUUUUCAAACUCAGAAAUUUGCAUUGAAUAAAAUACUUAAAUUUUUAUUAAAAUCAUAAUCCUGAGAUUUUUUUCUUUUUUAGAUUAGCAUCAAUCAUCGAUUUUUCAAAAACAUAGUUACAAACCAAUGCCGAUUAUUUCGUAGAUCAUUUGGCAGGAGUUUCCCGCAAUUCCACCACGAUUUUAUUCCCACCGGAAUCCAAAAGUUCAAGUGGUUCCAAUUGAAACAAAUUAGUUUGAACUAAAAAUGGAACUCUGGCACACUAAAGUCAGAAGGAUACAAUAUCCUUUCGUAAGAUUAUGAUCUUAUUACUAUUGCACAACUUUGCUUGGGUUAGAUUCUCAAAUUUUGAUUCAUUGGCUCCCUUAUUUAUUUAUUUUACCCCCGUUUGUAUUUCCAUGUUUUAAUGAUUCUAAUAUAGUUAUAACAUUUCCAUGCUAGUGUUUGUGGCUCUAAAAAGAUGGAGCAAGUUAAGAACAUGCCUAGUAUUUUUAUUGAGAUCUUGAUCUCUUAAACGAUCCAACUAAAAUUGAUCUAUCAACACAUGAUCAACUUUAAAAUAAUCUUAUAUUAUACAUAGUUUUGGUCUUUGGUACAUUGAUGAAUCCACAUGAAAAAAAUACAAACAAAUAAAAUAAAAAUUGAAAGAGUAAAUGAUAAUGAGACCUUUUUGCCCUGUCUCUUUGGCUUUGCAGAAUCCUUGAUAUGUGUAGUUUCCAUCUCAUGGACCCCUUUCAUGUCCUCUUCAACACGUUAUGUAAUAAUAACAAAUCUUCUGAGUCUUUUUGUCGUUAAUCUACUUAACAAUAUCGAUGUGAAACCAAAUUUGCACUGUAUUGAUUUUUGAAGAUUAGGUGAUCAGUGAUGUAUAUAGCAAUGCAACCGUUAUUAAUGCCUUAAUUUUGUGGGUCAUAAAAUUAAAAAGAAAAACAAAUUGAAGUUUUUUUGGGGACCAUGGAAUCAUAAUGCAUGUGCAAAGGCAUGUGCCUUUUGAUUCACUCAUCUAUCACAAAACAUACACUUAAAAGCCAGUCAAACUCAUAAAAAAAUUUCCUCCUUUGACUGGCUUUUCCAGUUGGUUUUUGGUUACUAAUUUAAUUAAUACUUCUAAAACACACAUCAUAAUCACAACAUAAAGCUAGACACAUGGCUCUAAGAGAGAUUAGAGAAAGUAAAUAGAGUUUCUAAAAUAGACAAAAUUGACAAAAAGCCAAGCUUUAGCAAAAACAUGAAUAAAUGAUGUGUUUUUUCAUAAGUGAUAUCAUAUAGAACCGAAUUUUAUCAAUGAAAAAUCACAUGAUAUUUGUUGAAAAACCAAACAAAAACCAAUGUAUUUACCAUUAGAUCAUUCAAAGAGAUAUAGGAAACAAAACAAAUAAUAAAAUAAACAAAAGAGAAAAAGACAAAUACACAUAAAAAAAUAUCCUAAGUUGUUUGACAAAAGAUGAUGAUGAACAUAGAAGAGUAGUGGUGUGACAUUACAAUACUAAUAAGAUUUAUCAAAAAGAUCAUCAACAAAUAUUUCAAGAACACCUAAAAGAUAAACACAUUGAUGAAAAGACAAAACUAAUUAUUAAUGUAUUUUUCUCGUUUAAGAACUUAUUAGAAACACAAAGAUCAAAGUUUUUAAUUUAUUCAGCUUCUGACAGACAACAAAGAAGGAAUUGCACCCAAGUUUGGAGUUGUGUUCUUGCUUGUAGAAUCUGAAAUUGUACGGCCUCUUUUACCAAACGAUGAAGAAGAACUAAAUGCUCUCAUUGGACUUGCAAAUGCCCAUCCCCAGCUUCUGUUCCUUCCUCCACCAUGACCCAUGUUAUGAUUAUGAUGAUGAUGUUCAGCUGAUGAUGAUGAUACCCAUGAUGAUGAAGAUGAAGAAGAAGACGAUGACGUCAUUAUCAUAAACCCACCAAAGAUCCCACCACAUCUCACCAUCUCUCUCACACCAUUACUAGGGUUACUACUAACCUUGUUACCUUUGUUAUUAUUACCUUCUCUCUGUGACUCAACUCUUCUCAAAGUACAAUCUCCAAACCCAUUAGUGAUCCUCUCAAAGAAAUCACCAGAGAAGCUUCUACUUCCACACCCAACAGAUCUAGAUCUUGACACUUUCCUCUCACUUGGUGUUACUUCAAUGUUAGGACUUCCAUCUUCUUCAACAAUCACAUCAAUACCGUUUCUGUUACUAUUACUCCCACCAACAACUCUCUUUGACAUUGAAGAAGAAGCUGACGAAGAAGACGAAGAUCCCACUGUUGUAGUCUCUGUCAACUCUGUUUUUAUCUCAAUCUGGCUUGUGGGUUGAUGAAAGUUUCCAACUUUUUUACUGCUUCCAUGGUGUUUUGAAGAGUAGAGAUGAAGAAACGACCAAAACCCAUUUCUCUUUCUCGGGCUCAAAUCUGAAUCUCCGUACGUUGUCUUCGUCGUCCUCGUAGAUUGACUUCUCUUGUAAACAAUAUUCGCCGUGGUUGCAGAAGAAGAAGCAGUAAGCAUCUUCUUCUUCUUCUUAGCUAACAAAAACGGAAGCUUGUUGUUGUUUGUUGCUCCGGAGACGGAGAGAGAGAGAGAAGCUGCAGAGGCAGUGGUUGUACUACCAACAGAGUCAGAUCUGAAGGAAGGAGAAGAAGAAGUUGAAGAAGAAGAGAGGUGUUUAGGAAGUGGGAAAGAUGAAGUUACAAGCUUUCCAAGCUUUUCUUGAAGACAAAAGGCACAGAUCCCACCUGGGUUUUUAGUAAAUGGAUGGUUUAUACAUUGCAUACCAUCACCCAUAUCUUGAUCUUUCACUUCCACCAUUGAUAACCAAAAACCAAAACUUACUUCCUCUGUUUCUGUGUGUGUGAGAUGAGAAAGCUUUGAGCUUUGAGUAUUAUUAUUUUGGUUCUCUGCUUUUGAGAGAGAGAAAGAGAGAUUGGUGGAGAAAGAGAGAAAUGAAGGAGAAGAGAAGAGAGUGGGUUGUGGCAGAGAGAGGGGUCGAGUUCCCAGAUGCACGUGGGAUACUGACUUGUUUGUGGCCUAUUUCUCUAAUGAGAGCUUUUUCUUUAUUUUUGUGUUUGUGUGUUUUGGGUUUAAUCUAUUUUCUAUAGCUCUUCAAAUCUUUUUUUUUUUUUUUUUGUCAUCUGAUUUAUAUAUAAAAACAUAAAAAGAUAUAUUUUGAGAUUAUAUACGCCGGCGGAAAUACUGAAUAUCCUCGGAAACCAAAGCCCAAAAGAGGGAAGCAUAAACCGGCGAACGACAUAAAUAUCUCCGGAAACUAGGCGAACUUAAAACACUGGAAAUACAAAGCAAAUAUAGCAACCCGACAACGCAAGAGAACGAAACCAUAAACUAAGAAAGAAGCAGAAGGUAAAAACCUUAAGAAAACCAAUAGACAAAAGAAUACAAGGAAACCACUUCUUCUGAAGUACCUGCGAUUGAGAUUUACCUAGGAUGCCCGCGGCCAAUCCUAAAAUAACAUCUACCUUCUCCUAUCACGAUGAGAGCUGAUCUCUCGAAACCAAGAAACAAAGACUUCAGAACCCGGCAAGCAAAACCUAUGAGUUGAGAGAACCUCGAGCACGCUUCCGAAUACGACUAUGACGACUGCCACGUCCAACAAUGUCUAACUAGAAAUCAUCAAAAGACAAUCUUAUCUAAACAAAUUCAGGAAAGCAAGACAAGGAGAGAGGCCCAAUCUCUCAAAUAUCACCGAUCUUUUUUUUAGCUCUUCAAAUCUUCUAAAAGGUUUUUUUUUUUUAAGACUAAUCUUUUUUGGUUUCUCAAUAAAAAUCAUGUUUGGGAUGGGACUAAAAAAGUUUAUGGUUUAGUGUGUAAAUGUAACCAUACAUCCACGUGGCUUUUUCUACUAUUUUGGUUUUCAUUAUUGUUAUUGAAUGCUCUUUGUUGCUGUAAAUCUCCGGACCUGCUACAGGCUAUAUAGCCAAAGCUAAACUAGCUACACUAGUAUUCAUGUAAAAGAAAUGUUCAGACGUGGAAUUUAUUUUUUCUUUUCUUUUUCUUUUUGAUAACUUAAUAAUGUAGGUUGAACAUUUUUCUUUUUUAAAAUCUUGAUACCCAAAUACAUUUCCACUUUUUAGAUGAUUAUUAUCUUAUGUGUAGGUAUGGACGUUCGGAUCUUCGGAUCGGAUUCCGAUCGGAUAUUUCGGUGUUCGGAUAUUUCGAAUUUAGAAAUUUAAGUUCCGUUCGAGUAUUUUACAAUUUCGGAUCAGAUUUAGAACUUAAUCGUUAGAGUUUUAAUUAAUUUAGUUUUAUUUUCUGUUUAAUAAUUUGGUAAUUUUUAUUAGUUUUCUCUUUUCACAUGGUUUUUAUUUGUUUAUUUGUUUUAUUAAUGUUAAAUUUGUUUCCUUUUUAAUAAUUCAAAUUUAUCUAUAUAAAGAAGUCCUAGAUAUUUGUAAAAAAGAUAUCUUAUAAUUAUUGUUUUUGUUGAUUUUCUCUUUUUUAGUUGAUUCUAGAAUUUCUUGUGUAUUAUAGAAUUUUAUCUUUCAAGUUCAUCAUCUGUAAACUUGUAUUUUUAUCUAGGUUAAGCGUAUGUUUUACCUAGAUUUUCUGAAUAUGUCACUUGGGUAACUUGUGUCAUUUGAAAUAUCUAACUGGUGUCAGAUAAUACUUUGUGGGCAUUUUACAUUUCCGGCUAAUUUUGAUCCUUGUACACCGUUGUAGUCCGAUGUUCCAUUUCUUAUUUUUUAAUUAGGAUUUUUUUAAUUAUAUAUUAAAUAAAUAAAAACUUAGUGCAUGUUGUAAAAAUAAUUUUUUUAUUUAGUUAUAUUACUCUCUAAAGUGCACCUUCACUCCAUUUCUCUUUUCGAUUCGUAAUUCAGUAAUUGACUCGAUCAGUAAAAUUGCUAUUGAUUGUGAAAAUCAAUACAUUACAAAUAUGGGCCGAACGGAGAAUCCAAUGGUGAUUAUUGCCCAGUUUGCAAUAAGGAUCGUUGGAUGGAUAAGAGGAGACUCCGAAAUUGUUUUGUCUUAUUCUAAAGAACAUAGGGAAAGAGAUGGGAAAGAUGUCACGCCACCUUGAGAGCACACUACCUACGAAGUACGAACUAUAUAUUUCCCAAUUGGGUGAACGACUUGUGUCCUCCCCCGUAAGUUUCAUAUAGUACCAUAACAACACAGAUUUCGGGUCUCGUCUCCAGUCCACACAAAACGAAAGUUAAACUCCAGUUUCCCCCUAAAUCGAAAGUUCUAGACCUCAGUCUCCAAAAUUUCAAAUUUCUUGGUUUAUCUUCGGUUUACUGUGCCGGUCACACCAUUAACCGCUUAACAUCGAAAUUAAACCGAAAUUACCCAGAAACCAACCCGAUUAUUAGAUCCAUUACACCCGAUAUUCCCCAAAUCAAACCCUAGAACCCUAAAAACGAAAAAUCCCCAAAUUGAACCUUAGAACCCUAGAAUCAAAAAAUCCCCAAAUUGAUGGAUUCGAAUGAGCUUGAUACGAAUGCUCUCGUCGUUCAUGCGGAGGCUACUGGAGUUGGUCCGCAAGAGGAAGGAGAUCCAGGAGAUAAUGGACCUGAUAAUGUACCCGAUGAUGAAGACCCAAGGGAGCGAGAUGCUUUUGAAAUCGAGAAGGCUGUAAUGGAGUUUAGAGACGAACCUUCGAUUCUACAUGAUGAGUAUCCAGACAGUGAGGAAGACGAAAAAGACGAAGCUGCUCGGGAGAGAAAACGAGACAACAUUAGAGGCGGAGGUGGGAAUUUGUACUAUCACCAGACAUUCUUCAGUGCCAUUGCUUUUAAAGAAGCUGUUCUCGACCAUGCUUUGAAGACAGGCUGCAACAUCGCAAAAUACAGGUAUGAUAAAACGAAGCUUGGAUUUAAAUGUGAUGGGGAUGGAUGUAUAUGGCGGAUAUACUGUGCAAUCACGAAGAAAUGUUCUAAGUGGAGAGUUAACGUGUACAAGGAUGUCCACACAUGUAAUCCGAAUGGAGAUUGUGAGAUGUUGAAGGUUCCUGUUAUUGCUAGGUUGUUUCUAGAUAGUAUUAGAGAUGAACCCGACUAUUUUCUUCCUAUGAAAAUUGAAGAAACCAUUAAAAGGAAAUGGAAGAUCACAGUUUCCAGGCCUCAAUGUCAAGCUGCAAGGAGAAAAGCAUUGAGAUGGAUAGAAGAGGAAAAUGAUAAUCAGUUUGCUAGGCUUCAAGACUAUGCUGAAGAGAUAAGAGACUCCAACAAAUAUUCAACUGUUGAAGUGCAGACUGUGACAAAUGAUGCAGGACAAGAGGUAUUUAAUAGGUUCUAUGUCUGUUUUAAUGCGAUUAGAGAACAUGGAAAGAGACUUGUAGGCCAUUGAUUGGAGUGGAUGGAACUUUUAUCAAAGGAAAGGUUAAAGGUCAGCUGCUGGUUGCUUUAGGUAGAGACGCUGAUAAUGCUAUAUACCCAAUAGCAUGGGGGUGUGUUCAAGUAGAAAACAUAGAGAAUUGGGUGUGGUUUGUGAGGAAGCUGAAAGAUGAUUUGGGACUAAUGGAUGGUGAUGGUUACAUCAUAGUGUCUGAUCGUCAAAAGGUAAUAAGCUUCAGAUUUCUUCACAUUUAAGCAUUUAUUAUUUCUGUUUCAUGACAUAAUAAGCUUCUGAUUUCUUUAUUUUACAGGGUUUGAUCCGAGCAGUUGAGCUAGAGCUACCAAAAGUAGAGCAUAGAAUGUGUGUGAGACACAUCUAUGGUAAUCUGAAGAAGAAUCAUGGAAAAGAUAAAGAGAUGAAGAAGUACAUUUGGGAUGUGGCAUGGAGCUACAAUGAGAGCAGCUUUGAAGCUCACAUGACUGAGCUUUACAACUACAAUGCGGCAGUUUGGCGUGAUGUUGUCAAGUCAAAACCAAGAACUUGGUGCAGGGCAUUCUACAAGCAAGGAAACUACUGUGAAGAUGUAGAGAAUAAUUCAACCGAGUCCUUCAACAACUCCAUUGUAAAGGCUAGAGACAAAGCAUUUGUGCCAAUGCUGGAGACCAUUAGGAGACUUGCAAUGGUCAGAAUCUUCAAGAGAUCUGUGGAAUCUAGUGACCAUAAUGGGAGAUGCACGCCAUAUGUUGGUAAGUUUCUUGCCAAGGAACACAAGAAAGCUUCAGAGAUGAAUAUAAGAAGAAGCACCAAUGACAUGUAUGAAGCUACCAGAGGAUUAGAUACUCAUAGGAUAAGCUUGACUGAUAGGACUUGUACUUAUCAGAAAUGGCAAGUCUGUGGCAUUCCUUGUGAGCAUGCUUAUGGAGUCAUCUUAGAGAAGAAGCUUGAGGUUGAGGACUAUGUGUGUCACUGGUUUCGGACAGCUAUGUGGCAGAAGAACUACAAGGACGGCCUGUGGAUGUCGGAUUCACACACUCAAGUAUUUUGUUAAGUGGGAAAGAUUAUUCUUGAGGGACAAAAAUGAACACGUAAGAACUUGUAAAUUGAUGCGAAAAUUGCUAUAUUAUUUCUCUCUUGAGAGGAAGAUCCCCUUUACAUGGCCAUUGGCCUCUAUAUUUAUACAUAGCUAAACGACAUUUAAAAUGAGUAAUUAAAUACAAUUAUUUCUUCUUAAAUGUGUCCGUUUUGAUUCUUCGGCUUUAAUGCUCAACGUUUGAAUUUGAGUUGACCCUGAUCUUCAUGGGCCUCGCCUCUUUUGGCCCAAGUGUCCUUGAACCGACUUACCCGUGUCUUCUACACCGAACUCGUGUCACAGUGAAGUCACUUCGGAUUCUCGAAAUGGUGACAACCACUUCGACCGUCCCUUCAGCUCACGGGUCCAAUGGGCUUCAUCCUUUAUGGGCCAUUAUCCUGAUUACGUGGCAAUCUUUGGUUGGUCUCGUACUUCUGGUGCGGGAUCCGACACCAACAAUUAGCCCCCCAAGUUCUUCGAAGUGUUAUUCCAAUUCGGAGGACUUUAAAUGCUCAAGUGGCCAAAGAUUGCGCUCGAGAAUCUUUCUGAUUUCCCGCCGAAAAUCUCAUCACUCCUUUAAUUUCGGCACUAGCCAUUUUUAACCGAGUGACAUCUGUCAUCAUUAUGACCGUAUAUUGAUUAAUUACUAUUAAAACGGGAAAAACCUUCCCACUUCCCACACGACUUUCGAGGCGGUUUCAUCAUUAGCUUGAGGUAACUUCUUUUCACCAUUACUCUCUUCUUUUACUUUCGUACUUUAAUCAAAACCUCUCUCUUCGUUCCUUCACCAAAACCCUUCUUCGCCGGAUCUUGAAUUUUUCUUUCUUACCAAUGACUUCCGAUUCCGAUAGACCCGAGUCUCCGUCUUUUGACGAGAGGCGUUCUAGUAACGACGAGUGCACCCGCCCUGGUGACAUUGCCGGUCCGUACUAUAGGUCCACUUGUACUCUUCAAUCCCUCGAGCGAUUGAGAGAGCUUUGCCGGAUUCCGCCGGAAAUUAUGGCGGAAGCACAAAUAGCUUCCCCCACAGAAUCUCCAGAAAACCAUCGCGAUGGUUACUUCUGUGUAUAUGAGAUUUAUUUCAAGGGUUGCGGGCUGACCUUUCCUCUUCCCGAAGCCCUAAUUUUAUACCUAGCGGCUCUUGAAAUCGCUCUUCCUCAAUUAACCCCCAAUCUUCUCCGUACUAUUCUUGGAAUUAUAACAAUCGCGGCGGAGGCCGGUUAUGUUAUCGGAGUUGCUGAACUUAAUGAGCUUCUGAGCGUGAGAAGUUCAUCGAAGAAAACGGGAUAUUUCUCAGCAUAUCCUAAUGCCAACAGGAACAUCAUUUCACAUCUUCCGAACAAGGAUGAAAAUUGGCAUCAUCCUUGGUUUCUAAUUAAGAAAACCCCCGCUUCGAUUGGAAAUCUCGCUGAUUUUCUCCCUUCGAAGUGGUCUGCGAAACCCGGUAGUGAUUAGGUUGCACGUAUCUUUCCCGGUUGUUUCUUUAUCUUUAUUGACUAACACCGUUGUUUCAUUUCGCAGCUUUCAUCGCUUCCAACCUCCCAUCUGAAGAGUUCAUCGAAUUCUUCAAAAUAAUUCUUGAAGGGGAAACCCUUUGGAAUUCCUUCACUCUUGAACGAUUCCUGGAAGCUAACCACAGACUCAGGAUGAGUCCGCCUGGUCAUCUUCACCAAAUUCCUCCCCCUCCUUCAACUCAAGGAAUGUCAUCUCGGGCCCUUGCGGCCAAGCGUAAGUUGCUUUCCAAGCCGAUGGCUGAGGCUUACGAGGAGAAGAAAAAGUUCCUCGCGACUUCUAUAGACAAGAAGGACUACAGUAGAACCUUGCUGGUUGAUGAUGGCAGCACCGAGGGAGCUCGAUCUGUCGCUUCCUUCAGAUUAACUCCUCGUCGCGAUCGUCGCGACUCACGUUCUCCUCGGAGGGUUCAAUCUCCUCGCCGUGAUUCACCUCGUCCUCCCCGAGAUGAUUUUAGUAACGAGCCAAUUAAGAACUUGGUUCGCCGGAAGAGAGACAAAUCCUCUCGCAGCGAUUCUUCUCCGCAGAGGGAAAAGUCGAGGGCCCGGACUGACCGCUCACCUCGAUCAUCUCCUCCUCCUGAACCAAUGGGUCCUCCACGUCCGGUUGAUAUGUCUUCCUCCUCCCAGCCUGAUAGUGGAAAGACUGCUCGGAGUGCGUCUCCGAAAAAGGGGGACUCUGAAUCUCGAGAUGCUUCCUCGAGGUUAAAACCUGCUCUUGUCCCUCAAGUCAAAUCACUUUCAGGUUUGGUGAUUUACAUACUUCAACUUUUUGUCUUUAUUAAAAUUCCAAUUUUUACAAUUCUUCCUUCCUCGCAGCUAUGGAGACAGAAGGCAGCGUCUUCCGAUGCUUCAAGACCCGUUCGGGUUCGAUCUUGCCAGAUUUCAACAAAUGGCGCCCUGCAAUUCGUGAACGCUAUUUGCUUCACGCUUACCACUCAUCUCGGGUUAGUUCCGUUUUCUUUUUUUUUUUUUUUUGCAUUGCCAUUCUGCGAACUGACUCACCAUCCUUGGUUCAUGUAUAAUGCCAGGCUCAGAGCGAAUUUAACGACAUGAUCGAACAUUACGAAGGGUUGGUCAUCGGACGGGAGAAGGAGAUUGACAUGUGGAAGAAGAAAUUCUCAGCUCUUGAGGCUGACCUCAACUCUUCUGAUGGCUCUAAGCACGAUCUGGAGGAUAAGGUCGAUAGGUUGACGUCGGAGUUGGCGCAGGUAAAGGGGGAACUGCAAGACUACUAUGACCGGAAUUACAAACUCCAGGACGAACUGUCUGGUGUUCAGGGUAGACUUCACGAAUCCGAAUCAACCGCCGACACCCUGAAUAACCAACUUAUCGAGCUUGACGCGAAGUACAAGGCGCUAGCCAAGUUGCGUGAUUCUGAGUUGGCAAUGUCGGCAUCGAAGGCCAGAAAGGAAGUUAAGGGACGCGGGAUGGAAUUGAUCCAAGGAGCCAUUCGCUUCAUGCAAACCGAGAAAGCUAGGUCGGACUUGGAGUCAGACAUCAAGGAGCACGAAAGCAACUUGAUUCUGCUGGACCAAAUCCAUGAAGCAGAUUUCUCCGAGGAGCAAGAAAGGACCGAGCUGUCGACUAACCUUUCUGAAAAACGGAGUCGCUUAGCAGCUCUUUCCACUUCGGUCUUCAACCCGCUUGACUUCGAGGCAUUCUUUACUGAAUCACCUCCUAUCAGUGAAUCGGGUUUAGAUUGGGCAGGUAACACUUGGCUCCUGUGGCUUACCUUUUUCUUACCUUGUACCUUUGAUUGACUGGAAUCAUUAUUUCUAGGUCCAAGUGAGACGGAAGACGUUGUCCCGCCCGCAGCUCCAAUGGUACCAGAGGUCACUCCGGAGGUUGGUUGUACCGCGGAGGGUGGCCAGGGAGCUUCAUCUGAUCAAGCACCAAUUAAGGAGGUGAAUGAAACUUUGGUUGCUGAGCCGGAGUCCGGGGUGGAGAUUACUCCGUAGUGGCUGUGUCCACUUUAAAUUGGGGAUUGUCCCUUUAUCUUUAAGACUUAACUUAUUUUUGGCCUAAGGAGGCUUUAUUGUUUCUUUUGAACAAGAUAUUUGCCUGAGGAGGCUUUUAAACCUUUCUAGGUUGUGACCCAAGGGGGUUUGGUUAAAAUUAUAUGCGGGUUUGCAAAGUCCGCUUUUAACCUUUUGUGGCCUUGUGGCAAUGCUUUCGAGAUUUUUAGGUUGAUCAGACCUUUCUCUUUAAAAUGCGAGAGCUGAGCUCGGCUUAAAGCGAGUUCCCCACUUCGGGUUUAGUCAACUCGGUAAACUUGUCAGGCUUGGGCCUUAGAAACUUUUGCAGUUAAUGCGACGGUUGCUUUUUCCCUUCUUAAAGAGAACGGCUCGUCUUUUAAUGUGAUAAUUGUCUUUUCUCGAUUUUCCAAAAAUGGUUUAAUCCACUCGGAAACGCUACCAUUAAUGGAUUUAUGGUUCCAAGACAAACCCUAAAUCAUUAUAAAUAAAGGCUUACCUACCUCUAGGCUUUAUUAAACAUGACUAUAGAAUCUCACUUGAGAAAUAUUUUAAGAAUGGAAAACGAAGAAGUAGCCCCCAACGCUCCCGGCAGCCCACUUUUCUUGUCCGGCGACGGAUUUGAACCGGCUGGCGUUCUCUUUCCUCACGCCGUCUUUCACUUCCCUUCAAAAGAGAAGAAAGAGGCUUGCGACUUCAUCGACAAGGUAAAUAUUCAAAGUUUUUUUUUUUUUUUGACUUAAAAACUUUUUCGUUUUGCCUUAUUCAUUCAUUUUUAUGCUAGGUCGUCGACAAGCACCGUUGCUUGUGUGAAGAGAGGCAGCGGCUGGGACUCAAAAAGCAGACGCUCGAGGCUCGCAUCGCCCGGGUGGAAAGGAAGAUACGGGCCCUGGAGAGCGAUCCCUUUCAAUGGGAGUGGCGGAACUUUGACUCCGUUGCUGAGAUCCCGAAGAUGCUUCGGAUGUAUCUCCGCGCUAGAGGAGUCCCGGGUCCCGUGAACGCCCCUGUCUGCGACAGUGAAGAGGAAGAGGACUUGGAGGAGGAGGCCAGCAACUGCCGGAAACGCGUUCGAGAUCGUUCCGAAGUGGAUGCCACGAACAAGGCGUCCACUUCGGAAUCUAAACCGGCGAUGAAGGAGCCUGUUCCUGAGCCUCUCCCAUAAAUGUUCUUUAACUUCCUCACUUUUCUCCUUUUUUUUUUUAGAAAACUCGUAAUGGGCUUCGGCCCUUUUUAUUUAUGGAAAUAUUUGCAACUUUCUUUUCUUUCCAAAUAUUCUUGGAGAUGCGUCCUUUAAUGCAGGAUCCAUUCGAGGGCAUAAAUCUCUCCGUGAAUCACUCUAUUCCUUGGAUAAAAUCCGCAGCUUGCUAAGGAUAUGGGGUUCCUAUAAAUUAUAGGUUCGAUUUUCCUUUACUUCUCAUCCUUCUUUUCAUUUUAGCAGGUAUGGAGUUCAAUCUUCGCUGUUCAGAAUCUAUGCCCGAAUUCUCCAGAAUCGGAAUGAUGGAUGAAGAUGUUUCAAAUGAGCCAAACAGGCAGCCUUCCCCACUUCGCGGCCUCUCGAGAUCUCAGAUCCGAGCCCCAUGUGCUUUGAUCAGGGAUCUCCCAAUCAGAGACCAAGGAACAGCGACGGCGUUCAUAGAGGCACUUGAACUUCAACACCGGAAGCUUACGUCGGAAAAGAGGAGGCUCCGGAAGAGGAUUAACCGGAUGCAACGCAGGCUUACUACGGUGUCAAGAAAUCUUCACAUCCUUGAAUCUCACCCCGGAGAAUGGAUUGAGCUUGGAAUCUCUGACUUUGCUCGAAUUCCGGACUGCAUGAUGUCAAUCCUCGAUCUUGCUGGUCAAGGAAUUGAAGUGUUCUGCUCGUCAACGAGGAUUUCGUAGUUCGAAGUGUACGAUGAGGGACACUUCGCCUUUUUUUUUUUGAAUAAACGCUUUAUUUCCAAUCUCUUGUAUGUUCGCAUAGCCGAACCUUCUUCCUUUAAUAAAGAAAUAAAACAAAAAUUUUAUUAAUAGCUGAACUCGUUUUCGAGCUGCCUACGUACCCAUUUCGGGAUCAAGCCAAAUCGUAGUUCAUGUACAUAAACAAUGCAUGUAGCUUCUAAACAUAAAACUUCUUUAAGUUGAUCACAUUCCAAGGUCGCUUGACUGGAUUGUCUUCUAGGUCUUUUAACCUAUAAACGCCGUUUCGAACCACCUCGGUAAUAAUGUAAGGUCCCUCCCAAUUAAUACCAAGUUUUCCAGCACCUUCUUCUUUUUUAUUGUCAAAGACGCGUCUUAAUACGUAAUCUCCCACGAAGAACGGCCUACUUUUAACUUUAGAAUUGUAAUACCGGGCUGCUGCCUGUUGGUAAUUCUGGAUCCGAAUUAGAGCUUGAUCACGCCUUUCAUUUAUGGUAUCCAGUGAAUCGUUAAGCAUUACUGAAUUUUCUUCCUCAUUUAACGGUGCUUCUGUUCGACGAAGUCCGGGCACAUUGAGUUCAGCUGGUACUACCGCUUCCAUGCCAUAAACCAAAGAGAAUGGAGUUUCUCCUGUGGGUCGCCUAGGGGUUGUACGAUAAGCCCACAGGACGGGUUGGAGUUCUUCAUACCAUCCUCCCUUUAGAUGACUUAAGCGUUUCUUGAGAUUGCUUAAUAUCGUCUUGUUCGCGGCUUCGGCUUGACCGUUUCCUUGCGGAUAUCUUGGAGUAGAAUAACUAACUUUAAUUCCCCAGUCCGCACAAAAGGCAUCAAACUCGUGUGAAAUGAAUUGCGGUCCAUUAUCAGUGACUAUUUCGUACGGAACUCCAUGUCGACAUAUAAUGUUUUUCCAAAUAAAGGUCUUCACCGCCGAAUCCUUGAUACCAACAUACGCCUCAGCUUCAAUCCAUUUCGAAAAGUAGUCCGUAAGGACUAAAAGGUACUGUACACCUCGAGUUGAUUUGUGCAAUGGUCCGAUGAUGUCCAUUGACCACCUCAUAAACGGGUACGGGGCGGAAAUGGAGGAGAAUAACUCCGACGGUUGAUGGAUUAAUGGCGCAUGGAGUUGGCAGCGCUUGCAUCUUUGGGCGAACUUAACACAAUCUGUGAUCAUAGUGGGCCAAAAGUACCCCAUUCUUUUAACUUUAAAAGCCAUAGUUCUUCCUGAUGAAUGACUUCCACAUAAUCUCUCAUGCACUUCGCUCAUGACGAUUUCGACUUCGGGCCCAAAAAUGCAUAAUAGGUAAGGGUCACUAACUCCUCGCCUAUAUAACGCAUCUUUUGAUAGGCAAAAUUUCGCGCUAACGACUUUCAUUUUCCUGGCCUGCCAUUUAUUCUUUGGGAGUUCGCCUGUCGUGAUGUAGUGCUUUAUUGGCUCCCUCCAGUCAGCCCCCCAGUCUUUAGCCGGAAUUUGGUCAACUUUAUGAAAUAUCCGUGGCUCUGGUUCGGGAUGUUCGUUUGGUUCAAGAAUAUUCUCCCCGAGUAAUGGCUCGGUUUCUAACAUCGUUUCUGGAAUCAUUUCUUCAACUAGGACAACGGGUUCCUUGUUAGAUGUAUUUGAUCCCUUUGACUUUCUUCGUUUGUUGGGUGGCGGUUCGAUCUCUGGUUCGCCACGGUCGCGUGCCGCUGCUCGAGACCUUGUAACGACGAGGGUUUCCUUGCUGUCUUGAAUGCUUCGCUCCGAGAUGCAUUCUACUGGAAUAACUCUCUUUAACUCAGGAUCUGAUGUUGACGCCAAUGCGGCAAGUGCAUCUGCAGUUGUAUUCUCUCCCCGAGGUAUACGGAUUAAUUCAAAUUUCGAGAAAUUUUUAGAUAGAUCCUUCACCACUUCGAGGUAUGCUUCCAUUCUUGAAUCUUUAGCCUCAUAGUCUCCAUUAAAUUGGUUAACUACUAAUUGUGAGUCGCAAUAAGCCAAUAUUUCCUUAGCUCCAACUCCUUGUGCUAGUCGAAGUCCGGCAAUAAGGGCUUCGUAUUCUGCCUCGUUGUUAGAGGCUUUGAAUAACAAUCGGAAUGACUGUUCUAGAAUUUCCGAUGUUGGAGAUUCCAACUUGAUUCCCACUCCGGAUCCUUGUUUUGUUGAAGACCCGUCUACGUGUAAUUUCCAAGUUUGGUUCUCCGGUUGCUCUAUCGUUCCAGGUAUUGGUAGUUCGGUCAGGAAGUCUGCUAAGACCUGAGCCUUCAUACUGAUCCGGCUUUUGAACUCUAUGUCGUACUCGCUUAAUUCCACCGCCCAUUUCGCCAAACGUCCGGACUGACUCGGACUAUGAAGUAUUGUUCGGAGUGGUUGGUUAGUUAAUACUUCAACCGGAUGGGAUUGAAAAUAUGGACGAAGCUUCCGAGCCGAAGUUACCACCGCGAGUGCGAGUUUUUCCAUCAUUGUGUAUCUGGUUUCCGGAUCAGUCAUUGACUUGCUCACGUAGUAAAUUGGUUUCUGCUCCCCACAGUCUUCCCGAACCAAGACUCCACUAACCGCGUGAUUUGAAACUGAUACGUACAAGUAAAGUUUUUCAUCUACUUCCGGUUUGGACAGUACAGGUGGAGUGGUUAAGUAUGCCUUAAGCUGCCCAAAAGCUUCUUCACACUUCUCAUCCCAAAGGAAUCCUUUGUUCCCUUUUAGAAUUUGGUAGAAAGGCAACGACUUAUCUGUUGACCUCGAGAUAAAACGGUUCAAAGCCGCAAUCCGCCCAGUCAACCGUUGUACUUCUUUGAAGUUUCUUGGAGAUGGCAUGUUCAGAAAGGCGUUAAUUUGAUUUGGAUUGGCUUCAAUCCCUCUUUCUGUCACGAUAUAGCCAAGAAAUUCUCCGGAUGGGACUCCAAAUGUGCAUUUCGCCGGGUUCAGCUUCAUUUGAUAUUUAUUGAGAAUAUCAAAACAUUCCUUCAAAUGUUUAACAUGAUCUUCUUUCUUCAAUGAUUUAACCAACAUAUCAUCUAUGUAGACUUCCAUAGUCUUCCCGAGGUGAUUGUGAAACAUUUUGUUCACCAAUCGUUGGUAAGUUGCUCCUGCAUUUUUCAAACCAAAAGGCAUUACCUUGUAACAGUAGAUACCUCUAUCUGUGAUAAAUGACGUCUUUUCUUGAUCUUCGGGGUUCAUCAUUAUCUGAUUAUAACCCGAGAAGGCAUCCAUGAACGUUAACAGCUCAUUUCCAGCGGUGGACUCUACAAGUCGAUCUAUAUACGGGAGCGGGAAACUAUCUUUAGGACAUGCUUUAUUCAGGUCUGUAAAAUCGAUGCAAACCCUAUCUUUCCCAUUCUUUUUCUUGACAACGACAGUGUUUGCUACCCACUCCGGAUAUUGCACUUCUCUUAUGGACCCUAUCUUCAAGAGUUUAUCCACUUCGUCGUUUACUAUUUUUGCCCGCUCCACUCCAAGCUUUCUUCUUUUUUGUUUCACCGGUUUGAAGCUUGGAUCUACGUUUAGUUCAUGACAAAUUAUACUCGGAUUUAUGCCCGGCAUGUCCGCUGCUGACCAUGCAAACGACGCUUUGUUUUUCCUUAAGAGUUCGAUCAAAGCUUCUUUUAUUUGGUCAGUCAAAGUUGCUCCAAUUCUAAUUUUCCGGUCCGGCUUGUCUUCUUCCAGUGCCACUUCGACUACUACAUCCUCUUUCUUCUGCCCACUAGGAAAUUUUAUUUUUAGUCCUUCUUUUGCGGGCUUCGUUAGUUGCUAUUGAAUCUUCAUACGGUGGCUAGCUAAGUAACAAGUCCGUGAAGCUUCUUGGUCUCCCCGAAUUGUUUCCACCCCAUUUGAUGUUGGAAAUUUGAUACAUUGAUGGUAUGUAGAGAGAACUGCUUUCAUUCGAUAAAUCCAGGGAGUCCCAAGGAUGAUGUUGUAAGCUGCGGGCUUAUCGAAGACGACGAAGUCCACAAUUUUUGAUACUUUUUUGGCAAGGACCGGUAGCUUGAUUGUCCCGAGAGACAUGGCUGAUUCGCUUGUGAAUGCAACUAAUGGAGACGGAGGUCCUACUAUGUCUCCUCGGCUGAUUCCCAUUUUUUCUAGAGUACUUAAAAAGAUCAAGUCGACCGAACUGCCUGUAUCUAUAAGGAUCCUUGAUACUUCGAAGUUUGCGACGUCAAGAGUAAUGACUAGAGCAUCGUCAUGCGGUCUUUCGAGAUGCCGCGUUUCUUCUUCGUUAAAUGAUAUUGAAGCACCUUGAAAAUCAAUUUCUUCACUCAAGCUUGCUUUGAGUAAGACAUUUCGUCUAUGUUUUUUGAUGGAACUUAUUGAAUCUCCGCAAAAUCUGGAACCUCCUAGAAUCACAUUGAUCUUCCCCUUCGAACUCCUUGGUUCUUCCUCGUUGGAUAACCUUGGUCUUUUGGAAUCUUGAUCUUUGGAGUUUUCCUUUGCUUCGUGGUAUUCCUUCACAAAAUCUUUUAUAUCGAAUUUAGAAAGAUCGCCACUAGCCCAAAGCUCUGCGAGGUGCUUUUUAAGAACGCUGCAAUCCUUGGUUAAAUGUCCGGUUACUUUAUGAAUGUCGCAAUAUAGACUUUCAUCACGGACCCAAGUGUUUGAUCUUCCUUUCCCUUGGAAUUGCUUCCCGACGGAAUUGUUGAAGGGUUGCGACCCAAACUUCCUUGGUCCUUUGCUCUCUCUAGGCUCGAACUUCUUGGUAGGGACGGUGACUGCCGGCUUUUCUUGUUUAUUCCGUUUGGCAAAACUUUCUUUUUCGUUUUCUACCUCCAUCCAAUUGUUUGCACGGAAGAGUGCAUCCUGAAUUGUAUCUGGUUUAUGAAGUAUUAAGUCUUCUUUAAACCUCGAAUCAUGUCGCAAUCCUUUUCGUAGGGCAGAUAAAGCUGAUUGCUGUGAGAUUCUUGGGAGUUUUGAUAGCACUCCUUUGAAUUUGGUGAUGAAAACUCGAAGUGACUCAUUAGAUCCUUGCGUUAAGUUCCAAAGAUCGGCAUCCGAAACGCUUUUAUCCAUAAGGAUAGAGUAUUGCUUUAAGAACACGGCUGAUAAUUCGUCGAAAUUGCUGAUCGAACCCGGCUCUAAUUGGGUGAACCACAUUAGAGUUUGGCCACAUAGAUUCUCCGAAAACAGCUUGCAAUAGCCUGCGUCCUCAUCAGCUUCAUCCAACUCGACUCUUCCUGCAGCGAUCAGAAAGGCUGCAAGAUAGCUUUGGAUCCUCCAAUCCGCUGUAAGGGUCCAACUUGAGCUUCCGAGAAUCUUUGAUCCUCAAACUUGCAAUUCGCGGGAUAAAAGGGGUUCGCCUUGCUUCUUCAAUGACUCGAUUGAUGUCUGGCUCCGAACUUGUAGCCUGAUGAAAUUUUGAUUUCAUUUCUUUUAAUUCCUGGCUAACCUUCCUCAUGGUCUCGAACUGGUCGAGGUUCUCCUGCUCGUACGGAGCUGCAAGUUGUUCUUCAUCCCCGAGCUGCAUCUCGUCUUCCGACGUCUGAGCUAUAUUAUUAGUAGCACCGGGAGUUGUUUGUCCGCUGGUUUCAUUUCGUGCAGCGGAACUUGGCGAGUUGAAUAUCCCUCUUCGGGUUCCCACCGGGUUUCCUGCACUUAAAGAGCGAACACGAGUUUGUAUAUUAUUGACGUUUUGACUAAGAGAUACCUGGGAUGUUUGCAACGUAUCGACGGCCUUCUCCAUAUCCGAGAAUUUUUGUGAUAUGUCCGACAUGGUUUGCUGCAUAGCUUUGAGGGUUUCGGCCAAUGAUGUCUCAACGGCGUCUCCUCCGGACAUUGUCGCUUAUCUCGGGAAUGUAGAAAAGAAGAAAUCUGACCACUCAAGAAUCCUGAUGUCCCCACAGACGGCGCCAAAAUGUGGAUGUCGGAUUCACACACUCAAGUAUUUUGUUAAGUGGGAAAGAUUAUUCUUGAGGGACAAAAAUGAACACGUAAGAACUUGUAAAUUGAUGCGAAAAAUUGCUAUAUUAUUUCUCUCUUGAGAGGAAGAUCCCCUUUACAUGGCCAUUGGCCUCUAUAUUUAUACAUAGCUAAACGACAUUUAAAAUGAGUAAUUAAAUACAAUUAUUUCUUCUUAAAUGUGUCCGUUUUGAUUCUUCGGCUUUAAUGCUCAACGUUUGAAUUUGAGUUGACCCUGAUCUUCAUGGGCCUCGCCUCUUUUGGCCCAAGUGUCCUUGAACCGACUUACCCGUGUCUUCUACACCGAACUCGUGUCACAGUGAAGUCACUUCGGAUUCUCGAAAUGGUGACAACCACUUCGACCGUCCCUUCAGCUCACGGGUCCAAUGGGCUUCAUCCUUUAUGGGCCAUUAUCCUGAUUACGUGGCAAUCUUUGGUUGGUCUCGUACUUCUGGUGCGGGAUCCGACACCAACACGGCCUAUUUCCACAGAGAGGACCUGCUUUUUGGCCAUCAACAGCUCAUCCUAAUGUGCAUGUACCACCACCACCACCUACACCUGGGAGGAAGAAAGGAAAAGAGAGUAAAAAGGACAAAAAGAGGAAGAAGGGAAAGAAUGAGUCACCUACAAAGAAAGCACCUAAGCAGAUGAAAAAGAUAAUGCACUGUGGUGUUUGUCAUGCAGCUGGUCACAACUCCAGGUUUCAUAAGAAGAAGAAGUCUUCUGCAUUGGUAAGUAUGAUUAUUUAUUGGUUCAGUUGGUCACAAUAGGUUACUGACAUGUUUUGCUUCAUGAUUUGUCUUAGGCCUUUGAAGGAGUUGAGACUGCAACUCAUGGCAGUCAAGUGGAACCGUCUCAAGGAGUGGUGAUGUCUCAAGGCUGAAGGAUUAGAGUGAAGGAUUAAAGUAGUGUUAGAUGGCAUUAGGUUUUUUGGUUUACCAUCUGAUUAGGAUUAUAGUACAACGGCUUUGUAUUUUUGGUUUCUUUACCAUGGCUUUAACUUUUUGGUUUCAUUACAACGGCUUUGUGUUUUUGGUUGCAUGACCAUGUGUAAUGGUACAUUGUUGUCUCUGUCUUUUGGAUGAUUGGUACAUUGGUAAAGCAUUGAACCAAUUUAUGCUAUUUCUGUCUCAGUGUUUUGCUAUUUGUCUCUGUUUUAGGAAAAUAUAACAUUACAUAGGUCACAAGAAGUACACAUAACAAGCACAAGAACCAAAUUUCAUGUUUCAUUAGACAUUACAACAACAAGAACAAAACAAAACAAGAAGCACAAACAAAGACCAACAACAACAAGCCAAUACACUCGUUUCAGCCUAUCACAUUACUCAAACCAAGCAUGAUCAUACACCCUACGAUGACAGCAAUCGACAUUUUCUUCAUGCUUGAUUUGGAUUCCAACAUUUCUGCUUCUACCCUCUCAAAAAUCUCUUUCUCUAGCUUCAUUUGCAUCCUCUCAAAAAUCAUCUUCUGGUGAUCCAUAGUCUCUGAUGUAAUCUGGGACAUGGUUUGUUCAAGUGCAGUCGUUCUUACACUCAAUCUCUCUAUCUCAUCUAACAAAGCUUCGUCAACCCACUUGAAAGUGUGGUUAUCAUCGAUAAGCUACAGAGACCAGAGAAUUAAAGUCAAAAUUCGUAAGAAACAACCCAAAUAUCAAUCACAUUACCUUAUGUGAUGCAGCAUAAGCACAACGAUAGUAACGGCGGUAUGGAUUGGCGGCGGAUUUGGAGAUGAUCGCCGAGAUACUUGCUCCACACCAACACAUCUUCGGCACACCCACAACUCUUCUUCUCUGUCCCACAUUUGAUGCUCCACUCGUAGCUCCGGAUGAAUUGCUCAUAUUCAAGCUUAGACUUCAAAUCUCUGAUGUUGUUGAAAUCUCUGAUGUUGAAGAGAAAAAUCAAAAUUAGGGUUCUUCUCAAUUUGGGGAUUCUUGAAAUAAGUAUUUAUUUCGGGUUGUGGUAACUCGAAUCGGGUUCAAAAUCGGUUUAUUAUUCUGGGUUUUGGUUUGGCAUCGGGUUCGGCACAGUAAACCGAAGAUAAACCAAGAAAUUUGAAAUUUUGGAGACUGAGGUCUAGAACUUUCGAUUUAGGGGGAAACUGGAGUUUAACUUUCGUUUUGUGUGGACUGGAGACGAGACCCGAAAUCUGUGUUGUUAUGGUACUAUAUGAAACUUACUGGGGGGACACAGGUCGUUCACCUUCCCAAUUUUAUUUUAUCUUUGACUUGCUAUUUCCCUAUUUCAUUGAUCGACUACAUGGCUAUAUAAUUUAUGAUAUAGUAUAGGUCUUAAAUUAUGAGUGGAUUAUGUAUAUAUAAAUAAUAAAAUACAGAUGGUUCACGUUAGGCCUGGGUAUUUGGGUACCCGUUCGUGUUCGGUUCUUUUUUUUGGUAUCGGGUCUAUUCGGGUAGGGGUCGAGACCCAUUCGGGUAUUCUAAAAAUUCGGUUCGGGUUCGGUUCGGGUUCGGAUCGGUUCGGAUAUUUUAAUAAAAAAGCAAAAUAUCCGAAAAUAACCAAAAAUACCCGAAAUAUUUUCGGGUUCGGGUUUUUUACUCGUAUAUACCCAAAUCUAACCGAAAUACCCGAUUUCUCAAAAAUACAUUGGUUACUCUUUGCCCAAAUAUAACCAAAAAUAUCUAAAAAUACUAAAAUUACCCAAAAGAAAACUACAUCAUUAGUUACUUUUUAACCAAAUAUAUCCAAAUGUAUCCGAAUUACUCACAAAUACCUAGUAUAUUCGGAUUUAUGAUUGUAAUUUUAGGUAUUUCGGAUAUUAUAAGUAUAAAUAUAACUAAUAUUUUUAGGUGUAUAUUUGUAUUCGGGUACCCACGGGUAUUGGAUUCGGUUCGGGUUCGGUUCGGGUUUUUUUCGGGUAGGAGGUCUAGGAUCCAUUCGGGUAUUUUUGAAAAUCGGUUCGGAUUCGAUUCGGAUAUUUUUUCGGGUUUUUCGGUUCGGGUAUUCGGUUCCGGUUAUUUUGCCCAGGCCUAGUUCACGUAAUUGUGUAACUUGACAGAGAGACACCUACAUUAAAGGCUAUUUUGCUGCCCAAAAAAAGAGAGACUAAUUUGCAUGGACGCUUGGACAGGCUCGCAAGAGGCUGAGCUCGCUCCUUACACCAACGCCACAUCAUCUUAAUCACUGUUACAGUCUGAUUAUAUUUCCUCAGGUUUUUUCAUAAAGUUUUUGCAUACCGAUUAAAAGUUCAUUUUAUUUUUAUUUAUUUUUAAAAUAAAACAUCUUUUAUUUUAAUAAAAAUAAAAUAUUAUUUAUUAUCUAAUCAAUCAAUAAAAAAAAUUAACAAAAAAAAUCAAUUAAAAAUAUACAAAAUAUUAAUCGUCAAAAUUAAUAAAAAAAACUAAUUAAUAUUACAUAAGCUUUAUUUUCUCUCCCAGACACAAGUCUCGAGAAACCUGAAAGAAACAAAUAUUUUUAAAAUUAGUAUAUCUUAACCACUUUUUCAGCUAUUUUCGGAAGCUUUUGUUCUUCUUCUUCGUCGGAGCUUUUCUUCCCUGAACUUUUCAGAUGGUUUCUUUUUUGGCUAGCCUCCCCUCUCUUUCCCCUAGCUUCUCCCCUUAUCUCUUAUGUGUUUUUUUACCCACAUUUCUCUUGCAACCUGCACUUUCUCAAGGUGGUAACAAGAGUAUUAUUUUUCACCCUCUCAGUCAAAGUCCAUGCUUUCUCUCUUCACCACUUUCCGGCUUCUCCUCAAGCCGCUCUCUUUUGCAUGUGAAGAACGAACAAAAUCUCUCUUGAACACCUUCCUGCAAAAGCUGAGACUCUUGUUUCACUCCUUCUAGUUUUAAGCUAAAGUCUGUUACUUUUGUUUACCUCUCUACUCUCACAAUGUCAAAGAGAGAAAGACCAAGCUGGUACCGAGAAUCUCCUCCAAAACAAUCUCCUUUUGUCUUUGAACCUAAGUAUGAGAAUGAUGUGGUGAUUCUCCCUUAAGCGGUUAACUCAGCUCUGUUAGCUCGCCUUCAACUUAACCUUGUUGGGCGAAUAUUCCAUCAAGGUGGACGUAGUAUCGAAACCCUAGUGGCUCUCCUCCCCAAAGAGCACACUUUGGAUGUUGAAAGACGGGUCCGUAGAGUCUCUUUCGGUGAUUCGCGGUUCCAGUUCUUUUUCGAGUCUGAAGCUGACCUGUAGAAGAUUCUCAACAAACACCCUUGUCACUUUAAUAAGUGGUCUUUUGCUCUUGAAAAGUGGGAAUCUCACAUUGAAACUUAUUUCCCAGAUAGCAUGAAUUUCUGGAUUAAAACGAAAGGAAUCCCAGCUGACUUCUGGGAAGAGAAAGUUCUUAGAAACUUUGGAAGUUUUCUUGGGUGUGGGCCGAAGAGUUGAUUCUACUAAAGGAAGAAUCUAAAUCUCUGUUAAGACAGAUGUUCCCCUUAGAUUCCAUAAGAAUGUUCAACUACCUACAGGCGAGAUUGUGAAAGUGAAAUUCUUUUUCAAAAAGCUUCUCCGAUGGUGCUCUUAAUGCCAUCGCAUAUGCCAUGAAGUUGAGUUAUGCGCUUUACUUGAUAAAAACUAGAGAGCGGCUUUGUUUGGUGAAGAGGUAAAAAGGAACUCUCGCUACUCGACUAGAGGAGAUGAUAAUAACCAGUACUAUUGUUUUUCGUAUUGGUCAUGAGAGAAAAAACUUACCCUUUAUGGCUGCACCCCGAGUUGCAAGAAAGAUGUCUCCGGAUGGUGGUUCUAAGAGACACAGAGUCUGCCAUGACCAUGUCAACACAGCUCCACGCAAUGGUGGUAACCGCCAGCUUCAGCAUCCUUCUCAUCGUUACCAUUCCUCUAGAGCUUUUCUCAUCAUUACCAUUCCUCUAGAGCUUUAAUGCUUAAUCGUCCUCUAGCUUCAACUUCAUUGUAGCGUCCUUCUCCAAAUCCAGCAGUUCUAGAGGAGGGUUAGGAUGGGACACUUCAUCGCAAAGAUCCGACUUUGAGCCUCAACAAUGAUGAGAAGGAUUGGAUUUGGAAUCCAAAAUCGAUGUCGGAAGCUCUUAAUCUCGAUUGGACCAAGGAAGAUGAAGCUGCCUACAACGCCUUGGAGUCUCCUCAUCGGAAUUCUCGCCUUUCCGAUGAGGAGAAUUUGGAAGAUGACGAUGACGAUCUACUGGGGGAGGAACUGCAUGAUGUGAUCCAAUUUGGUUCGGUGGGUUCCUCAAAAUCGUUUGAUGUCUCGGCAAAGGUGAAGAAUCUUUCCGACAAGCUGAAAUGCAAAAUUGUGUCUCUGGUGGUUAUUGACUCAGAGAAUGAGACUAACGAUGGAGAUUUGGGCCCUGCUCGGCCCAAAGUCAAAAAGAAGGAGCCAAUAAAAAAAAAAAAACUCAGACAUGUUUCUUAAUUCAGCCUCAAAGAAGAUUUAAAAUUUUAACCCUUCUAAGCCGAGGAACUCUACGAAACCCGCUUCGGUUCCGAAAAGUGAGGUCUUCCAUCUUCAAAGUUCAAGUCUACGGUUUUGAUUGUUGGUUCGAUGGGGCCUCCAAACCUCUCCGACACUAACACAUGAGGAUCCUAGCGUGGAGUUUUCAAGGAGCGGGUGUUCAACUUAUAAUUCGUCUACUAGAGGAAUUGUGUCGUAUUUAUUCUCCAGGUUUUCUUAUUUUAUCGGAGUCUAAAAAUGACCUUAUGCAUCUUCAGAAUAUGAAAAUGUCUUUAGACUUUGAUUCUCUUCAAACUGUUGAUCCCAUUUGUAACAGUGGUGGUUUUGCUCUUAUGUAUUCAAAAUAUUAUCCAGUUAAGUUUUUUUUUGUUAGUGAUUGGCUUAUUGAUAUUGAAAUUAUUAUUGAUGGAAACCGAGUUUUUAUUAUCUUUGUCUAUAGAGAUCCGGUAGUUAAUACCGUGAUAUAGUUUAGGAGCGCUUGACUCGUAUUGGUAUUACUCGCUCUGAUCCAUGGUUUAUGAUUGGUGAAUUUAAUGAGAUUACCGGAAACCAUGAGAAGAGGGGUGGUAAACGUAGAUAUGAAUCCUCUUUCCUCCCAUUCUGAUGCAUGAUUGAAAAUUGUGGGAUGAUCGAGGUCCUAUCCCAGGGUAAUUUGUUCUCAUGGGUGGGACGACGUAGCUGUGGAGUUGCGGGUCGGAGAAUUCAUAACCUUAUAAAAUCCUGGUUCGAUAGAGCUUUGGGUAAUGAAGAAUGACAUACCAUUUUUUCCCACACAAAUGUAGAGUAUUUAAAAUUAUGGAGAUCUAAUCAUAGAUCCCUCCUAGCUUCAAUCCAUAACAGUCCUCACCGGUUCGUUAAACAUUUUAUCUUUGAUAAAAGAUGGAUUGACAAAUCUGGGUUUAAAGAAUCGGUCCUUGAAGGCUGGGUGUUCCCUUCUCAAGAAGGAGUUUCUCUCUUACAGAAAGUUAAAAAUUGUAGGAGGACCAUUUCUAUCUGGAAGAAAUCAAAUUCAACGAACUCUAAGAAGUUGAUUUUGGAAUUAUAAAGCCAGAUCGACCUAGCGCAGGAAGACGAGUCCAUUUCCUCAAAAGGUCUACUAGCCUUAAAGUGGAAGCUAUGUGACGCUUGUAGGGAGGAUGAGAUAUUCUGGAAGACAAAGAGUCGGGAAACGUGGUUUCAAGUCGCUGAUAAGAAAACAAAAUUCUUCCAUGCUAUUACUAAGCAAAGAAGAGCAAAGAACAAGAUUAUUGGAUUAUUGAACCAAGAUGGUUUGUGGGUGGACAAGGAUAUAAGAAUUGAGAGUUUAGUGGUGGAUUAAUUUGAAGACCUGCUCACCACUUUUGAUCCACUAGAUUUCCAUUCCGCUCUUAGGGAUGUGCAGGUUAUGAUCUCAGAAGUUAUGAACCAGAAACUCACCAAAGAGAUCUCCCCAAAGGAAGUUAAACUAGCUCUCUUUUUGCUUAAUCCAGACAAAGCCCUAGGCCCGGAUGGGAUGACGUCUCUUUUCUAUCAGUGGUUUUGGGAUUUGACCGGGCCUGAUCUAAUAAAAUUAGUUCAAGAUUUCCAUUCUUCAGGUUUCUUUGAUGAGCGUUUGAAUGAGAUAAAUAUAUAUUUGAUUCCAAAAACAGAUAGACCAAGGAAAAUGGUGGAAUUCCGACCAAUCACCUUGUGUAAAGUUAGUUACAAAAUUAUCUCGAAAGUUCUAAGUUCCCGUCUUAAAAAACUUCUUCCGGAGUUAAUCUCUGAGACUUAAUCCGCCUUUGUGUCUGGAAGACUCAUUACAUAUAAUAUUCUUAUAGCGCAAGAAAACUUUCAUGCUCUCCGGACAAACCCAGCUUGUAUGCAAAAGUUCAUGGCUAUAAAAAUUGAUAUGAGUAAAGGUUACGACCAUGUAGAAUGAUCCUUUUUACUAGCUAUAAUGGUAAAGAUGGGGUUCGCUCAGAAAUGGGUAGACAAGAUAAUAUUUUGUAUUUCCUCGGUCUCAUAUAAAGUUCUUUUAAAUGGGUCACCGAGAGGCUCCAUUAAACCGACCAUAAGAAUUUGACAAGGCGACCCGAUAUCUCUGUUCCUUUUUAUCUUGUGUACGGAAACUCUGAUAGCAAACCUUAAAAAUGCAGAAUGGAAAUUCAAGGUCUCCAAAUUUCCCGUGCAAGUCCAUACACCUCUCAUCUUUAGUUUGCAGACUUUAUUCUUCUAUAAAGUAGACCCAAUCCAAGGUUAAGAAAUAAUUAAUAUUCUCCGCAUUUAUGGCGAGGCUUCGGAACAACAGUUAAAUGCUGCUAAGUCAUCGGUGAUGUUUGGCCACGAUGUGGACAAUACAACCCGGAAUUCUAUUAAGGCGACAUUGGAGAUCCAUAAGGACGAGGGCAUGGGAUCUUACUUGGGUUUACCUGAGAAACUUCAUGGCUCCAAAACUCAAGUCAUUUCCUUUGUUAGAGAUAGACUCUAAAAACGGCUUAAUAAAGUCGUUUGCCAGCUAAAUUCUUUGCCAGCUAAAUUCUUUCUAAAGGUGGCAAAGAGAUCCUUAUAAAGUCUGUAGCACAUGCCCUUACGACAUAUGUUAUGUCGUGUUUCCUCCUCCCUAAAGCGAUUCGCUCAAAACUAAGUAGUGCCAUUGCGAAUUUCUGGGGAAAACUAGUAAAAACAGUAAUAGUAUACACUGGAUAGCAUGGGAUAAGCUUUGUACCCUCACAAUCCGAUGGCGGCCUUGGCUUUAUAAGGCUUGAAGAAUUUAAUCUUGCUUUAUUAGCAAAACACCCUUAUCAGAUUCCUAAACUCUUGAGGGGUAGAUACUUUCGCUAUAGUGAUCCCCUACAUAUAAGAACUUCUAACUGCCCUUCCUUCGGAUGGAGAAGCAUCAUGGCUGGUAAACCACUUCUUAGCUCGGGUCUUCGAAGGAGUUUGACAUGUGUCGUAAUCGUGACACUUUUCACACAUGCGCUCGUUUAUGUAACACUUUUCGCGACCUCAUGACACUUGCCAUUAUGCGAUACUUUUCACCAUUUCGCAACACUUUUCGCCAUUUCGCAAUACUUAUUGCGUGUACUCUCUUCGUUUUUGUCAGUUGUCCAUGAGAGGAAAAAUCCUUUAGGUUAACAAUUUUACAUUACGAAAUAACAAUUCUAAUAGAAAACUGACGAUUAUUAGACCAUAUAAUAGAAAGAAAAAAAAUCUAUUUUUACAAGCCGAUAUUUGUUGAAAAAUAACUAUAUUGUUAUAAAAGAGUAUUUGAUUUUAUGGUGGAUAUAUAAAUAUUUAAUGAAGAGAAAAUUAUACCCGCAGAAGGAUCGGGAUACUGAAUAAAAAGAAAUGAAAGAGAGCGAGAGAAUUACUUCUUAUACUCGAAGUUUUUGUUAUUGAGUUGUGUAUUACAAACGAUCGUUUAUAUAGAGGUAGAAAAGAUAAGUUACUAUACCGCAUAGUGAUGGUGGGCUCCACACAAAAUAAUAUUAAAACGUAAAACGAUAAACAUGUGUGCGCCUCAAUCUUUGACAUUUGCAAUGCUCCCUGUUAUUUUCACUUUCGUAACACUCCCCCUUGGAGACCAGUAUCACUAUUCUUUUGCGUAAUAUCUUUUGUUGCCUCGUUAAAAACCUUUCUAGGAAAACCCGGUGGGAAAAACCAUAGUAGGUAAAAAGAGUGCAACCGCGCAAGCUCCCCCUCGAAUGAUCAGGAUCAUAACUUACAAGUCUUGUUGACGACGCAUUCCAAUGUUAUGAACAUGUUUCCUGAAUAUAGAGGUGGGUAAUGAUUUCGUGAAGAGAUCCGCAGAAUUCUCGGAUGAUCGGACAUAUUUUACUUCAAUGUCUUUAUUCUUCACGAGCUCUUGGGUGUAUGAAAAGAACUUCGGAGGGAUAUGUUUGGUUCUAUCGCUUAUGAUAUAUCCUUCCUUUGUCUGAGCAACACAUGCAUCAUUGUCUUCAUAUAAGAUAGUUGGCUCUGUAUUCAGACUAAUUCCACUACUGGUUUGAAUAUGUCGACUUAUUGAUCUUAGCCAUACGCAUUCUUUACUCGCUUCAUGGAGUGCGAUGAUUUCAGCAUGAUUCGAAGAAGUAGCUACAAGCGUCUGCUUCUGAGAACGCCAUGAUAUAGCAGUACCUCCAAUCAUGAAUACGUAUCCUGUUUGGGAUCGAGCUUUGUGUGGAUCUGAUAAAUAUCCUGCAUCUGCAAAACCAAUCAUUUGACCAUUUAUAUUUUUAGGAUAAAAUAACCCUAAGUCAAUAGUCCCUUGAAGAUAACGAAAGACAUGUUUAAUUCCGUUCCAAUGUCUUCGUGUAGGGGAUGAACUAAAUCUAGCCAAAAGAUUGACUGAAAAUGAUAUAUCAGGUCGGGUGCAAUUUGCAAGAUACAUAAGAGCUCCAAUUGUACUUAAAUACGGUACUUCAGGACCGAGUAUCUCUUCAUUCUCUUUAGGUGGUCUGAAUGGGUCACUCUCAACAUUAAGUGAUCUAACGACCAUUGGAGUACUGAGAGGAGUUUCCUUAUCCAUAUUAAAGUGUUUUAACACUCUUUUGGUGUAUGUGGAUUGAUGUACCAAUAUACCCUUUUGAGUAUGUUCAAUUUGUAGGCCAAGACAAAAUUUUGUUUGUCCGAGAUCUUUCAUCUCAAAUUCCCCUUUUAAAUAGUUUGUUGCUUUCUGUAUUUCAGCUUGAGUCCCGAUUAUGUUUAGAUCAUCAACAUAUACUGCGAUUAUCACAAAUCCGGAAUUUGUUUUCUUUAUGAAAACACAUGGGCAUAUAAGAUCGUUCACAUAUCCUUCUUUCGUUAAGUGCUCACUGAGACGAUUAUACCACAUUCGUCCAGAUUGCUUUAACCCAUAUAAUGAUCUCUGCAACUUUAUUGCACAUAACUCUUUGGGUUUAGAUUUUAAUGCUUUUGGAAUAUUAAACCCAUCGGGAACUCUCAUAUAGAUAUCUGUAUCUAAUGAUCCAUAUAAAUAUGCUGUAACGACAUCCAUGAGACGCAUCUCUAGAUUUUCGCCAGCUGCUAGACUCAUCAGAAAUCUAAACGUUAUAGCAUCUAUAACAGGGGAAUAUGUUUCCUCAUAAUCAAUCCCGGGUCUUUGAGAAAAUCCUUGAGCUACGAGACGAGCCUUGUAUCUCGUAAUUUCAUUUUUCUCAUUUCGUUUUCUAACGAAAACCCAUUUGUAUCCAACCGGUCUCACAUCUUCAGGUGUGAGUACAAUAGGUCCGAAUACAUUUCGCUUAUUGAGCGAAUCAAGUUCGACUUAUAUUGCAUCUUUCCAUUUUAUCCAGUCAUGUCUCUUUUGACAUUCAUAUACAGACUUUGGUUCUGGAUCCUCGUUUUCCUCAUCAAUUUCCUUUGACAAAAGGUAUGAGAAAACGUCAUUAACAUCAUCCAUUUUAUUUCGAUCCCAAAUCUUUCCAUUAUGUAUAUAGUUGAUAGAAAUCUCUUGAUUUCCUUCAGGCUCAUGAUGCUCAUCAUUGUCAUUAGACUCAUGAUUCGUUUCUUCCAAAAUGCUUUCUGCUAUUUUGGGAAUAUCAUGCUUUUCAACUUCCUUUCGUUUUCUAGGAUUUUUAUCCUUAGCACCAACUGGUCUACCACGUUUCAAGCGUGUUUUAGACUCACGUGUAUCAUCUGCUCCUCCACGUUCUUGUGGGAUUUCAAUUCGAGCAGGUACAUUUACAGCCGUUAUAUAUGAUUUAGUUACUGUUUUGGUAUCUGCAAAAGCAUCGGGAAGUUGAUUUGCUAUACUUUGCAAAUGCACAAUUCGUCGAACUUCUAUUUCUGACUGUUUUGUAGGAGGAUCAAGGUGUAACAGGGAUGGUACACACCAUUUGAUUUCUUUUCCUACUUGCUUAUUUUCUCCCCCUAGAACCGGAAAUACUUUCUCAUCAAAGUGACAAUCGGCAAAUCGUGCCAUAAAGACAUCACCAGUCUACGGUUCUAGGUAUCUUAUAAUUGAUGGAGAAUCACAGCCAAUAUAUAUUCCCAACCUUCUUUGUGGUCCCAUCUUUGUACGUUGUGGUGGUGCUAUAGGCACAUACACCGCACAACCAAAAAUUCUUAGAUGAGAUAUAUUUGGUUCUCGACCAAAUGCUAACUGUAGUGGGGAGUAUUUAUGGUAUGCAUUUGGCCUUAUCCGAAUAAGUGCUUCUGCAUGCAAAAUGGCAUGUCCCCAUACAGAGGUUAGAAGUUUUGAUCUCAUGAUCAAUGGUCUUGCAAUCAAUUGCAGACGUUUAAUUAAUGAUUCCGCCAAGCCAUUUUGUGUAUGAACAUGAGCUACAGGAUGUUCAACUUCAAUUCCUGUUACCAUACAAUAAUCAUUGAAUGCUUGGGAUGUGAAUUCACCAGCGUUGUCUAGUCUAACCCUCUUAAUGGAAUAAUCAGAGAACUGAGCUCUUAAUUUGAUUAUCUGAGUUAUAAAUCUCGCAUAUGCCAAAUUUCGAGAUGACAAUAGACAAACAUGUGACCAUCUGCUAGAUGCGUCAAUCAUUACUAUAAAAUAGUGGAAUGGUCCACAUGGUGGAUGUAUCGGUCCACAAAUAUCGCCUUGAAUUCGUUCAAGGAACUUUGGUGAUUCUUUAUCAAUUUUGGUUGGCGAUGGCCUUAUGAUUAACUUUCCAAGAGAACACGCUGCACAUGUCAUUUUAUUUCCAUGUUUCAACUCAUGAUUUUUCAAUGAGUGACCAUGUGAGCUCUCUAUGAUUUUUCGCAUCAUUGUGGUGCCUGGGUGACCAAGGCGAUCAUGCCAUAGUACGAAAUCUUCUGGAUUUCUUUUGAUCACAAGGUUUGACUCUAUGGCAUCUAUAUAGGUAUGAUGCAAACCAGAAGGAAGUUCUGGAAAUCUUUCCAAGACGUGUCUUUUUCCAGAUUUAUUAGAAGUUAUAUACAUAUACUUCUUUCCAUCCUUAGUUGCAGACUGAGUUUCAUAUCCUUGAAGGUAUAUGUCUUUGAAACUCAACAAAUUCCUCUUAGAAUUCGGAGAAUAUAAGGCAUUAUUUAUGGAAAACUUUGUUCCAUUAGGCAAUUUAAAAUUUGCUUUGCCACUUCCUUCAAUCAAAUCCGUAGGACCCGAUAUUGUAUUGACAAUAAUUUUUGUCGGUUUUAAUUCAGAGAAAAAUCUCUGAUGUCUCAGAAUAGUGGCGUUGUUCCACUAUCUGGUAUACAAAUUUCUUUGAUAUUUUCCCUUGCUAUCGUUUUGUUUGAAUCUUGAUCCAUUUCUGUAAUUAACAUAAACAUUAAUAAAUAUAAGUAAAUAUUAUUGAUGUUGAAAACAUAUAAUAAUUAUACAUCAGUUCAUUUUUCAGAAACAACAUUAUUUUAGAACAACUGAAAUACAUAAUAAUUAUACAAUAGCAUUACUGGAGACUAGUAGUCUCACUACAAGCAUUUCAGUUAUCCGCAUGAGCGGUCUCGUCGACAUCGUUUAUAAAGUCGGAAGCUUCGAGGUACGAUGUACCCUCAAAGUGCUCAGUAAGAUUUACUUCCUUCCCUUUUCCCUUUUGGGACUCUUUGUACAACUUACAAAGAUGUUCAGGGGUUCGACAUACAUGAGCCCAAUGCCCUUUUGAUCCACAUCUGUAACAGAUGCUUUCACGCUUUUGAGCGUUACGCCCUUGGGAUUCUUUUCCUUUUGAACUUUGAUCAGGUCGAACCCAUGUAUAAGACUUUCUGCUUUGUGGGUUAAAGGAUCUUCCACGUCCACGAUUGAAUCGACGGCCACGACCUCGAUAGGUUUGACUUGCUCUCUCCGGAUUUUUUACAUCCGUUGCAUUGACCUCAGGAAAUGCUUUGGCCCCCGUAGGCCGAGAGUUGUGGUUCUUAAGAAGAAGUUCAUUAUUCUUCUCCGCCAGUAUGAGAGUCACAAUUAACUCAGAGAACCUUUUGUAUCCGCAAUUUCUAUACAUCUCUUGCAGGACACGGUGUUCUUUAUGAAAAGUAAGGUAAGCCUUCUCGAGCAUUUCAGCUUCAGUAAUAGGCUUACCACAAUACUUUAAUUGUGAUACUAUCCUCAGCAUAGCGGAAUUAUAUUCCUCCACUUUCUCAAAGUCCUGUAACCUCAAGUUUUUCCAGUCCUCUAACGCAUGAGGGAGAGUUAUUUUUCUCUGGUUGUGAAACCGUGCUUUUAAAGCUUGCCACAGCUCUGCUGGGUCUUUUAUGUGAGCAUAGUCAUGCGUCACAUUUUCAUCGAGAUGCUUUCUCAAAAAUAUUAUCGCCUUUGCCUUAUCUUUUGGAGGCGAUAAAUUUUCCGAUUUUAAGGCCUCGGAUAAUUCUUGCGACUCAAAAUAUAGUUCCACAUCAGUGGUCCAUGCUAUGUAGUUUGCGCCAGUAAUUUUGAGAGCCGGAAAUUUAAGCUUCUCAAUGUUUGCCAUUUGUUAUCUAAAAUAAAAACAUGGAAUAUUAUUAGAAAUCUUUAUUUAAUUUAUUUUAAAACAUAUUUAAAAUGAACCGUUUACAUUAAUAAUGCAAGCGAUUACAAAAAGAAAAAGCGUACAAACAAGUAAACUAAUGUUCAAACGAAAUUCUUGCGGAGUAAAAUCUACAACGCAAAGAUUAUAAAUACACAAAAUAAUGAUUCCAAAAGCAAAUAUUAAAAGUAAUCGAAACAUUCUUCAAAACUUCAAAACUUCAAAAUUCUUCUUCUUUUUUUCGGAGAGAGUUUUUAGAGAUAUGAAAAAUUUUGUUUUGAUGAAAUGAAUGUAUUUAUAGAUUGAAAAUACUAUUCCUAGCCGUUGGAAAAAGUUGAAUUUUUUGAAAUUUUUUUGAAAUUUUUCUUUGAGACCGUUGGCAGAAAAAUAUUUAAAAAAUUAAUCUGAAAAAUUAGAGAUCAAUCAGAUAAAAAUUAUCGAUUCAGAUAAAAAUAUUUAUACAGGUGAAUAAACUAUAAUAUAAACAAAUAAUUCACAGUGAUAUUAUGGUGACGAAUUAUCCACAUGGAACAGUAAAUAAAUAUGUGGCGGCUCAGCCGACCGGUAGCAGAAAUAAGUUUUUAAAGCAGUGCAUAAAAUUAAGGCGGCUCAGCCGACCGGCAACAGAAAUAAAUAUUUAAAGCAGUAAAUAGAAUUUCAGGUGGCUCAGCCAACCAUUAACAGAAAAUAAUUAAUUAUGGUGCAUGAAAUAACAUAUAUAUAUACAUAUAUAGUUUCUUUUAUUUAUUUCUAUAAUUUUCUUUUCUUUUUUCUUUCUUUUUUCUUUUUUUUUUCUCAUAUUUUUUCUUUUAACGAGGCGACAUACCGCCCGGUAUAAUACCGUAUUUUUUCAGCGAUCAUAGAAUGAUCGUGCUGAUAACGUGUUAUAAAAGAGUAUUUGAUUUUAUGGUGGAUAUAUAAAUAUUUAAUGAAGAGAAAAUUAUACCCGCAGAAGGAUCGGGAUACUGAAUAAAAAGAAAUGAAAGAAAGCGAGAAAAUUACUUCUUAUACUCGAAGUUUUUGUUAUUGAGUUGUGUAUUACAAACGAUCGUUCGAUCGUUUAUAUAGAGGUAGAAAAGAUAAGUUACUAUACCGCAUAGUGAUGGUGGGCUCUACACAAAAUAAUAUUAAAACGAUAAACAUGUGUCCACCUCAAUCUUUGACAUUUGCAAUGCUCCCUGUUAUUUUCACGUAACAUAUAUAACAUAUAUCUAUAUGAAAAAGAUUAUGGGAAUAGAAGUGGGAGGAGAGAGAAACUUUUAUUAUAUGUUAUUAAUAUCUAAUCUCUGAUGAACAAGUUCUAUUUAUAGGCAAAGAAUUUUUGCAUGCAUGCGGACAAGUGGCAAAGUAUUCGCGACAAAAAAUGGAUGUCUUACGACACAUGGCGACUAUCGCCGAUACAUGGCGAAGCUAUAGUGCAAAAUAGGAAUUCCAGCGACAAAUGUCACGACCGCGUUGACACUUGUCACGACCGCGGCGACACAUGUAAAUACCGAUGACAAGUAUUAAUAUGGUAUAUAACACUUGUUUAUGAUGAAUACUCUCUUAUUUCAUAACAAUAUCAAUAUUUUCGCUUGAUUUAUAUAGACCAACCAAAUGUGUUAAAUACAAGGGUUAGUAAUAAAUUCAUCCAAAUAUUUCGAAAAUAGCCGAUUUAUCUUUAGGUGCAUAAUGAACAUAAUGGGUCUGAAUGGAGAGCGUUUAAAAAGUGGUUCACCCUUGAAAUGGACGAACUGCAAUAAAUUUUGCCAUUCAUGAAUUUUUUAAAUAAAUUACAAAAAGCAGACGAUAUGCAAGUGAUUCAAUUAUUUUUAUCUUUUUGUGGGGAAAAGUGGAUGAUUCAUGCAACAGUCCAUACUCAACAAUUUGUGAGCGUUCUUUCUAUUAUGUACACAUCUCAUAAACUUAUUUAUUUUAAAAUGAAUUAAAAAACUUUGUUUUCUUUUAUCCAAAGUUCUAUAUAAACCACAUCUUCCAUUUCAUUUUUUCAAACUACAUAUCACGUUUCAUUUUUUCAAAAAAUUCAUCACCUCUUUAACAUAUUCUCCAAUUUGUAGGUAAAUAUUUUACUUAUGUACACCUAAAAUUAUAUUUGUUUACAUUCAAUAAUAAGUAUAGUUUAUAUAUAAGUUAUAUAAAUUUACAACUAUAAAUAAUUACUAUGAUAUAUCAUUGUUAUUUAUACAAAUCUUUUACAUGUAAUUAUAUCACAAUUAGAAAAUGGUCUUCCUCCUAGGAAUAUGCAGGAACUCUUUAAUCGAUGUUAUGCAUCUUUACGUUCUGUUAUUGAGAGAACAUUUGGAGUUUAGAAAAAAAAAUGGAAGAAUCUUUGUGAAUUUUCUAGAUAUAAUACUCAUGUGAAAAAGAGAGUGAUAAUAAUUACAAUGGGACUACAUAAUUUUAUCAUAAUUUCAAAAUUUUCAGAUGACGAUUUUGCAGAAGCUAUGGGAGAGACAGAGAUUACAGAUACAAAUUCUGAGACUGAUUUGUGACGAUCCGACAUUAUAUGCACUUUCGAUCUCCUUUUAAAUACACGCUGGUCCAAAUAGCGUUUUUGUCAACGAUUUGCCAGGUCGAACCUCUUCUCUACCAAACCUUGGCCGUUCUAUCUCUUUCUCCCUUGAACAAAGCUUCAACCUCUCCCUCUUCCUCACGCUCAACUCAUCUCUCUUUUCUUUUUCUUUUUUCUUUUGUGACACAUGAGAAAGAGGAAACUAGUGUCGAGUUAUAGAAAAAAAAAGGGUUUUUUAGUUUAGUCAAACUAAACCAAGAUUUUACUAAACCGGAAAUUAAUUAAAUCACCUCUUUUGUUUAUAUAAUAAAUCGAUCUAUUUAAUAAACCAGUUGAAAAUGUACUUCUAAUUUUUCUAACAUAAAUAUCCAUUUUUCUAAUUUUUUCGGAACACAGACAUUAUACAAUAUAUAUAAAAAAAAAGUUUCGAGGGUUUUUUUUAUUUAAAUAAAUUUGAAAAUAAUGAGACCAAACGGAUUAUAAACAAAUUUUAAUUUAUCACGGUUUCGGUUUGGUUCGAUAUAUUUUUGGAUUGCAGUUCUCUGUCCAGAUUCCAUAGGCCCAUAUAAACCAAGGCCCAUAUAAAUUCUCCCGCGUAAAGAAAUAAUAAAUCCUAAAACUAAUCUUCCCCGAAAAGUUUCGAAAUCAGAUUUAUCCCGCCGGCGAGAAAAUGACCGUCGUCGCCGCCGCCGAAGAACCGACUCAGAGACCUUUCACCGACAACGAUGUCAUUCGUUUAGCACAGUACCACCAUUGUCAAACCGGAUUCUCUCUCCCACCUUACCUUCUCUCACCAUCUUCCCACGAUUCUCUUCUCUCAUACCUCAAAUCUCGCUCUUCUUCACCAUCUCCGUCGAAACCAGUUUCUGAGUACGUGAUCGCUCUUCUAUCUCUAAUUUCACUCUCUCCUACUACUCCGUCUCUCUCGUCUCUCCUCGCCUCUCUUCUCAUCUCCUACACACAAAUCUUCAAUUCCGGCAAAAUCCCAAGCGAUUCGGAUUCUCUCAAGACGAUUCAGCUCUUCGGUACUCUCUUACGACACUUACACGUUAAGGAGGUGAAAUUUGUAGUCGAUUCGAUCUUAUUAGGUGUGUCUAGAGUUAUCACUGUUGAUGAAGCCCAGUUGUUUGAUUUAUUGCCUGUGUGCUUUGAUUUAUUGCGGAAUUCGAGAGAAGCUAAAGCUAGUGAAAUCGAUUUCGUUGAUUCGGCGAUUGAUCGUGUUCUUAGUUGUGAAUGGAGUAAAGGGUUGUUGACGAAAAUGGUAUCUCUAGCUAAGGAGUUUUCGUUUCUGGAUAAAGGGAGAAAGAGUGAAUUGGUGGAGAAAGUGUUUCUUGGUAUUAAGUUGAUAGACUUGCAGGAUUUGCCUUCACUUGUGUAUCAAUUGUUGGUUCUUGCUUCUAAAGGUUUUUGCAAGAGGGAAGUGAUUGGAGGUGUUGUUGGUUUUUUUGGAUCUAAAGCUGAGACUAGAGUAGCUUCUGUUGUUAGACAGAUAGAAGGAACUGUUCUUCUUCAUGUGAAUUUCGCAGUGAAGCAGGAUCCUUCAUUGGGGCUAGAGGUUGUGGCGUUAGUCAAAUCUGAUCUUAGAGCUUUCAAUCAUUUUACAGUUGCGGUUCUGUUUUCGGUUGCUCGGGUUAGAAAGUUUGGUGAGAAUUCCUUAGGGAUUUUGAGAACGGCUUUGCUUAAUGCGUACAAUGAUUAUCGACUCUCCAAGUAAGUAGUAGCGACAGAAUCGUUGAGUAUGUUUCAUGAAUAAUUUCUCUUACAUGUUGAAGGCUGUAAGGAUACAUUUUUACCAAUGUUUUUGUCAAUGAUGUACAGAGAUUGCAAGUGGCUACCUGAUGAGCUUAAGGAAGACAGUUUCCUGCAUGCCAAAUUGGUUGAAAAAUCUUUGCUAAGAGCGGUAUGUUCCCCUGCUUUUUUUAUUAUUGGGCUUUUAGUCCUGUCUAUCAUAUUAGGACAGUCUUGCAAGACAAUUAAGAAAUAUAUUUUGUUAUAUUGUUUUAGGUUAGUGAGUGCAGAUAUGGGAGAGAGCAUGUGGUUCCAAGUGUUAUCCAGUUUGGAUUUAUGUUGCUAGAAUCUGUCGAAGAAAGUAGAUCCAAUGAGUUUGGUGAUUCUAAUGGUGUAUUGGGUAUUGAGAAGCUUAGCAUUCAGAUUUUGGGAACCCUAUUUGAAGUCCAUGAUAUGACAAGAAACGAGGUUAAUACCUGUCUGAUUACUGAUGCCUUAAUUUUUAAUGCUUUUAGACUGACAUUCAAACUACUAUGCUAGUUCUUUGCAUCCGUAACUUUACAAAACUUAGUUGAGUGACACUCAAAUUUUGCAGAUAAUUGAGCAAUGCAAGUUUCGCAUUCUUUCUUUGAAAUGCGCAAAGAGCAAGCCAAUAGUAAGGUCAGUAAUGCUUAAUGGAUAUGGUUGUCAACCAUUUUUCCAUGUUCUAAGGAAGUUUAAUUUGUAGGUUGUUAAGGUAUCUUGUCCAGAGAUACUCACUUAUCAUGUUGGAAUUUGUCCACCAUCUCAAAGAGUUAUUGGGUUAUUUCACUUUCAUGGAGGGAAAUAUCAGCUGUCUUCUUGUUUCUGCUGUUAUCCCGCUCAUCAAAUUCAGCCAUGACCUUCAGGUAAAUAUAUCUAUUGCACAUUCUCUUUUGUUCUACUCUCUGCACAUCUGCUGCUACUUCGAGUGUUUCAGCUUGUAAAAUUGAUAAUACUCGUCUGUUUGUAUGCAUUUUUCUGAUCUAUGGAAUUGAGAUAAAGAAACAAGCGGAGACCUCAGAUUAAAUUUAACUUGAUGAUGCAGGACUAUACCAUCUUGGUGAUUCGCAAGGCUAUGUUUAGACGCGAAUAUACAGUUCGUGUUGCAGCGACAAAGGUUAUAACUGAUCUUAUACUUGCAGAGAAACAAGCUAAGAGAGACGGUUCAUUUACUUUACAAGACUCAUCAAGCCAAGCCAGUUCCAGUCAGCAGACUGAGAUGAGCUGUAUAGUGAGGGGAAACCUCUUCACUGAACUGAAUGGGUUGCUUCAAAGAUGUCUUUACCAACAGGUGUCUUUUUUCGUCCUUGAUCAUUGAAAGUUUCUUUCAAAAUUUUUGAAGAUCUUCUUAGAGCUCUUUGGUUCCUAUAUGUAGGCAUUAGUGAAGGAAGUAGUUUAUGAUGGGCUUGUGAAGUUAGUCUUGAUUGAUCCAUCAACUGGAGGACAUGUUUUGGACUUUCUUAUGCCUCACUUUCUUCGUUUCUUCAGACAGGUAACUGUCAAAUGCUUCAUCAUCCUCUCUUCACACUGAAUAUAACUCUUCAGUCUGGCUUGACAAAACAGGAAAAAAGUUGCUAUAUCUUUUGAACUUCUCCCUUCCCUUGAAUAUUAUUACGGGGAGAAGCUGUUAUGAGAUUUUUCAACCUAUUUGUUGAUAGACACAACUACAUACAUGUUUUGACAACUUAUGAUUAUACUGGCAGGACACAGAUUUUCAGCUCGGAAUCAUUUCAUGCAUUAAAUUAGAAGGUGGAAAAUAUAUCAUUGAAGAGCCCUUGGAUAGGCUUCUCUUUUGUAUCUCUUGGAUUUUACUCCUCCAGGUGCACAACAGCUCGGAUCGGCCUUCCGAUGCCGCGUGGCCAUGCUUUGGUUUCUCACUUUCACAAGAUAAUGAGGUACUGCUACAGAAGAACUGGUUUUGUGUUACGUUACAGAGCGUAGUUGUAAACAAUAUUGAUGGGUACAUUCAAAUUUCAUAUGGCAGCAGCAGGGAGGGAGAAACAUAUCUCAUGAAGUUUACUCCAAUGCUUUGGUGAAGAUCCGAAACUUCUUACUAGGCAAGAAUUUAGAAGGUAUGUUACAAAUGAUCGUUUUUAAAAAAAUCAUCGUCUAUUUUUUCAUACCUGAAUAUGUUUGAUCUGCUGUUACAUUUUUUGCUUUCAACUCUGGUUUGUAUAGGUUGUGUGUUAGACUUAGUCUAGUUUUAGAAGAGAAAUACAAGCUGGAGAUAUUAAGUCUUAGAACCAAAGGAGUAUCUCAGCCUUGAAUUAUUUAAGCACUUAGCUUUUCGUUUGCAUUUUACAGAUAUUGUUGGGCAGUCUCAGGACACAGUUUCCGCAUCUCUAGAAGACGAUAAAAGAAAAUCCUAUUGUUUGAUUAUAUUGGGAAUCAUUCAAGUGCAGCUAAAUUAUAUUAUAGUGGAUCUAGAGAAACAGCCUGAAGGGAAAAAGGGUGCUGUCAGAAAAGAGAUUGUCGAUUUGAUUGAUCUUUAUGAAUCACUGGAAAAAGACGUGGGGAAAUUAAAACCGAGCAAUAUUGGCAAGAGGGUACGAUUUAGCACCUGUAAUGAUACUGAUGCGGGAAACACAAGUAUCAGUGAAGAGCGAGAAAAAGUUCCCUUUUUGGCAACUUCAAGUAUCUACCAGCUAUUUCUUCUUAGUUUCAAACUCUAUAGCAGCAAAUCCGUUGGUACUCUUUCAGGUUCGCAGGAUCACAGCCAGUCAUCACCAGCCAAGACAGAAAAAUCAAUUUCUAAAAUUUUCUCCUUCACUUUGCAAGUGUGUGUUGGGCACAUAAGAUCAUCUCUUUGCAUGAAGGAGGAAAAUCCACUUAAACCGUUGGUCUGUGGUGACAUGAAAGUUCUGGGUCCUCCACUGCUAAAAGUACUUUACCUGCUAAAGCCAGAUCCACCUCUAGCGACCGGACAGACCAAGAAGGACAGUAAAGGAAAGAAGGAUGCUGAAGGAAGAAAACAGUGUCUACAUCUGGCCUUACUUAGCUUGAAAGAGCUGCUCAAUAUAUAUUCAAGUGGAUCUGGUUUGACUGGCUUGCUUGAAGAUUUGUUGGCAGUACCUGCAUCCGAGGAUGCUACUUUAGAAGAGUGCAGGGAAGCUUCAAGAAUUGAAGACCCACUUGUAAAGGGCAUCGAAAUUUUCAUGGAGAAAAUCAUGAAGCCCAUGAUCACGGACUUUAUCGCGCAAAACUCUAAUGAUGUAGAGGUAAACUCCUUUAAACUUCCUUCAAUUUCUCUUAAGCGCAUUCUUUAACGUACAGGAAGCUAAUACUAUAAUAUUCAAUUGCGCUGUUCAGAUUCUUUGUGCUAUAAUGUUGAAGCUUGGGAACAAUCUACCAGACAAAUCCAAACAAAGGCAUGGAUCAUGGGCUCAUCAAAUGUGCAGAAGCUGUGAAACAUCUAACACCACUGUGGCAAAGAGCAUUGUGAAACUUGCCAUCUCUUUUACCACAUCACCUGGUGAUCUAUGCAUAGCCGUUGAAGUGGCUAAGGAGUUGCAAAAUAUCAUGGGUUUAGACAAAUCUGAUACGUUAGAAGUGUCUGAGUCAUACAUGGUCAUAAACCAGUCAACUAGUGCUUCUGUAACUUCUUGCAUAUUGCAAUCAACUGAUUCAGCAAUAGUUGAAAUGGAUUGGGCCACAAAGAAGCUAAAGAAUUUCUAUGUGGUCUCUCAGAAGAACAUCCAUCUCAACGAUGAAACUGAGAGUACAGUCGGGUUGGUUCUCGAGGAAGCCCUUUACUCAAUGGCUGAGUCAACAGUCAGAAUACUUUCUUCCUUUGUGUUGAUGAACCUCAAAGGUGAGUAUUCACUUCUCAGUUCUCACUGAUCUGCUCCUUGCUAACAUUAAUUGAGCUUGUUUAAUCCGUGCGUUCGUGAUCUGCAGACUCGCAAGCAGCGCAGUUUCUUAGACUAGCAGUUAGGUUUUACAAACAAUUGGCACAAAUUGUGAAGCUGAGGAUUGCUCCCAAGGGCUGCAAGCAAAUUCUUCCCAGCCUUAAAUUUCAAAAACUGGUGGAACUAACUUGCAAGAGUCUCACAGUUCCUUUAUAUCCCUUUUUAUCUGAAAUGCAAAAGGUACAUUCAUAUAUUGAUGUUUCUUCGUUAUAGAUGCAUGAUCCGAAAGCGUAACGUGGGGCUUCUUCUAAAUGCAGGAACAACAAGAAAGUGUGAGUUCCAAUUCCAAGGGCAUAAUCAAUAAGAUCAAACAGGAGAACAAAUGCAUUCCUGAUUUGAUAUUCCAGAUAGAAGACUGUGAAAGAUACCUAAUUCAGCUAAGCAAAGUUACUAAAUUGAAUUUGUUGAGGCAUGCCAAGCGCAGCACCGCCAGAGACUUUAAAAUAAUUGAAGAUGCAGAACCUCCUGCAGGAGAUGAAGAUGGUGGAAACCAGGAGGAAGAGACAGAGAUACAGAACAAUAACUUUGGCAUUAACGAGGAUGAUUUAAGACAAGAGUCAGAUGAUGAUGGUUCAGAAGAAAUGUUGUCUCCCCGAAAUGCUAGUUCCGUAUCAUCACCGGGCUUAGAUUCUGAUAAAGCAAUAGCAGCAGAAACAGAAGAGGACGACGAAGAAGAAAAGGAAGAACAAGAAGAAGGAAAAGAAGAAAGUGGCGAUAAUCGUCCUAAAAAGAUGGCUAAGAAGAGUUGGGUUGUGGAAGAUUCUGAUGAAGAUUCUGAAACAUUUUAGGUUUCAUAUUUGUAAAUAAAACUUGCAAAGCUCAGAGACAUAAAAGGCAUUAUACUAAUAGCUCUCAGGUUUCCUUAAACAGCAAGUCUCCAUGGAGGUAAUCUCUACAAACUUUUGUAUAUAGGGUUUCUAAUGCUUCAAGCUUAUGUGAGUCAAAUGUUGAUAAUAUAGUCCAAAACCAGUUUGAUUAUAUAAUUUGUAUAAUCUCACCAUACUUGGAUAUCUAAUAGUGUUUUGGGGAAUAUACACUAGAUAAGUACAUUUUUCUGGAGUCAAAAUCAAAAGAACAUUUUCUUAUAAAUCUAUCUAUAUAUAUAAUGGGAGAGUUUUCUCUAUCUCUAAGCUAUCCACAUCAGCGUCCACUUAAGCGUCUAUUUAAUUAAAAUUUAUAAACUAAAAUUUAUUUUAAAAUUAUAAUUCAAAACAUAGUUAUUUAUAUUUAUUGUUAUUUAUGAUUAAAAAUUGAAGUUAUAGACAAACGAAUUAAUAUUAUAAGUAGAAAACUAUGAAAUAUGUUAUACAUAAUAAUAUAAUUUGAACUUUAGCGAAAAAGUGUUUAAGAUUGAUCAUAUAUAAAAUUUAAGAAACAUUUCAGUUUUAAAAUUGAUAUAUUAAGUAAAAAACUAUGAAAUAUUAUACGUAAUAAUAUAAUUUGAAUUUUAGCGAAAAAAAUCUUUAAGAUUGUUCAUAUAUAAAAUUUUAGAAACAUUUCAGUUUUAAAAUUGAUAUAUUAAAAAUCAAUAUGUUAGGUAUUUAUAAAAUUGUAUGAAAGUUGAAAGGUCAUACAUUUUUCAGUUUUCAAGAAAAGCAAUACAGUGAUGAAUCUUAUGACAUAUUUAAAAACCAAUAUCUUGGGUAUUUCUAAAAUUGUAUGAAAGUUAAAAUUUCACACAUUUUUCAGUUUCACUAAAAUAUAUAUAGUCAGGAAUCUUAUGACAUAUUAUUAAUUGAAAUAAUAGUUGAUUAGUUUAUAAGUAAAACUAAAAAAUAUUAAAACAUAGAUAAAUAUUAUCGUUUAUAAUAUAUUUAAAAUUGACAACAAAACUAAAAAUAUAAUUAUGUAUACUUUUAAUAUUUAGCUUUUCAUUAAUAUAAUAUAAGAAAUUAUGAAAGUAAAUGUAUAAAUGCAUUUGAUAGUAAUACAAACAUUAUGAACUUAUUAAAAAGAUUAAAAAAAAUUUAAAAUAGAAACAAAAUUAAAUUAAAUUUUUAUUGAAUUUUAUAAAAUAAUCAAAAUAUCAAAAAUAGGUAGAAAGAGCACAAGUGCAACAUUGAAUUUUAUAAAAUAGAAACAAAAUACAAAUAAAAAUAAAAUAAAAUAAAUGAGUAUGGAAAGAUCGCAACAAAGUGACAAAAUUAAUCUCUGAAAGCUAAAGGUCUAAAGAGAAAAACAAUAUAUAUAUAUAUAUAUAUAUAUAUAACUCUUUCUUUUGCUUCUUUGGAAAAGACAAACUACAUUUAAUAAAUCACAUUUAAGUUUCUAGAAUUAUAAAAGAAAAUGUUAUGAAAUAUAUAAUUAACAAUCCUAUGAUUACUAAGUUGAACAACGAAACACGAAAAAAAAAUAUGUUUGAAAAAUAUGUUUGAUAUAUGUAGUAUAUUAUAAGUGGACGUGUAUAUCUCUGCAAUUAUCGUUAUUUAUAUAUAUCUGUAUUUUUAUCUAUAGAAUUAUAUAUAUAUAUAUAUAUAUAUAUAUAUAUAUAUUCGUCAAAGUAACUUGUAUUAAUUGCAAAUAUCAAAGUACAAAUCGUUUACAAUCCAUGGAGGGGGAUUAUUGCUAUCAGAGUAAAAAGAAGAGCUUAUGCUACCGAACUGAGCUAACUUAUGAGCUACCCGAUUACAAGUACGAUUUAUGAAAGUGAAACAAAUUUCUUUAAACUUUGUUGCCCAAAACUUGAUGUCUAGAAGGAGACUUGUAAGAGCCACAUCUGAUGUUGUUUAUUAAAAUUUCGCAGCCCAAAACGAAUUUUUUUUAUAUAUUUUUACAUAGUGUUGUAGUAACUAAAAAAUAACGUAUAUUACAAAAUCACAAAAGUUGAGUAUAUAUCAUUAAACCCACGCGUUGCAUGGGUCAAUUUCUAGUUAAGUAAAGGACAUUGACCUCUCUCUUUUUGUUUUUACGUAAACAACAUUUUAAUUAUUUACCAUUUGACUUUCAAAUUAGAGUAUCUAUAAGACAUGACCAUAGAAGACUAUAUAGUUAAGUAUCUAACUAUAUUUUUUGUUUAAUUAGGUGGCUAAGAGAGAGAAUGGUGUUUAUACAUUUAUGUCUUUUUUCUUUUACACAUAUAACUAUUUGUCUUCUCCUUUAUUCUUCUAUGAGAUUUCUUCUACAUUGUUUCCGGUGACUUUUCGACGUUUUCUCCGAUCAACGUCUCUCUUCCAAAUGCUCCUAUUUUUUAGCCCUUACCUCCAUUUCUUCACAAACAGAGACAUGAAAAUGAAAAAAGAAUGUCUAAACGAGUUUGGGAGGAACUAAAUUUUGAAUUGAAAAACUUGGGGAUGAAAAUUAUGGUUUUGUAAUUUAGAAUGAAGAUGGAAAGAAAUGAGAGAAAGAAGUGGGAAAAAGAGAAGAAGAAAAGGUGACGAGGUGAAAUUGGGAGUUUGAGUUGCAGGUGACAACGGAAGAAGAGAAAAAUUUGAGAGACGUGACGGCGGAGGAGAAUACUCAAGAAGAGAAGAAGAUUUUUUUUGUUCACGACAUUUAUAAAAAAGAUAACAUAAAAGUUAACCAUUAACACUUAAAUUAUCAUGAUAAAUAAAUAUGAUAAAGUAUAAGUUAACGAUAGUAAAUAAAUUAUCAAAGUAAAUAAAGAGGUUAAUAAAUAAGUUAGUUGAUACCAAUCAUAUAAUAAAUAAUUUAACACGAUAAAUAUAAUUUUACCACAUAAUUGUUAAGUUAUCGUGAUACAAUAUUCUUUAUAUUGUUAAUCAAAUAAAUAAUUACGAAGAAUACAAUCUUGUUAUUGUCUCAGGUGAUGAAUAGUGUUUUCGAUGUUAGCUCAACAAAGUUUUUACUGAAAUUUAGUACGAUACAAUAAGAUUUACACUAUAAACAAAAUAAAUAAUCACAAAAUCAAUAUUUAUCAAUUAAAUUAUUAUGAUAAAUAAAUAUGAUAAUGUAUAAAUUAACCGUAAUAAAUAAAUUAUUAAAUUAAAUAAACAAGCUUAUAUAUAGGUUAGUUGAUAUGAAUCAUCUAAUUACUGAUUUAACCCGAUAACUAUGAGUUUACCGCAUAACUUAUAAUUUUAACGCGAUAAACUUUGAUUUACAGUACUAAUCAAAUAAAUAACCACAAAACCAUUGUUUUUUAUUGAUUCUGAUGAUGAACAGUGUUCCCGAUGAUAGAUGAACAGUGUUUAUUUUUUCUGUUAGUUUUAAUUUUUUUAUUUCGAUAUUUUUCUGUUAGCGCGCAUACAUAAUCAAGGACAAUUUGGGCAUUGAUUAAGAUAGAGGAGAGAGAACUAAUAAAAAAUUAAGGAAGGUUACUUUCUUUAUUGGGAAUCUUGCAAAAUGUACCACUUUUUGAAAAGUGGCUUUCAAAAUCUACCACAAUUGGAAAGAGUUUCAAAAUCUACCACAUUUCAUUACCACAUGCAUAUUGUAGACGAAAUUGCCCUUGAUGGUGACAGACUGGUGUGUCAGAUAAAGGGACAGACUGGUGUGUCAGAUAAAGGGACAUACUGAUGUGUUAGAUAAAAGGACAAAUUGCAAUAAAUGUUGCACGUUUACAAUUGUAUAUAAUUUUAUUUAAAUAAUAUGUUAUAUGGGGACAAGUUCAGAUCGAAUGAGUAAUAUAAUUAGAUCAGAGACAAAUUCAGAAAGAAUGGGUAAUAGAAUUAGAUCGAGGAUAAUUUCAUAUCGAAUGGGUAAUAGAAUUAGAUCGGAGACAAGUUCAGAUCGAAUGAGUAAUAGAAUGAGUAAUAGUACUUGGGGACAACUGGAUCAUUUUUCUAUUUUGCAAUAGAAGGGAAAAAAAAUCAAUAAUCCGGGUAGGUGAAGACAAUAAUGCUCAACUAAUCUAUGGACCAAAAUAGAUGGUGAAAAAUGUAAAUAAAAUUCGAAACCCUUAAAUGAGAACUAUUGGUGGACAAGAUGUGGGAUUCAUGAUAAUAGAAAGAUGAUGAAAUCGGGACAAGAUCUAGACGCAUCAGAGAAUUUCCAAUCGGGGACAAGAUCUGGAGACAAAAAAGAAAGUUAAUUGUUUAGUCUCAAGAGAUAUAAUGUUUCUUGGUUAAAGUGCACGUGUUUCGAGGGAAAGAGAGAUAAAUAGGGAAGCUAAUGUUGAAGGGGAGAUAAAUAGGAAGGGAAGAUAAAUAGGAAGGAGAGAUAAAUUGGAAAGAUAAAUAAGGAAGGCAAAUUAGUAAUUCAAAUACUAAAUGUGGUAUGAGUUGAAAGAAGGGAAGAAAUGUGGUAGAUUUUGAAAGAAAUUGGGAAUAAGUCGUAGAUUUUGUAGUUUUUCCUUCUUUAUUUUUCAAUCGUCUGGGGUUUUUAAUUAAAAUAACCUUCAAAUUAAGAGGUGUUUUACGUGUGAUUUUAAAAGAUAAUAUAUUAUUUUAUUGAUAGAUAUUUCGCCCAAAACACACUAGUAUACCAUGUCACGUUAUUUUAUAAAAUCACACAACUUUGAAAAAGGGUGAAUUAAAUCAAUAACCAUAUAUGAUAAUUUAAUAAAGAAUAUAGCACUAUAACAUGUAAUAUUAAGAAAGUAGCAUGUGGUCUCUCUACAAUGAUGUUUCUAUCCCUUGCUUCUCUGAAUGCACAGUGAGAAGAAAGAUGAUGACGUGUGUGAGAUACGGUGGAAUGAUUUUAGGGACACUUAUAAGUGGGUUUGUAGACUUAACGCAAUAUGAGAGGUUAGAAUGUAGCUUCUUUAAGUGUAAGUAAGCAAACUUGCAUGAUAAACUCCAAGGAUUUAGUGAAAUGCAAAAUGAUAAAAGAAAACUAAACCCUAAGGGGAUAGUAUAAAAGGAACCCAAGGAGUAAAUGAAACAUAAGCUAAUAAAUAAGAAAUAGAUAUAUGUCCUCAAUUUUGUUGAAUGGAAUAGUAUACUUUUACAAUGGAAACCUAAAGCUGAUAGAACGCGACGAUAUAUAUAUAUAUAUAUAUAUAUAUGAAAACAGAAAACUAAAUUCAUGUUCCUCUCCCUUUCUCAUCCUCCUUCUUGAAUCCAGUUUUACUACAGUUAAGACCCGUCACAAGAGCAAAAUCAUCAACAGCAAAUCUAAUUAGCUUCUCAGCAAAAAGCCACAAUCUCAUACUUCUUCUCCGUCAUCAACUGCCUAGAAAAUAUGUAGUGAAGGAACAUCACAGAAAACUGGUGUGUGCCCAUAUGCAUUACAUUUCCAAACUGAGAAUCUAACAAUUUCUUCAAAUGCUCAUCAUCGAGUGUCCCUUUUAUUAUCUUUAUCCACCUCAAUGUAAAAUAGUUAUUGAUCCUUUUUAUACCUUCAGGUUCAGCGCCAAGCCGGAACAUACGCUGCGGCAAGCCAACUUCCCCCAUUGAGGGUGUUCUUGCAAUACAAAAGUAAAAACUUUAUUACGUACUCCAAACAUGUAAAAAUUAAUAGUGAAAUGCUUUCAAAAGUAGACUGCAUACAAACAAUAGAAUAGACUUAACUUAGAUAGUACAGUUUAGCUUGACUUAAAAGAUUGGUUAUUUAAAAAUAGUACAUUGUUUGUUCUCUACAAAGAUGGUAGAACAUAAAAAGGGUCUGAGCAUAAGACAUCCAAACAGACAGUUCCUAUGUAAGACUUUCCACAUAAAAUCUCAAUAAUUCCCAAACUGAAAGCAACUUUCUAUUUAUAAAACACAUGUUCUCUUAACCUCGACAACACAAAUAAAAGGAAAAACAUAUGUCGCCAAACAAGAAUUCCAAGUUUUAAACAAAGGAUUCAAUUCUAUGAUAAAAAAAAAAAAGAUAAAGUAGACAAACUAAACUCAAUUUGAGAGAAAUUAAUCACCCCCAAAUUAAUAAACCAGUUCACCGAAUUUGCUAAACACACUGCCGGCGAUGUACGGUAGUGAUGGAGCGGAAGCUUCUAGGGAUAGAACUAGAUCCGUUGAUUCUGAUAAUACCUGGAAACUAGGGUUUGAGAGUCCUCCUCUCAGGGCUUUCGCAAAAGCUCUUAGGGUUGUGAAUACUCUUCACAGUGGUUUAUAAAAACCUCUUUAAAUCUUUCGAUUAUUCAAUUCAUCAAUAACUUUUCCAUAAUACAAUAAGCCUAAGUGGCUAUUUAUAAUAAAACCCAAAACCCUAGAUAAACGCUAAAAUAAUCUAAUAAUUAUCUAAACUAAUUAAAAUAAAAAUAAUAAAUAAAUAGAAGAUAAUCAUAGAAGAUAUUUGGAAUAAUCCAAAUAUCACGCUGCAUCAGGUAGUCAAUCGUAUAACCAUAAAACAUAGUCAGAGAACUCAGGGUAGGGCAAUUGGGGUUUCGAACUUGCCGGGUAAUUAAAACUACAUCCUAAAUUCAAAGUCUUUCCCCCCGAAAAUCAAUUGAAGGUCAGUCACCGAAUAACCAAAAUUAGGAAAAGAGAUCGGAGGCUAACCUUGUUUUGUUCGUCGGAAAUUUUGUCGGCAAAGAUGAAAAAUUGCAAAAAAGUUUUAAAAUUUUGAUCUCUCUGCAGAAAAUAGUAAUUAUGGUGAAAAUAAGGUUUUUACAAGUACCAAAAAAACAUGAGAAAUUACGCAAAAGAAAGAAGAAUCACGUCAAGGUGUGUGAACUUCACAGGAGGCUAAAAAGGUCAGAUAUACAAAAAAAUACAGACAAAAUCAAUGGGCUUUUUUUUGUUUUGGUCAUUUACUUAUUUAAAGUUUUUUUGUAUGUUAUAGCUGCCAAUUUCUCUUGAAAAAAAUGCAUUAGAAUCUUUUCGUCAACCUACGCAAAAAUCCCGUUUCCCAUCAUUUUAUCAUUUUCCCAUCAAAAUUAUUUACUUAAUUUAACUAUGACCCAAAUUAAAUGUAACUAUCUGCAUAAUAACAAUUUCUUUUUUUUUAGUUAUUGUUGUAGACUCUAUGCUACAUCCACUAACCUUUUGAGUAUUUAAGCUGUGUUGUGCCUCUGGAAAAAGGUGGAUUUUGCAUUAAGAAUGAUGGUUAAUAAGGGAACAUGUGACCUGACCUUCAUUAUUAAUUAAUGUCUUCAAAAAUCACUUUCACUAAAAAUAUCGUAAACCUUAUCCAGAAGUUUUAUGUUUGUAAAUGCAUAGCUGGGAUUCCAUUAACCCUAAUAUCUAAGCCUAGUAGGUUAUAUAAUUGAUUACGAAAAUCACAAUUUCCUAAGCUAAACAUUUUUAAUACUCCCUCCGUUUCAUAAAGAGUGUCGUUUUAAGGUUUUAUUUUUGUUUCACAAAGAGUGUCGUUUUAGGUUUUCAAUGCAAAAUUUAAUGAUUUUUUAUGUUUUAUGACUAUUAGUAUUCUACAGAUUGUUUUACUAUUUGGCAGAUUAUGUUUAGGUAUAUAGUUAAUGAUGUUUUUGUUUAGAAAAAACAAAAAAUUUAAUGUUUUCUUAAUCUGUGUGCAAAACUCUAAAAUGACACUCUUUGUGAAAGAGAGGGAGUAAUAUAUUUGGAAUUAAAUUACAUAUCUGACGUAUCUAUGAGUUCAUCAGCUUUUUUACAGGCUGUAUAAUUUAAUUAGUCAGGCAUGUAAUAACUAAGAGCCAUUUUUAAUGAAUGAGCAGGUGUUAUGUGAGAGCAGUGCCUAUUGCAUUAAUUUAAAGAGCAUUGAUUUGUUCAACUUAAAACCAGAUUCUCUAAUCUUUUGCAUUAAAUUAAGGAAUUGAUCACAAAAUUAUUAAACCCCACCAGUAUAACAAUUAAUACAUGUUGGUGCAGGAAUUAGCACCUCCGACAAUACCAGCUUAAACCGGACAAAUUACGAAUAAAUCUGAGAAUUCAGUUAAACCAGAGAAUCCUGGUUAGGCCUGUUAAUGGGCCAGGGAAAGGAGGUCGCCUGGCGAGCUAGACCCGAAGACAAGAGAUCGCCUAAACCGACUUCUCGUUCAAGAAAAAAGAAGAUUUUCCUUAAGAAAAAAACGAGAAUCGCGAAAAGAAAGGAAAAGCAGAAGAUAAGCUCCGAAGAUUUAGAAGAUUAACAAAUCCUAAAACCGCCUUAAUCAUGUAUAAAUAGAGGGGUUUGUCCUCUAUUCAGGGGAUCCGUAACUUUAUACAAAAAACCCUAGUUUUCUCGAUUGUUUUUGAGUUAAACCUUAACGUUGUCUCUCAGCAAUCAAAUUCACCAUUUUAUUCGAGUCUUUGAUCACAAAUAGCAAGAGAGAGUUAAUUGAAUUUGUUUUCCUCCUUUAAACAAAUUUAUUGUGUGAUUUUCGGAAUCAACAGAAAGUGAGAAAGAGACAUAUAGGUAAGGGACCUCAGUGUCUUUUACAGUCGAAUCCAAUGAAUGUGGAGCACUAAUCAAUUACAUUUCAUGGGACAUACUGUAUAUAUUAUUUACAUAAAGACAAAGUAAAAUGCCAAAAUAUAUUUGCCCCACAUUAUUCCAAAACCUAAGAAAACUAAGAAUCUUGUGAGUUUUGACCAAUUGAUAAAUACUCUUAACGAUCGCCAUCGUGUUGGUCAACACCAAAAAUUUAUUUUUGCUGCAUGAAAUUUAUUUUAUUAAUCUGAAAAUUAUAUGGCAAAAUUAUAAAAGAUUUGUCUUGAUUUCGACCUAAACGUUCAAAUUGUACAUGAAAAAAACUCUACUAGUCUCAACCCACUUGAAUGAUCUCUUGCUUCAUUUUUUUGAAAAAAAAAAUCUUCUGAUAUUUCCAUUAGGGAUUGGACAAGUUUAAAAACACAUUAGAUGAAAGUUAAAAAAUUUGCAGAAAUGGAUAUCAUUACUAAAUCGUUUAUACGACUUUGUAAGUAAUUGUUUGGGAUAUUAACAUUUAUUUACUAGUAUUAUUUAUAUCGUGUGAAAUUAUAUUUUCACAUAAGAAUUAAACAAGUGCAACCGCAAUUACAAUCACCCACAAAUUUAUAUUUUUAUAUACCGAAAUUAUAUAUAUUUUCUUUCGAGUUGUGUCAUCUCUUUUUCAUGACUUUAGUUACAUCAAAGAUUGCACAAAUUUAUAGGAUUGUUUUGCCAACAUUUCUUACCGUUUUCUUUAGGUUAAUAUAAAUGAAUAUUCAUCAUUGAAAAUUUUUUCUUUACCGAAUGAUAUUUGAAUUUCAGUGAUCGUUUAUGAUCCUUACCAUUUUGAUACGUAUAAACUUUUGGUGAUUGUCACUUAGAAACGUACUUUCUGACACGAGAACCAUAAAUCCUUUUUUUCAUCAGUAUGGGAAAAAACAUCUAAGAUAUUUUUGUUGACUGAAUAUAACAUGUUAAUGACAUGUUUUUGUAGUACUGAAUUAGUUUUCUUGGACACUAUACGAAUUACGAAAUGAUGCUUUUCCUUUAUGAAUAAAACAAAGUAAAUGAUCUAAAAAAGGUUCGAUAUAAUCCAUUUCUUCUUGUCUAGUGAUGUGCAUACAUUUGUUUUGUAGUCAACUUUAAACUAAAGAAAAAGUAUGUAAGUUGGUAAAUGUUUAGAGUUUCGUUGAAAUCCUAAAAAUAAAUUCGUAUACGUUGAUCUAUAUGUGAAUAUAAAUAUACACAAACUUAUGUCGGUUAAAGCUUAAAGAUUCUCCCACACAUUGAAGCUAAAAUUCGCAUGAAAUCAAGAGAAUAUCUUUAUUUAUACUAUAUAAUAAAAGAAAAACAUAUAGUACUUAUUACGUGUCCCUUUUGUUUGUCGGUUUGUGGAUUAGAUCAACGUAGUCUAUCACUAAUCACUUAUUUAAGAUCACAAAAUCCCUUUCGUUUCUCAUCUUCUUACAAUUUCUAAUUUUUUAAAAUAAAGUUGCAUGGUGGCCAGACUAUUAUAAUUAUAAACGAACUAAAUAAAACUCUAAUCUAAGUUAGUUCCAUCAACAUUAAACUUAAUGAACUCAGAAAGGUCUCAAUCAGAUAAAAUAAAUAGUUAAAUACUAAACUUAAUUAAAAUAUUUUACUAGGGGCUCCCAUAGAUAUGCAAAAAAAGCUCUGAAAUACCCAAAACACCCUCUCGGCUUUACACGUUAUUAAACAAAACGACAAAACUUAGCCUAAGGGUAAAAAAGUCAAAACCACACAACUUUUUCAGUCUUUGCGAUUCUCUCUGCUUCAGUAAGCGAAACCGCCUGCUAGGUUUCUCGGAUCUCGGCGGUAACGCGACGGCGCCGUCGCCGGAGAUUCAGAUUUCUUCUUCUUAACAUCCAUUAACGAACAAUACUCUCUUCUCAAACUUUCUUCUUCGUCCAUAAUCAUCUGCUUCGAUCUACACUCCACGCUACAAAACGCUCUAUCACCUCUAACCAAAAUUCAAAAACAAAAAAAAAGAUCUCAUGAAAAAAAAACAAAAUCAAGAACAAACAAAAAAAAGCCCAUUAUUGAUGAUGACUUACUUAUACAUGUAGAUAUCUUUCGCAGGAAGAAGUUUUCUUCUACAGAGAAAACAAUGUUCGAGAAAUCCAGAAUCUUGAUAACAACGACGGAGAUUAGUCGUGUCCGUCGUCACGGUGGUGGUGACGAUAACGUUGGCUUUGUUGACGACUUUAGGACUAAUAAUUAAGCCACCGUCACUGUUGAGAGUGUUGUUGUUGUUGUUAGUCAUCUCCAAAACAAUACUUAGUCCCACCAUUAUUUUUGGUUUUGUUCUCUCUUAUCUCAUUUCUUUCAGGUGUUAAUGGCGAAAAGAAGAAGAAGAAGUUUUUUUUUGUUUUUGGAUUCGCAGAGAAAAAAGUAAAAAGUUUUAUAAAAUGUUUAUAGAAGAUAGGUGGGACCUACAAGUGUACUACGCGAGGACGAUUGAUUUUGAUUUCUUUUGCUUGAUAAUCGCCACGUGUAUCCUUAUAUUCAUUACUUGUGUAAACUUUUUUACCCAUUUUUUGGGGAUAAAUGUUUACAAUAUUAUCGAAUUUUACUUUUGUCGUUUUGUUUUGUUUUUGUAUGCUAUAGGUAGAGGUGUCAAAAUGGAUUGAAAUUAAUGGAUCAAUCCAAACCAAUCCAAUCCGUGGAUCUAAUGAAUGAGAAAUUUGGAUCUUAAUGGAUUAAUGGAUUAAAUGGAUUAAUGAGUUUAAUGAAUUGGAUUGAAAUGGUUUGGAUUAUUGUGGAUUAGUGGAUUACUCAUAACCAAACCAGUAGAAAUUAAAUAUUCUAAAUCAAAUAUGUAAACCGAAUAUAACCGAAUAAAAUGUCUAAACCGGUUUACUAAACCGGUUUCUCACCAUCAUCGAUCUCUCUUCCUCAGCCUCACAACUCUCACCACCAUCAAUCUCUCACCACCAUCGAUCUCUCACCACCAUCAAUCUCUCGCUAUCUCUAUUCGCCAAAGGGUUUUUCGAAGCUUUGAUAAGGGUCUCGUUCUUCUCUCUUACCGAUCAAGUCUCCGGCCGACGAAGUGAACCAUCGGAAAGGCUCUCAAAGGCAAGCGCCACCACCACCAACAUUGAAAGACUACGUGAGUGGUUUCCCUAAGGAAUCCGAUUUCGAUUUCACUACCACCACCGUCGAACUUAAGGUUCCGGAAGGUACUUUGUGAUGAGAAUGAUGUCUUAUUAUAAUAAUAUAUGCUUGAUGGAUCAAUUUCUAUUGUUUCAUUCGUGCAAGCAAAAUCAGAGAGUAAGUGUUUUGUUUGAUUUAAACUAUCGUUGAUUGCAUUGUCUAACCCUUCUUGUGCAAGUGUUUUUUUUAUAUAUAUUAUGUACAUAUAUACUGGUCACUUUAACAUGAGCCUUCUAGCUUGCUGAUCGUGGAAAAACAUCUAUUUCAUUAAUUAGUGCUCUGUUCGUUUAUAUCUUGCCUUAUAUGUUUGUCCUUGUCCAUUGAGUUUCACCAAUUUAAGAGUUUGUUUGUUAGGAUUCGAGUGAAAGUUCCAGUGUCUCUCUUAUACAUUGAUCGAAUCGAUCACACGUUUCCUUUUCCAUGUUUGGACAAAUCUUUUGUGUUUCACUGAGUUUAUGCAGCUUAAGUUGUUGUGUUUUGAAUUCAAGAACUUGAUGUCUGUUUCUUAUUUUUAAGCUGGUGAUGAUGAUGAUGAUGAUGAUGAUGAUGAGAUGAUAAUAGUAUGAUGAUGAUUAUGAUCAUGAAUGAUUAUAGUAGUAUGAUGAUGAUGAUUGUAGUAUGAUAAUUAUUUAGAUCAUGGAAAAUUUAUUAAAUGGAUUAAAUGAGUUUAUCCAUUAAUCCAAUAAUUUAAAUGAGUUAUGGUUUCAUCCAAACCAUUUAGCAAAUGGUUUGGAUUGACUCAUCAUCCAUUAGAUACUAAACUCAUAUGGAUAUGGAUUGGUUUGGUUUGGUUUAACCAACUUGACACCCUUAGCUAUAGGUGAGUUUGUUUUGAUGCGUGUCAUCUUUAAAUUUUAGUGCUUAUUUCAUGUUUUUAUUCUUAUGUAGUUUUAUCAUUUCUAACUCUAUUUCGUGAUGCUAAGAUAGUAGAUUUACUUUGACAUCAAAAAAAAAAAGAUAGUAGAUUUCUUAGAAGAUUUGAAAAUAUUGUACUCUUUUGGAUCUAGUAUGAAGUGAUUGAUGGUGUUAAUAUGAUGAUAAAUAUUGUUGGGAAAACUCAAUGAUUUUCUUUCUUGUGAUUAAGGUGAAAAUGAAACAAUAAAAAAAGAUAAGAUAAACUAACUCUUUUGUAUGAUAAGAAAGAGACCAUAACACAUCAUUGUAUUGCUUUCUAUUUAGUUGAUUUUACAAGGCCACCAUGUACUUGUAUUUAUAUUAGUGGUGAUAAUGUGCUCGCUUAAAUGUAUAUUUUUUACAUUUUUGGAUAGCCUUAUCCAUAACCUAAUUCAUACUACGUGAAGAAAUACAAUUUGCUGGAAUCGAAUUUUCAUAGAAAAAGCCGUAUAGGUAUAACCCGUACGGUAUAUUUUUCAUGUAACCAUACCACAACAUCUUUAUUUGAAGAAUAUUUGGAUUUGAUGCAAAUUAAUUUUCUCUAAAUUUGAUGAUAUACAUCAUAGGGGUCAUCGAUUAGUAAACACAAAUUAUGAAUUCAACAAUUCCAUAAGUAUUUCUCAAUUAAAAUAUAAUUAUAUGUACAUUUAUUUUUUAACAUUCAUACUAAAAUCAGUUAAAUCUAUAAAGAUUGGAAAACUUUCUACUCGUAUAUAAGUGUGGAUGUCGGAUUCUCACAUUCAAGUAUUUUUAUUAAGUAGGAAAGAUUACUUUUGAGGGACAAAAAUAAAUAUGUAAAAAGCUUAUGAAUUGCUAUAGUAUUUCUUACUCGAGAGGAAGAUCCCCUUUACAUGAUCAUUGGCCUUUAUAUUUAUACAUAGAAAAACGACAUUUAAGUGGCUAAUUAAGUACAAUUAUUCUCUCUUAAAUGUGUCCGUUUUGAUCUUUGAUUUUAAUGCUUAACGUUCGAAUUGAUCUUCAUGGGCCUCGCCUUUUGGCCCAAAUGUCCUUGAACCGACUUAACCACGACUUCGUCUCCGGACUCGUGUCGAGGUGCAGUCACUUCGGAUUCUCCUUAUGGUGAUAACCACUUCGACUGUUCUUUUGACUUGUGGGUCUAAUGGGCUUUACCGCUUAUGGGCCGUUACCCUGACUACGUGGCAAUCUUUGGUUGGUCCUGGACCUCUGGUGCGGGAUCCGACACCAACAAUUAGCCCCCCAAGUCUUCCGAAGUGCUACCUCAAUUCGGAAGAUUUUAAUGCUGAAAUGACCAAAGAUUGCGUUCGAGAAUCUUUCUGAUUUCCCGCCAAAAAUCUCAUCACUCCUUUAAUUUCGGCACUAGCCAUUUUUAACCGAGUGACAUCUGUCAUCAUUAUGACCGUAUAUUAAUUAAUUACUAUUAAAACGGGAAAAACCUUCCCACUUCCCACACAACUUCCGAGGCGGUUCCAUCAUUUAGCUUGUGUAAGGUAACUUCUUUUCAUCAUCAUUUUCUACUUUUACUUUUGUGCUUUAAUCAAAACAUCUCUCUACUUUUCUUCGCCGAACCCCUCUUCGCCGGAUAUUGAAUUUUUCAUUUUUCUCUGAUGACUUCCGAUUCUGAGAGACCUGAAUCUCCGUCUUACGACGAGAGACGUUCUAGCAACGACGAAUGCACUCGUCCUAACGACAUUGCCGAUCCGCAUUACAAAUCCACCUGUACUCUUCAAUCCCUCGAGCGAUUAAAGGGGCUUUGUCAGAUUCCUCCUGGAAUCAUAGCAGAAGCGCAGAUAGCCGACCCUACGGAAUCCCCGGAGAACCACCGCGACGGCUACUUUUGUGUUUAUGAAAUCUACUUCAAGGGCUGCGGAUUGACCUUCCCCCUUCCCGAAGCCUUAGUUCGAUACCUGGCGGCUCUUGAGAUUGCUUUACCUCAACUAACCCCCAAUCUCCUCCGAACCAUCCUCGGGAUCAUAACCGUUGCGGCAGAGGCUGGCUACGUUAUUGGAGUCCCAGAGCUGAAUGAACUCCUAAGCGUAAGGAGUUCAUCAAAGAAAACUGGGUACUUCUCGGCGUAUCCAAAUGCCAACAGGAACGUCAUUUCGCACCUCCCGAACAAAGAUGAAAACUGGCACCAUCCUUGGUUCCUGAUUAAGAAAACUCCUGCUUCAAUUGGAAAUCUUUCUGAUGUACUCCCAUCGAAGUGGUCUGCGAAGCCUGGUAGAAAUUAGGUUGUAUAUUCCUUUCCUGGUUGUUUUAUUUUUUACUGAUCAAACUCGUUGUUUCACUUCGCAGCUUUCAUCGCUUCGACUCUUCCGACUGAAGAAUUCGUCAAGUUCUUCAAAACAAUCCUUGAAAGGGAAACCCUUUGGAAUUCUUUCACCCUCGAUCAGUUCUUCGAAGCCAACCGAAAACUCAGGAUGAGUCCCCCCAAUCUACUUCAUCGUCUUCCGCCUCCUCCCUCAACUCAGGGAAUGUCAUCUCGGGCCCUCACUGCCCAGCGUAAGAAACUCUCCAAGCCGAUAGCAGAGGCUUACGAUGAAAACAAGGCGUUCCUUGCGGCCGCCAUUGACAAAAAAGACUACAGCAGGACCCUGCUGGUUGAUGACAACAGCACCGAGGGAGCCAGAUCCGUUGCUGCUUAUAGGUUAACACCUCGUCGCGAACGUCGUGAUUCUCCUCGUCCUCCCCGAGAUGAUUUUAGCAAUGAACCACUUAAGAACUUGGUUCGCAGGAAGAGAGACAAGUCAUCUCGUAGUGACUCUUCUCCGCGAAGGGAGAAAUCAAGGGCCCGGACUGACCGUUCACCUCGAUCGUCCCCUCCUACUGAACCAAGGGGUCCUCCCCGACCUGUUGAUAUGUCUUCCUCUUCCCAGCCUGAUAGCGAGAAGACUGCCCGGAGCGCAUCUCCUAAAAAGGGAGAUUCUGAGUUUCGAGAUGCUUCCUCGAAGUUGAAGCCUGCUCUUGUCCCCCAAGUCAAAUCGCUUUCAGGUUUGGUGAUUUAUAUUCAAUUAAAAGUUUUUAUCUUUGUCCAGAUUCCAAUUUCUACAACACUUCUUCCUUCGUAGCUAUGGAGAAAGAAGGCAGCGUUUUCCGAUGCUUCAAGACCCGAUCGGAUGCGAUCUUGCCAGAUUUCGACAAGUGGCGCCCUGCGAUUCGUGAAUGCUACUUGCUUCACGCUCAUCAUUCAUCUCGGGUUAGUUCCGCUUUAUUUUUCUGACUGUGCUGCCAUUCUUCGAACUGACUGGCCAUCCUGGUUUUAUGCAUCAUGCCAGGCUAACGGCGAGCUUAAUGACAUGAUUGAACAUUACGAGGGGCUGGUCAUUGACCGGGAAAAGGAGAUUGUUACGUGGAAGAAAAAACUUUCUGCUCUUGAGGCCGACCUUCACUCCUCUUCCAGCUCUAGGCAAGAACUGGAAGAUCGAGUUGACAAUCUCACAUCCGAACUCGCAAAAGUGAAAAGCGAGUUGCAAGACCAAUAUGACCGGAAUAAUCAACUUCAGGAUGAAUUUACCGGCGUUCAAGGUAGGCUAUGUGAAUCCGAAUCAACUGCUUACACCUUGCAUAAAUAACUUGCCGAACUUGAUGCGAAAUACAAGGCGAUAACCAAGCUACGAGACUCCGAGUUGGCAAGGUCGGCUUCGAAGGCCAGAAAAGAGGUCAAGGGACGCGGAAUGGAGUUGAUUCAAGGGGCUAUCCGCUUCAUUCAAACCGAGAAAGUUAGGUCAGAUCUGGAAUCAGACAUCAAGGAGCAUGAGAGCAACCUGAUUCUGUUGGAUCAAAUCCACGAUGAAGAUUUCUCCGAAGUGCAAGAAAGGACCGAACUGUCGGCUAAUCUAUCUGAAAAGCGGAGUCGCUUGGCAGCUCUUCCUACUUCAACCUUCAACCCUCACCAUUUCGAGGAAUUCUUCACAGAAUCACCUCCCAUAAGUGAAUCGGGUCUAGACUGGGCAGGUAACCUUUGGUUCCUGACUCUUACUACCUUUUUCUUGCCUUAUAUUUUUUAAUUGACUGGAAUUGUCCUUCCUAGGCUCAAGUGGGACGGAAGAUGUCAUCCCACCCGAAGUUCCUGGGGCACCGGAGGUCACCCCGGAAGAUGGUUGUACCGUGGAGAGCAUACCAGGAGCUUCGUCUGAUCAAGCACCAGUCAAGGGGGUGAAUGAAACUUCGACAGCCGAGCCAGAAUCCGAGGUGGCUGUCAAUCCGUAGUGGUUGUGUCCACUUUUAAACUGGGGAUUGUCCUAUUUAGUUUAAAACUUAAUUUCGAACUUGUUUUCGCCUAAGGAGGCUUUAUCAUUACUUUUUUUGACAAGAUAUUCGCCUGAGGAGGCCUUUAAACCUUUCUAGGUUAUGAUCCCAAGAGGGUUUGGUUAAAGCUACGUGCGGGUUUGCAAAGUCCGCUUUUAACCUUUUGUGGCCUUGUGGUUAUGUUUUCGAGAUUUUUAGGCUGAUCAGACCUUUCUUUUUAGAAUGCGAGAACUGAGCUCGGCUUAACACGAGUUCCCCCCUUCGGGUUUAGUCAACUCGGUAAAUUUGUUGGGCUUGGGCCGUAGAAACAUUUGUAGUUAAUGCGACGGUUGUUCUUUCCCUUCUUGUUUCUUGAAAGUAGGAAAAGCGGCUCGUCUUUAAGGCAAUAACUGCCUUUUCUCGAUUUCCAAAAAUGGUUUAAGUUACUAGGGCACGCCAUCAUUAAUGAUUUUUUGUUUCCAAGACAAACCCUAUUCCUAUUAUAAAUAGGAAAUUGUUUGCCUUUGAUCUUUCCUCAAGAAACUUCAUAAUUCAUUCGAUAAGCACCAUAUCAAUGGAAAACGAAAACGUAGUCCCCGUUGAUCCCGGUAGCCCGCUUUUUCUGUCCGGCGAUGGAUUCGAGCCGGCAGGUGUUCUCUUCCCGCACGCCGUGUUUCACUUCCCUUCGAAGGAAAAGAAAGAGGCUUGCGAUUUCCUGGAUAAGGUUUAGUACUUAUCUUCUUUGAUCAAAACUUUUCCGCUUUCUUCUUUUUACCUACUUAUCUUUAUUCUAGGUCGUUGACAAGCACUGUCGCUUGUGUGACGAGAGGCAGCGGCUAGGUCUCAAAAGGCAAACACUAGAGGCUCGCAUCGCUCGUGUGGAGAGGAAGAUAAGAGCUCUGGAAAGUGACCCCUUUCAAUGGGAAUGGCGGAACUUUCAUUCUGUUGCUGAGAUCCCGAAGAUGCUCCGGAUGUAUCUCCGUGCUAAGGGAGUUCUGGGGCCUGUGAAUGCCCCGGUCUAUACCGCUCCAUCUGAUAGCGAAGAAGAAGACGAGGAGGAUGCCAACACCCGUCGGAAACGCAUUCGGGAUCAUCCCGAAGUGGAUGCCAAUAACAAGGCGUCCACUUCGAAAACUAAACCGGCGAUGAAGGAACCUGUUCCUGAGCCUCUUCCAUAAAUGUUCUCUAAUUCUGCUCCUAUUUUGAACUCGUAAUGGGCUUCGGCCCCCUUUUUUAUUUAAGGAAACAUUUACAAUUUCCCUUAUUCUUCAAAAUAUUCUCGGAGAUACGUCUUUUAAUGCAGGAUCGGUUUAAGAGCAUAAAUCUCUCCGCAAAUCACUCCAAGGGAUAUGACGUUCUUAUAAAUUAUGGUCUCAAUUUCCCUUUACUCCUCACCAUUCUUUUUCAUUUUAGCAGGUAUAGAGUUCAACCUUCGAUGUUCAGAAUCUAUGUCCGACUUCUCCUGGAUCGGAAUGAUAAACGAAGAUGUUCCAAAUGAGCCAAACAGGCAGCCUCUUCCACCUCGCGGCUUCUUCAGAUCUCAGAUCCGAGCUCCGUGCGCUUUGAUCAGGGAUCUCCCAAUCAGAGACCAAGGAACAGCGAUGGCAUUCAUAGAGGCACUUGCGCUUCAGUAUCGGAAGGUUACAUUGGAAAAGAAGAGACUCCGGAAGAAGAUUAACCGAAUGCAAUGCAGGUUUACUACGGUAUCGAGAGAUCUUCACAUCCUUGGCUCUCACCCCGGAGAAUGGAUCGAGCUUGGAAUCUCUGAUCUCGCUCGAAUUCUGGACUGCAUGAUGCCAAUCCUCGACCUUGCUGGUCAAGGAGUUGAAGUGUUUUGUUCAUCAACAAGAUUUCCCUAAUCCGAAGUGAACGAUGAGGGAUAUUCCGUCUUAUUUGUUUGAAUAAACGCUUUAUUUCCAAUAUCUUGUAUGUUCGCAUAGCCGGACCUUUAUUUGCUUCACUUGUUCGCACAGUCGAACCUUUUCCUUUAAUAAAGAAAUAAAACAAAAUUUUAUUAAUAGCUGAACUCGUUUUUGAGCUGCCUACGUACCCAUUUCGGGAUCAAGCCACACCGUAGUUCAUGUACAUAAAAAAUGCAUGUAGCUUUAAACAUAAAACUUCUUUAGGUUGAUCACAUUCCAAGGUCGCUUGACUAGCCUGUCUUCUAAGUCUUUCAGCCUAUAAACACCGUUUCGAACCACUUUGGUAACAAUGUAAGGUCCUUCCCAAUUAAUACCGAGUUUACCGGCACCUUCUUCUUUUUUAUUGUCAAAGACGCACCUUAACACAUAAUCUCCCACGAAGAACGGCCUACUUUUGACUUUAGAGUUGUAAUAUCGGGCUGCUGCCUGCUGGUAAUUCUGAAUUCGAAUCAAAGCUUGAUCACGCCUUUCAUUUAUGGUAUCUAGUGAAUCAUUAAGCAUUGCUGAAUUUUCUUCCUCAUAUAAUGGUGCUUCUGUUCGGCGAAGUCCGGGUACGUUGAGUUCAGCUGGUACUACUUCCUCCAUGCCAUAAACCAAAGAGAAUGGAGUUUCUCCGGUAGGUCGCCUAGGGGUUGUACGAUAGGCCCAUAAGACGGGUUGGAGUUCUUCAUACCAUCCUCCCUUUAGAUGAUUCAAGCGUUUCUUGAGAUUGCUAAGUAUCGUCUUGUUCGCGGCUUCGGCUUGACCGUUUCCUUGCGGAUAUCGUGGAGUAGAGUAACUGACUUUAAUUCCCCAGUCCGCACAAAAGGCAUCAAACUCUUGUGAAAUGAAUUGUGGCCCGUUAUCAGUGACUAUUUCGUACGGAACUCCAUGUCGACAUAUAAUAUUCUUCCAAAUGAAAGUCUUCACCGCCGAAUCCUUGAUGCCAACAUAUGCCUCAGCUUCAAUCCACUUUGAAAAGUAGUCCGUCAAGACCAAAAGGUAUUGUACACCUCGAGUUGAUCUGUGCAAUGGUCCAAUGAUGUCCAUUGACCACCUCAUAAACGGGUAUGGGGCGGAGAUGGAAGAGAAUAACUCCGAAGGUUAAUGGAUCAAUGGUGCAUGGAGUUGGCAGCGCUUACAUCUUUGGGCGAAUUUAACACAAUCCGUGAUCAUAGUGGGCCAAUAGUAUCCCAUUCUUUUAACUUUAAAAGCCAUAGCUCUUCCUGAUGAAUGACUCCCACAUAAUCCUUCAUGCACUUCGCUCAUGACGAUUUCGACUUCGAGCCCAAAAAUGCAUAAUAAGUAAGGGUCACUGACACCUCGUCUAUACAAUGCAUCAUUUGAUAGACAAAAUUUUGCGCUAACGAUUUUCAUUUUCCUGGCCUGCCACUUAUUCUUUGGGAGCUCGCCUGUCAUGAUGUAGUGUUUUAUUGGCUCCCUCUAGUCAGCCCCACAGUCUUUAGCCGGAAUUUGGUCGACCUUGUGAAAUACUCGUGGCUCUGGUUCGGGAUGUUCGUUUGGUUCAAGAAUAUCCUCCUCGAUCAAUGGCUCGGUUUCUAAUAUUGUUUCUGGAAUCACAUCUUCUGCUAAGACAAUGGGUUCCUUAUUAGAUGUGUUUGAUCCCUUUGAUUUCCUCCGUUUGAUGGGUGGCAGUUCGACCUCCGGUUCAUCACGGUCACGUGCCGCUGCUCGAGAUCUUGUAACGACGAGUGUUUCUUUGUUCUCUUGACUGAUUCGUUCCGAAAUGCAUUCUACUGGAAUAACACUUUUCAAGUCAGGAUCUGAUGUUGAUGCUAACGCGGCAAGUGCGUCCGCGGUUGUGUUCUCUCCCCGGGGUAUGCGAAUUAAUUCGAAUUUCGAGAAAUUUUUAGAUAGAUCCUUCACCACUUUGAGGUAUGCUUCCAUUCUUGAGUCCUUGGCCUCGUAGUCUCCAUUAAACUGGUUAACUACUAAUUGCGAAUCACAAUAAGCGACUAUUCCCUUAGCUCCCACCCCUUGUGCCAAUCGAAGUCCGGCAAUUAGGGCUUCGUAUUCUGCCUCAUUGUUGGAAGCAUUAAAUAAUAAUCGGAAUGAUUGUUCUAGAAUUUCCGAUGUUGGAGAUUCCAACUUGAUUCCCACUCCGGAUCCUUGCUUUGAUGAAGACCCAUCUACAUGUAAUUUCCAAGUUUGGUUCUCCGAUUGCUCUAUCGUUCCAGGUAUUGGUAGCUCGGUUAGGAAAUCUGCUAAAACCUGAGCUUUCAUACUGAUCCGGCUUUUGAAUUCUAUGUCGUACUCGCUUAAUUCCACCCCCCAUUUUGCCAAACGUCUGGACUGACUUGGACUAUGAAGUAUUGUUCGGAGUGGCUGGUUGGUUAAUACUUCAACCGGAUGAGAUUGAAAAUAUGGACGCAGCUUCCGAGCCGAAAUCACCACCGCGAGUGCGAGUUUUUCCAUCAUUGUAUAUCUGGUUUCCGGAUCCGUCAUUGACUUACUUAUAUAGUAAAUCGGCUUUUGCUCCCCGCGGUCUUCCCGGACCAGGACUCCACUAACCGCAUGGUUUGAAACUGACACGUACAGAUAAAGCUUUUCGUCCACUUCCGGUUUGGAUAAUAUAGGUGGGGUACUUAAGUAUGCCUUAAGCUGCCCAAAAGCUUCUUCACACUUUUCGUCCCAAAGGAAUCCUUUGUUUCCUUUUAGAAUUUGGUAGAAGGGUAAAGACUUAUCUGUUGAUCUCGAGAUAAAACUAUUCAAAGCCGCAAUCCGCCCAGUCAACCGUUGUACUUCCUUGAAGUUUCUUGGAGAUGGCAUGUUUAGAAAGGCGUUGAUUUGAUUUGGAUUGGCCUCAAUCCCUCUCUCUGUCACAAUAUAGCCGAGAAAUUCUUCGGAUGGGACUCCGAAUGUGCACUUUGCCGGGUUCAGCUUCAUUUGAUACUUAUUGAGAAUAUCGAAACAUUCCUCUAGAUGCUUAACGUUAUCCUCCUUCUUUAAUGAUUUAACCAACAUGUCAUCUGUGUAGACUUCCAUUGUCUUCCCGAGAUGAUUGUGGAACAUUUUGUUAACCAACCGUUGAUAAGUUGCUCCUGCAUUUUUUAAACCAAAAGGCAUCACUUUGUAACAAUAGAUACCUCUAUCCGUGAUAAAUGACGUUUUUUCUUGGUCCUCGGGGUUUAUCAUUAUUUGAUUAUAACCCGAGAAAGCAUCCAUGAAUGUCAGCAGUUCAUUCCCAGCGGUGGACUCUACGAGUCGAUCUAUAUACGGGAGCGGGAAACUAUCUUUAGGACAUGCUUUAUUGAGGUCCGUGAAGUCGAUGCAAACUCUAUUUUUUCCAUUCUUCUUUUUAACCACGACAGUGUUUGCUACCCAUUCUGGGUAUUGUACUUCCCUUAUGGACCCUAUAUUUAAAAGUUUGUCCACUUCGUCGUUUACUAUUUUUGCUCGUUCUACUCCGAGCUUUCUUCUUUUUUGCUUUAUAGGCUUGAAACUUGGAUCCACGUUUAGUUCAUGACAAAUUAUGCUUGGAUCUAUGCCAGGCAAAUCCGCCGCUGACCAUGCAAAUGAUGUUUCGUUUUUCCUUAAAAGCUCGAUCAAAGCUUCCUUUAUUUGCCCAGUCAAAGUAGCUCCAAUUCGAAUUUUCCGAUCCGGUUUGUCUUCUUUCAACACUACUUCGAUUACUACAUCAUCUCUUUUCUGCCCGCUAGGAAAUUUUUGUCUUAGUCCCUCUUUUUCGGGCUUCGUUAAUUGCUAUUGAAUCUUCAAACGGUGGCUAGCUAGAUAACAUGUUCUUGAAGCUUCUUGAUCCCCCCGAAUUGUUUCCACUCCAUUUGGUGCUGGAAAUUUGAUACAUUGAUGAUACGUAGAGGGGACUGCCUUCAUUUGAUAAAUCCAAGGAGUCCCGAGGAUGAUGUUGUAAGCCGCGGGCUUAUCAAAAACAACAAAAUCCACGAUCUUUGACACCCGUUUGGCAAGGACUGGUAGCUUGAUUGUUCCGAGGGACAUGGCUGAUUCACUUGUGAAUGCUACUAACGGAGAUGGAGGCCCUAUUAUGUCUGCCCGACUAAUUCUCAUUCUUUCUAAAGUACUUAAAAAGAUUAGAUCGACCAAACUGCCCGUAUCGAUAAGAAUCCUUGACACUUCGAAGUUGGCAACGUCCAGGGUAAUGACUAAUGCAUCAUCAUGAGGUCUCUCGAGAUGCCGCGUUUCUUCUUCGUCAAAUGAUAUUGAUGCACCUUGAAAAUCGACUUCUUCACUCAAACUUGCUUUGAGUAAAACAUUUCGCCUAUGUUUCUUGAUGGAACUUAUCGAAUCUCGGCAAAAUUUAGAACCUCCAAGAAUCACAUUAAUCUUACCCUUCGAACUCCUUGGCUCUUCUUCAUUAGAUAACUUCGGUCUUUUGGAAUUCUGGUCUUUGGAGUUACCCCUUGCUUCGUGGUAUUCUUUCACGAAAUCUUUUAUAUUGAAUUUGGAAAGAUCUAUGCUGGCCCAAAGCUCCGCGAGAUGCCUCUUAAGGACACUACAAUCCUUGGUUAAAUAUCCGGUUACGUUAUGAAUAUCGCAAUAUAAACUUUCAUCACGGAUCCAAGUGUUUGACCUUCCUUUCCCUUGGAAUUGCUUUCCGACAACACCGUUGAAGGGUUGCGACCCAAAUUUUCUUGGUCCUUUGCUCUCCCUAGAUUCAAACUUCUUGAUAGGGACAGUAAUUGCCGGCUUCUCUUGUUUAUUUCUUUUGGCGAAAUUUUCUUUUUCGUCCUCUACUUCCAUCCAGUUGUUUGCGCGGAAGAGUGCAUCCUGAAUUGUGUCUGGUUUAUGAAGUAUUAAAUCCUCUUUAAACCUUGAAUCAUGUCGCAAUCCUUUUCGUAGGGCAGAUAAAGCUGAUUGCUGCGAGAUUCUUGGGAGCUUUGACAGCACUCCUUUGAACUUGGUGAUAAAAUCUCGAAGUGACUCAUUUGAUCCUUGUGACAGGUUCCAAAGAUCGGCAUCCGAAACACUUUUGUCCAUAAGGAUGGAAUAUUUUUUUAAGAACACAGCUGAUAGUUCGUCGAAAUUGCUGAUCGAACCCGGCUCUAAUUGGGUGAACCACUUUAGAGCUUGGCCACAUAGAUUUUUUGAAAAGAGCUUGCAGUACCCUGCAUCCUCAUCAGCUUCGUCCAAUUCGACUCUUCCGGCAGCUAUCAGGAAAGCUGCGAGGUAGCUCUUCGGAUCCUCCAAUCCACUGUAAGGGUCCAACUUGAGCUUCCGAGAAUCUUUGAUUCUUAAACUUGCGAUUCGCGGAAUGAAAGGUGUUCGCCUAGCUUCUUCAAUGACUCGAUUGAUAUCCGGCUCCGAACUCGUAGCCUGAUGGAACUUUGACUUCAUUUCUUUUAGUUCCUGACUAACCUUCCUCAUAGUCUCGAACUGGUCGAGGUUUUCCUGCUCGUAUUGAUCUGCAAGUUGAACUUCAUCUUCGAGCUGUGUCUCUCCCUCCGAUGGCUGAAUUACAUUAUUAGUAGCACCAGGAGUUGUUUGUCCGCUGGUUUCAUUUCGCACAACGGAACUUGGCGAGUUGAAUAUCCUUCUUCGGAUUCCCACAGGAUUUCCUGCACUUAAAGAGCGAACACGAGUUUGUAUAGUACUGACGUUUUGACUAAGAGAUACCUGGGACGUUUGUAACGUGUCGACGGCCUUUUCCACAUUCGAGAACUUCUGCGACAUUUCCGACAUAGUUUGUUGCAUGGCUUUGAGGGUUUCGGCCAAUGACGGCUCAACUGCGUCUCCUCCGGACAUUGCUGCUUAUCUCGGAAAUGGAAAUGUAGUAAAGAAAAAUCUGACCGCUCAAGAAUCCUCUUUCCCCACAGACGGCGCCAAAAUGUGGAUGUCGGAUUCUCAUACUCAAGUAUUUUUAUUAAGUAGGAAAGAUUACUCUUGAGGGACAAAAAUAAAUAUGUAAAAAGCUUAUGAAUUGCUACAAAAAUUGCUAUAGUAUUUCUUACUCGAGAGGAAGAUCCCCUUUACAUGACCAUUGGCCUUUAUAUUUAUACAUAGAAAAACGACAUUUAAGUGGCUAAUUAAGUACAAUUAUUCUCUCUUAAAUGUGUCCGUUUUGAUCUUUGAUUUUAAUGUUUAACGUUCGAAUUUGAGUUGAUUCUGAUCUUCAUGGGCCUCGCCUUUUGGCCCAAAUGUCCUUGAACCGACUUAACCACGACUUCGUCUCCGGACUCGUGUCGAGGUGCAGUCACUUCGGAUUCUCCUUAUGGUGAUAACCACUUCGACUGUUCUUUUGAUUUGUGGGUCUAAUGGGCUUUACCCCUUAUGGGCCGUUACCCUGACUUCGUGGCAAUCUUUGGUUGGUCCUGGACCUCUGGUGCGGGAUCCGACACCAACAAUAAGGUUCAAAUUAACUUAAGUAAGCAAGUGAUAUACACUAUUGCUGUAGAAAUGAAAAAGAAAAGGAGCAAAUCUUUUCUCACUUUAUGAAGAAACUAAAGCAACAAUUUUGAAGGUUGUUUAUACACUAAUAUUUUGUGUCGGAAUUUUCUAUGGCCCAUAUGAUUAAAAGGCCACGAGCCCAUGAUUUCAUUUCCUAAAGACAUGAAAGGCCUAAACCUUUUCUUCUCAUCACUGGAUUUUCUACUUGUAUCAUGCCAAUUUUCAUCUAUGUAUAUGAACACAUUUUUUUAUUAUUAAAAGUUCAGAAUUGGUUGUCGGCUUUUUCUUUGAAAUAGUAAGAACUGUUCCUCUAUAGUCUAUAUAUGUAUCUUUGGUAAGUCUGCUUUACUUUGAUUCUCUAUCAACCAAAAAUGGGGACAAUAUAUUAAUGGAUUAUUACCGAAUUGGACAUUUAUUGGGCCAAAAAUUUUAGAUAAGAGAUUAUUUACCUGGGUUUCAGUUUUAGAUAUUUCUGGGCUACACGAAAUUACGCAUUUACCCUUGUCUUCUACAUCUCUUCCUCCUCCUCUCCCCGAGCACAACCCACGUUUCUUUCCCAAAACCACAACCCUUGUUCUGACGACAACCAUCAUCUCUUUCCCCAAACACAACCCUCUUUUCAAUUAAUCAAGUGUUGAAUAAAGAAAACUAAACCCUAGAUAAUAUAGACUAAACCCAAGGGUAAAUGCGUAACCGUCGGAGAGAGGUUUUCAUGACCGGAAAUGCUAUUUCUCCAUUCAUCUUUAAUUCCAGCAAUUCAUCUUCAUCUCCAUCUUCUAUAUUCUUUGGAGAUCAUUCUCUUUUGCCUAAUUGAGUUGAAAUUUGAUUGAAUUUAGAGUUUAGAUUGUUGUUUCUUUGAGUUAGGUUGUUGCAGUUUUGAAGGGUAAAAUCGUUCUUCCAUGAUAAAAGUAAUGCCUAAAACGUGAGUCCCGACGAUCUGUCCCAAAUCUAUAAUUUUUGCUGAAAUAAAGCCCAAUCCGGUAAUUCAUUCAUAUAUUAAUCGACAAAUGAGAGUUGAAAACAGUCUUUCCUUUGUGAACAUUUACUUCACAUAAUAUUGGCUUUGAUUACUAAAAUCUCUCUGUUGGUGUUACUUUUCGUCCAAGUAAAAGUGUAAACACACAUACAUCAGAAACCCAUUUACAAUUUAACACAAAAGAAUCACGAGUUUUUUUUUGGUUUAUGUUAAAUUUAUUACGCAACUAAAAGAAAAUUUGAGUUAUGAACGAGGUAUGAGGAAAGCAAUACGAAGUUUUCAACUUUAAAUAAUCUACACAAAAACUUAGUGUGAGUUUCGACUUCCACACUCCAUCUAUAUAUUUGAAUCUGAUAUAUAUAUAUAUAUAUAUAUAUUUAUUUAUUUAUUUAUUUGUUUAUAUUAUCAUAGUAAAUAUCACAUGAAUAUUAGCUUCAUAAACAGAAAAUAUAACUAAUAUUUUUAUUAACUAAAAUAUUCUUUUUCUAAAGAAUCAUAUUUAUAUUUUUAAUAUUCAUUGAUUUUUUUUUUUGGUAAGGAAUUUUCAUUGAAUCAAUAAUAAUAGAAUUUAGUUUUUAACUCUUUUCCAUAAACGUAGUCAUAUCUGAAAAGACAUUUCUUAAAUUCGUAUAUCUUUAAAAUUUUAAAAUCAGUUAAUCAUUUCCAUUAUUACAAUGUGUUAUAAAAAUUAUAGUACCAAAUUAGUUCUGAAAUUUGUUUGCGUAAACAAGUAUUGAUUUUAACUACAUAAGUCCAGCAAAUUUACGGAUUAUCUAUUCUGGAUAUAUCUAAUAUUUUCAUUAUGUCCGUUAACAACUUUUUUUUUUUUUGUCAACCUUGGGCCACAACUGGCCGGCCCAUUAGCCUAAUCCCUACAAAUUGUAAGGAGAGGGACUCGAUCCCUGGUGUGAUGGUGCCUGUCCAUCAGUGGACUUAUCAUCUGCCACUAGACUAAGGUCACUUC
rnacentral:lncRNA from 1 species